AUAAAUCACAGCCAUAACUAGAGCCAUUAGAAUAUGACGAUUGUAGUGCUGGAUAAAUUGGUGACUGCCAUGGCGAGAGAGAGCCAUAAUUCAGCCAAUUAUAGCCACCAUGUGGAUUGAAUUCCGCAGGCAGUCGAGGUUCUGCCUCGAAAGAAUUUUCUACAUUGUUAGUAGAAUAAGAACACCAAAGCUGAUAUGGUAGUAUUGGUGACUCCAAAAUGUCAGUCCAUACUAGCUGCCAUUCUGGGGAAGUAUUUUCUGCAACAUGAUUUCUAGAACAAGAAAUCAAAUGGUCACUUGGUGGAACUGGAUAGACCACAAGAGCAUUUUCUGCAACAUGAUUUCUAUUAGAAACCAAAUUUUGAUUUAGUGGUUGUAAGGAUCCUAGGGAAGUAUCUCCUGCAACACCAUUUCUAGAAUGAGAAAUCAAAUGGUUAGUUGCCAGUACUUCAGUAUCCAAACCUGUAUGCUCUGCAGCACGAUUUCUAAUUCUAGAAAUCGAAUUGUCACUUGCUGGUACUUGAGAGACCAAAAGAGUAUUUUCUGCAACAUGAUUUCUAUUAGAAACCAAAGUUGAUCAGGCGGAUGAACAGAUUCCGAAAAAAUCUGUCCUCCAACAUCACGAGUGAUGGUAGAACAAGAGGUCAAAUCUUCGCUUGAUUGAUCUUCAACACUAGUUGAAGCAGCAAGCUUGCUAUUCCAUUUUCUUUCUAGGCGACACACAACAAAGUCCCUCUACACAAAUUAAUAGCACAAAUACAAUAAGUUGUUUCCCAGGUGGCCCGCUGUAUUAUCAAUAUGCAUAUGCAAUUCAACACAAAGCAGGACAUAAGCCAGAAAUGAAGCUCAAAACUAAACUCAUGCCUUAUAAAGAGGGUCAUCCUCAAUAGAUAUCUCGUGUAUAACCCACUCAGUCUUAGCUUUCUUGGAAGCAGAACGACGGGGGCAAAAAGAAAAAAUCUUUUUGGUACCAAUUACCUCAGUACUGUUUUUGCGCUAACAGUAAUAGUAUCAUACUUCUUCCUCACCCUGAAUCUCAGAAUGCCCUGCAUCAAAACAAUUCAGUCAACCAUUAGUUCUGAAUCAAUUUUACUAAACUAACUUAAACGACAUCGUAUGGUUACUUGUCGGGUGACACUUACGGGGCAGGUCCCAGGGAUCAAAGCUAUAGAAAUCAAUUUCUUUGAUGGUAUGGACAGAAAAACCAGGGUCAAGCCUCUUCUUCUUCAGUAGACUAAUGAUUUCUUCAUUAGUAGGCUUGAAUUUGAACCCCACGAGCCUGUCCAUUUUCUAUUCAACACAGAAGAGACGGAGCAACAGCUACAUUACCGUCGGUUAGGUUGGGAACCGCAAAAUGCAUAGACUGAGGGGGCGAUCGUAUUGUAUUACUAUUUAUAAAGGCAGAGGCAUUGACACGUCAUUUUAUUCCCUAUGGCUUGGCUUUUUUCUUUCGCUAGCACAUCUGCAUAUGAUUUUACAGUUAAUUGAGAAAAUAGUGAUAAACAACAUAUAUUAAAAUUAUAUCCUUUUAAGUGGUAAUUAAGUUCACAUUAUCACAUACGUUAUUGUACACGAUAAAUUUUAUUAAUUAAGUUAACAGCAUUAAUCAAUAAAAUCAUGACAUGGAAACGGUGGCAUAUAAUAAAGUAUUUGACAACACACAGUUAAACCAGAUUUCUUUCACUUUUAAUUGUUUGUCGACAACAGUUAACGGAUAAAUAUAAUUUAAAAAAUAAAGAAAGAAAGACCCCAAGAUGCCACUACCAUUUUUCUUUUUUGAUUCCUUUUCUGCUUUUACGGUUACAAGUGGCCUUCCCUGUUACCUCACAAAGGUGUCACCUUUUCCAAGAAGUAGUUUGCUCGGAUUGGAUAGUGAGAUUCCAGUUUUCCACAUUUCCACCAACGAUCAGCUACGAACCCAAAUAGAAGUGAACGACCGAAAAACUUUGAAAUGCUAAUCACGUACAGGAAAACUUUUAUUUUAAGACCAUUGAUCUCAAGUAUGCACAAAUACGAUUGAGAUUAUGAAUAAAGUUUAACACAAAGAUCCCUGAUGAGCUCAUGCUCUUCAUCAGUUGAUGGAUGCCAUGUACAUGAAUCAUUCACAUCUCUACAUAGGACGUAGACAUAUGUAAAAUAUCAAGGAUGCCGGUCUCCUCCCUCACCUCUCUAUUGUCACUUUUAUCUAACAUGCGAUAGCCAAUUAGCAUGUGUUUUAAGCCCGCCAAAAAAAAAAAAUUAAUUUGUCUAAAGCCGAGUUAAUUUUUUUCUAGCAUCAAUUUAUUGGAAAGUGCACUCCUAUAUGGGUCGAGUAUUUUCAAGCAAAUUUGUUUCAAGUAAAUCUGGGUCAAGUUAGAAUUAUGAGAAAGUAGUAAGGGUUUGAAAAAUUAAUUUGAACUUUAUCCAUCCCUCAAUCUUAAAUUUAUAUUGUUUAUUAGCAUAUAUUCUUCUAAAUACAUUAACCUUAAAAUUAAAAAAUAAAUUUUAGUUUUGAAAAAAAAAUCCUACAAUUCCAACAUUAUCUCAUCUCUCUUCAAAGAUUUAAGCUAAACUUAUGAACUUUUGAUAAUUUAUAUGUAGCUUUUAUUAAAUUUCAUCUUUGGUUAAAGAAAUAUAUUAAAAUUUGCCUUCAAUGCCCUACAUAUGGCUAUUAUGAUUUUGGUGAGGGAGGAGUUUAUAAAAAUGGCCCAAAAACUUUGGUACUUUCUAAAAUUCGCCAUCCUAACUUUUUGUAUCAUAUCUACCCAAACAUCUAAAUUUUAGACCUAGAUACCCUUAAUCUCAUCAACAAAAGGCCAAACAAAUCAAACUCUCAAAAAAAUAUCAAUAGAACUCACCAUCCUCUACUCACCAAAUUUAUAAAACAAAUAUACUUAUAUAGAUAAAAUUAUCAAUUGGAAAGAAAGAAUUUAAGGCUAUUAUUUACUUUUACACGAUGUGUGUUUUUUAUUUCGAUUGUUUAAAAUUUAUGGGGAUAUUUUAAGUAAAAUUGAGUAAGGGGACGAACCUAGAAAAUGUGCAACAAGAAGGCACCUGUUGCACAUUUUGAUAGUUUUUUUUUUUACAAUGUAAUUUUUUUUUAAUCUUUUCUAAUUAUUUAGGCUUAAUGGAGUUGUUCUUCAAAUAUGUUUUGAUGGAUCAUGGGAGAAAUCGGUAGAUGGUUGUUUUGAAUACAUAAAAGGCAAAAAUAGAGCUUUUUUUUAUUGAAUUUCUUGAAGACAAAUUUAAAGUCCAUAUGUUCUACUCAACCCGUAUGCUUACUACCUGUGAGCAUACUUGAUGAUGAAAUGGUAAGUAUUUUGUUAUAUAUGAGGUUUUGUAUUCAUUCUCAGCAUCAGACAUAAUCUUAUUCAUCGUUUCUUUGAUGUAAAUAAUAGAAUGAUCGUCCUCUCUAUUUGACGAAUAAAAUAAUCUUGACCAAAUCUUCAAUUUUGUCUAUUAUUAGGAAACAAAAACAAAAAUUUAAUUUAUAACUGAUUAAAUCCAACCUCAUUGUCUUAUAACAAUUAAAAUGUUAAAAAUAGCAUGUAACCUUUCCUUUUAGGUGAGCCGUCUACUUCAUAUUCAUCGUGAACAGAUGGCUGAUCAUUUACUUCAUAUUCAUAAUCAACAGGUGUUCAAUGCUUCUUGAAUAUUGGGAGUCUACUUCAUAUUCAUCAUCAAUGGGUGUUCGAUUUUGCUUGGGUAUUGGGAUCUUGCUCUGUUGAAGCUCAUCUUUGUCCUCUUCAAUGGGUGGCACGUUUAUAUUGGGGUGAUGCUGCACAAAAUAACAAUAAAAACAAAUUAAACAACUUGUAACUAUUCGAGCUGCAAUAAUAAUAUUGUAACUAUGUUAAGUUAUGUACUCACAUUACCGACCUAAUGUGUCGCUAUAGUCCUUUACACUAUUCCAAUAUGGUGCGUUGUUCUCCUGCACGCUCGGGUCGAGUGUUUAUUUAACAAUCCCCGGUGCACAAAGUAACCCAAAUUUUAUGUUAGGCUAAUAAUCUAUUAUUUAAUAAAUGUUCAUGGACAAUCUAAAUAUAUAUAUAAUACUAACAAGAUAAGUAUUGUCAUUGUAAAAUUUUUAUACCUCAAUAAAACUUAUUUUCGAAAAAGCAACACUUUUUAACUUAAAUAUGCGAGAAGUCUUCUUAUUUGUUUUGAUAGCCCAGUUUUCAAUUAGAAAAACCAUCCAUCAAUUUGAACAGCCAGCCUUGUAGCAAGCAAAGAUAUAAAGUUAGUAAAAAACGUUAAUCAUCUUUAAGUACAAAACAAAGAAACCGUAAUUUUGUCUUUUCAACACACCUGUGCCUGGGUCAAAAGCCAUAAAAGUUGUACUUUACAUCUUUGAGAGUGUCCUUGCAUUUCACCCCAAUCAUAAAAUGUAUUGAAAGAUUAAAUGCUUUCUGAUUGAAUCUUUUAUUUCUGUUUUUAUUUAUUUAUUUUUGUUUGUGCUUCAGAGGAUCACACAGAUACUGUAAAUAACUCUUCAGUGUCUAUGAGGCCAAAGGGGCAUAUUGAAGAAUUUUUUUUUUUGAAGAAAUCACUGCAGAAGAAACAGAAGAACUAGUACAUAAAGAUUUAGGUAACCAAUUAACAUAUGUUACUUCAUAUGUAGUUGAAAAGAAAGAAAAUACAGGGUAUAGGAAAUUCUCGACUAAGAAGAAAGGUACUGAUGCUUUCUCAUACAACUGCAACAGUUGCUACUCUGCCAAUUUUAUGAGCCUUUCUGUAUGUGAUUGCAGUUUAUUUUCUUCUUUUAUUUGCUUGCACUAGAUUCUUAUUAUGAUGCUUUCCUUAAUUUCAUUAUGAGCUCACUUGGUCACUCCUCUCUUUUGAUCCUUCUAGGAAUCACAUAACAGAGUUUGCCUACAUGAGUCUGUAUCACCACUGGCUUUCCAUUGUUUGUUUGCUUGGUAAAACUAAUGUAAUUGGUUAAUUGAUUUCGCAUGUGCCAUGAAUUGUCCCUAGAAAUUCACUUGUCUUGUUUGGAAACUAGUCAACCCAAAAACAAAAUUUUGUGCUAUUUACAAUUCUUUUGUGGUGCAAACACCUGCACAAUCAUGCAUUCAGUGAAACUAAGAACAUCUGCGUAUGUAUUGUGCCCGUUAAGGAUACCAAAAGAGAGGAGCAAAGUUAAAGAAAUUCUCUUUUCUUCAUUGAUUCUUUUCUGUUUAGUAUCUAUUGUAUUAUUAAGAAGCUUUUGUGGACCAAAUUUAUGUUAUCUAAAUGUUCUAAAUAAUACUACUACAAUAUCUAAUGACUUGUUAUUUUUCUCUUUGCAGUUUGUAAUUAUGCCAAAGGCCGGUGGGUUGCAGACAGCAGGCGUCCUAUGUAUUCUCGGUUUGGAUGUAAACAGUGGUUAUCAGAAAUGUGGGGAUGUGGAUUGACCCAGCGAUCAGAUUUUUCUUAUGAAGGAUAUAGGUGGCUGCCAAACAAUUGUGAAAUGCCGGAGUUUGAGCGAUCUGCAUUCUUGAGAAGGUAGGCCUCCGUUUUCAUUUUUCGUAGUCAAUGGAUUCUGAUUCCCCUGCUGCUUCUCUGCUCUCUUCUAAUUGUCAUUACCUGAAAUGGCGUAACUACUACUGAUUUCUGACCAAAAAUCCUACGUAGACAUCAUUCUUUGAAUUUGGAAGUGAUCCUAUUGUUAUAAAAAAGAAAUUUUGAUGUUUAGACAUGUUUAGUUUUCUAAAUAUUGUUCGUACAUUCCAGAAUGCAGGACAAAACAAAACCAUUGGAUAUUGUUGUUCCAUUGACAAUUUAUUGGAAGAUUUUUGUGUAGAUCUCCUUCUUCGACCAUAAACAACAAUAAAAAACACGACUAAGAUCAAACAUAACACAAUCACUUGAAUCACCACUUUGAUCAGGAUACUGAAUUUUGAUUUUCUCGAUCCUGUGGGAGGACAUGAUGCAAUUCAUCUAAACCCCCACAAAGAUUCUCAUUCCCAACAAGUGAAAUUCCUUUUGUGCUAUUGAAAAUGGCUUCUAUUGGUACCUUGCCCUCAAAGUGAUUGUAUGACAGGUUUAAGAAUGACAAAAAGGAAAGAUUCUCAAGAUAUCUGUGGAAUAUGACCUGAUAAAUUAUUGCGAGAGAGAUCAAGUUCUGUAAUGCUUUUCAAGGAACUCAAAGUGGAUGGAAUACUUCCAGUAAAAGAAUUGUCCUGCAUACUAAGAUGUUCUAAGCUUGUACAACCACCUAGAGUAGUCGGAAUCUCACCAGAAAACAUGUUACUGGAAAUAUCCAAUGAAACGAGAUGCUUUAAGUUGCCUACUUCUGCAGGAAAAUGGCCGCUGAGAAGAUUAUCAAACAGGUCUAGUAAAACUGAACGGGUUAUGAUGCGGAGGAGUUGUCGAGGCACAGUACCGCUGAGCUUAUUUUUGCAGGUGGUCAACAAGAUUAAAUUCUGACAAUUGCCAAGGGAAGGGGGUCUAUUGCCUUUAGCUCACCAAUUGCACGAGGUAUGGUACCAGCUAAUUAGUUGAACUCCAAACCAAGUGCAUAUAGAUUCACAAGAUUUGCUAUCCCAUCAGGAAUGGUGCCUGAUAUUUGGUUGCUUCCAAUGGCAAUUACGGUCGUUGUUGUUGAGAGGUUGGCUAAAGAAAACGGUAGCACUUCUCCAAAUCGAUUUGAGUCUAAAUCAAGCACUUCCAAUUAGGUACAGUUUGUUAGAGGGGUUAUAAAAUCAAGAUCAUUUGCUGUCCCAGUUCCCAAGUUAUUUUUCCCCAGAUUUAGCCAUGACAGAUUCUCAAGUCUGCCAAAAUUAACUGACACUUUCCCACUGAAAAGAUUUCUAUUAAUGUCAAGUUUGUGAAGAUUUGUAGCGUUGGACAAUGAAUCUUGGAGUGAACCAGUAAGAUUGUUUCCACUGAUGAUAAAAAAUCUCAGGUUGGGAAGAUUGACUCCAAUUUCAAAGGGCAAGCUUCCAUGGAAUUUGUUUCUAUGUACAAAAAUAUAUUCAAGGGAAGAGAUGUUAUAAAUAGGAGGAAACAUACCAGAGAAUUUAUUAAGACCUACAUUGAAACUGAUCAAGUUUCUUACAUGGCUUAUGGUGCUUGGAAUUCUCCCAAUAAUCUCAUCUAGCUCGCUUAAAAAAUUUAAAUAAAACUCAUGAAUUUGUUACAAUUUAUGCUUAGGCUUUGGAGCCAACAUCUCAAUCAUCAGCUCAUAUUCCAAGGCCAUGCGACCACAAAUAGAGUGUGUUAGGGCAACUGGACGAUUAAAAGAUUGCUUGCAUUAGUGCCUACCAGGCAUUCUAGACGCUUCGAAUGAAUUACUUUGUAUAGUUAUGCAACGUUUAUGAUUUACCAAAUACACUAUUCUUUGUGUUCAAAUUGACCUGUCUUUAAUUGUUGCGAAUAUUAUACACAAGGAUUUUGUACCUUACAUGAUAGGGUAACAACAGUUAGGAAAUUUACAACUGUUACAUUUAAUUGAACGACUGAAAAAUGAAAUGAAAAUUCUAAAAAUAUAAUGAACAGUAAUGAAACAAUUGUUCUAUACACAACUAGAGUUUCUUGUUAUUUGCAUAAUUAAUUGAGCAUCUUGUUCUUGUUUCAUUAUCAUAGUAGUUAUCAGGAGUGUUGGAGAAUUUGAAGAAUAAAAGACAAAUUUUAUUGGAGAAAGUUCAAGAACAUCACAAGAACAAUUCAUACUCUCUCACAAAUCACUCUUAAAAAUUUUGUUUUGCUUCGUAUACUUUUUUCUUCUGACACUUGAUGCAUACAACACAAAUGGCAUAGGUAUUUAUAAUGAAUGAAAACAAAUAUAAUCAAAACAAUACACAUCACCUAACAUGUUCCACCAAGCUUUCAUUAUAGCACCAAACAUAUUCCAGUCAGCUAACAUGCUCUAAAGGAGUCCUUUAAUGGCAUCCAAAUUGUAAAACUAAUGUCCACUCAAUUAGAUGCUUCAUGGAUAUAACAUUGUAGGACCAUGAUAAUGGAGCAUAAUGAUGAAGGGCCAUGUACAACUCAUCACCUCAUUCCACUUAAAUGAACUAUUUGUGUAGAAUAAGUUUAUUGCUUUCAUUACUUCCCCUUAAACCUUUUUAUGACACCAAGUAUAUUUUUUAAUCUGAUAAAAUCUUCUUACUUGAGCGGUUUGGUGAAGAUAUCAGCUGCUUGAUCUUGUGAUUUCACAUACUUGACUUGCACUUCUUUUCUUGUAAUACACUCCCUUAUGAAAUGGUAGCGAGUAUCUAUGUGUUUGCUUCAAUCAUGAAAGACUUGAUUCUUGGAUAGGGCAAUUGCUGAUUUAUUAUCAACACAAAUCUAGGUUGACUUUUCUUGUGGCAAACCUAACUCAUUCAAUUAAAUUUCUGAGCCAAAUUGCAUGAGAAACACUUGAUGUAGUAGCUACGUACUUAACUUCACAGGUGGAAAGUGUGACAAUUGGUUGCUUCUUUGACAUCAACACGAAAGCAGUGUCUCCCAUGAAGAACACAAAUCUUGUGGUGCUCUUUCGAUCAUAUAUAUCUCUACCACAAGCACUGCUGCUAUAUCCAACAAGGUUGUAGUCAUUAGAAAAUGAGUAUAAUAGGCCAAAAUUAAUUGUAUCUUUAAUGUAGCGAAAAAUUCUUUUUGCAGCUUUAAAAUGAGUGUUUUUUGGAUUCUCUAUGUAUCGACUCACAAGUCCAACAGCAUAAAGGAUAUCUAGUCUCGUGCAUGUCAAAUAACGUAAGCUUCCGACCAAACUUUGAAAGAAUGUUAGAUCUACAUCUUUGCCUUCAUCAUGUAUGGAUAACUUGACUUCACAUUUCACUAGCGUGCUUAUAGAUUUGCAAUCAUUCAUCUUGAACUUCUUGAGAAUCUUGUUUACAUAACUUUCAAGGGAAAUAAAUAUGCCUUCUUCUUUUUGCUUGAGUUUAAUUUUGAGUUAAUAUGUCGUUAAUCUGAUGUCAAUCAUCUCAAACUCUUUGAUCAUCACUCUUUUGAACUCUUCAAAUAAGCUUGGAUUAUUUCCAGUGAAGAUGAGAUCAUCCACGUACAAAUACACAAUCAAAAUGUCUCCAUCUUUUUCUUUGACGUAGAAAGUAUGUUCAUAUGGGCAUUUGGUGAAGUUAUUCUCUUGAAAAUACUUGUUAAUUUUGCUAUUCUUUGCCCUUGGUGCUUUAACCCAUAAAGAGCUUUCUUCUAUCUCAAAACUUUGUCUUCAUGUCUUUUUACUACAUAGCUUAAUGGUUGUUUGAUAUAAACUUCUUAUUUGAGAAAUCCAUUCAAGAAAGCAAACUUCACAUCCAUUUGAAAAGUCUUCCAUUUAUUUUUAAGCAGCCAAAGAAAUAAUAAGUCUAAUAGUUUCAAAUCAAGCUACAGAAGCAAAUACCUCAUCAUAUUCUAUGCUAGCCUUUUGACUAUAGGCUUUUGCAACUAGCCUUACUUUAUGCCUUUCAAUUUCUCCUUCGACAUUUCUCUUUGUCUUAUACACCUAUUUAACACUGAUCGCCUUGUGACCUUUAGAAAAAGUAAUAAGUUCCCAAGUGUCAUUCUUCACAAUGGCCUUGAUUUCUUUAUCCAUUGCGAUUCUUCACUUCUCAUCUUGUGCAGCUUCUUGAAAUUUAAUUGGCUAACAAUCAGAAAAGAUGCAAAAAAGAGUGAGAUUGUUAAGUCUAUCAGUUGCCUCGUAGAGAUCAUGAAGAUUCCUUAUACAUUCUUCGGUUCUUUCAUUUAAGACAGAUGGUAGUGAAUCUUCACAUGUGGUUGAUGCUUGUGAGAUAUGUGAAGUAGCUAACUCUUAUUGUUCUUCUAUUUGUUUUAUCUGUGUAUGAUCAUCUUCUUUAAUGGGAAAGAAGUCGAAUUCAUUCACAGUAGAGCCAAAAUUUUCCUUCUUCAUUGAAAAUUACAUCUCUGUUGAUCACGAUUUUCUCGUUGUUCGGAUUGUACAACUUGUAUCCUUUGGAAUUGAUGUCCUAGCCAAUGAAGACGAACUUUUCACUUUUAUCAUCCAACUUAGCUCUUUUCUCCACAUGGGCAAUGCUUCUAAAACUCUCAGAUAGGCAAUGUCGGUAUUUCUUCUACUCUAUGCUUCUUAUAGCGUCUUGCCUCAUACACUGCUUGUUGGAGAUUGGUUGGAUAGGUAGACUUCACAUACAAUAGUUUCAACCUAAAAUUCUUUAGCUCGUCUCUUACUCUUGAGCAUGCUUUUUGCCAUGUCAAGAAUGGUUUUGUUCUUCUUUUCUACAACAUUAUUUUUAGGGGGGGUGAUCUUGGAACUUUCAAAGGGCGCUAAAUUUCAUUUACUUCAUAAAACUCUAUGAAUUCUUUGGAAGUGAACUAUCUACCUCGAUCAAAUCUCAUGGCUGUAAUUUGGUAUCCAAUUUCUUUUUUCACUACAGCUUUAAACUUCUUAAAAGCUUUAAAAACUUCUGACUUUUGCUUUAAAAAAUACAACAAAGUUUUUUUUUUUUUUUGAAAAAUCAUCUAUGAAGAGAAAGAAAUAGUUACUUUUACCAAGGGACCUUGGCUUGAAUGGACUGCACACAUUAGUAUGAAUAAGCUCAAGUAACUUCUGAGCUCUUGAUUUGGACUCCUUUGAAAAGCUCUUUUAAAACUGCUUGCCACGUAAACAUCCUUCACAAAAUUGAUUGGGAUGAUUGAUUGAAGGCAGGUCUUUCACCAUGUUCUUCUUUGAUAGUAGCUCUAGUCCACCAAAGUUGAAAUAUUCAUAUCCAAGAUGCUAAAUCCAGGUUGGAUCUUUGCAACAAGCCUUGAGACACUUUACAAUAUUAUUUUGAAUAUUUAAAGGAAACAUUCUAUUCUUCAACAUUCUCACCCUUGUAAUUAGGUUUUUGUUGUCAUCGCUUUAGAAAAAGAAUGUAAUCUUUUAAGUGAAUAUCAUAACAUUUUCACAAGAGUUGACCUAAAUUGAGGAUGUUACUUUUCAUACUGGCCACAUAAUAAAUAUUUGAAAUUAAUUGGUGGCUACCAUCUUUUGUAUGAAAAAGAAUGUCUCAUUUGCCCUUCACUGGUACUUUUGAAUCAUCUCUAAAAGUAACAUUGCCAUUCACAAAUUCAUUUACUUCUGUGAACAUGCUUCUAUUUAUGCUCAUGUGAUUACUAACACUUGUGUCAAGAUACCAUGUAUUUUCUUGACCUCCACUCAUGUCGUUUCAUGCUAGUAAAACAUAACAUCUUCACAAUUCUUCUCUUCAACAUAAUUCACUCUCUCAUCAAUUCUGGUACUUAGAGCUCUAUAUUCUGAAGCAUAAUACGCAAACUUUUGACAAUUAUAGCACUGUACUUGGGAUUUGUCAUACCUCGAUCUUGGAUUGCCUCUACCUCCUCUUUUGGUUGAGCUUUCUCUUUUUCCAUAAUUAAAGUUGUUGUUGUUGAAGGUCAACGACCUCUACCUCGUCCUCAAUCUCUACGUCGAACAUAAUGCCUUCUUUCAUUGUCCUCAAUCUCAUGAUUUCCAUCUUGAGGAGUUGUUCUUUAAUCCCAUGCUUUUUCUUCAUUUUUUUCUUUGUAGGCUUGCAACCUUCCUUGAAGUUUUUCGAUCAUCAUAGUCUUUAAAUCUUUUGUUUUCUCAACUGUCACAACAAUAUGGUCAAACUUCAAAUUCAUCGAACAAAGUGUUUUUUCAAUAAUCCUUACAAUGUUUAGCUCUUCACCAUUUCUUUUUAAUUCAUUAGCAACAGUCAUAACUCGAGUAAAAUAAUCUAAAAUAGAUUCAGAUACCUUCAUAUGUAAGGAUUCAAAUUCUCCUUUUAAUGUUUGGAGAUGAACCUUCUUAACCUAUUCCGCUCCCUUGUAAGAGGUUCUAGCUUCUCCUAUGCUUCCUUUGAGGAGGUUGUGUCAGCAAUCUUUUCAAAAGCAUCUCAUCUAAUGAUUGAAAGAUGAGAUACUUUGCUUUAUUCUUUUUUUCAAGUCUUUCAAUUUCUCCUUUUACGAUGCAGUUAAAGUAGCUUUAUUUUUUGGCGCAGAAAAGCCUUUUUUUCCACAACUUCCCAUACAUCAUGUGCCCUUAAGGGAGCGUUUAUUUUGAUACUCCAAUUGUCAAACUUGCUCCCUUUUCAAUUGUGGAACUUGAAAUGAUAUCAUGUCACCGUUUUCCAUAAUUCACAAAUUGAGCAAGAAUUUGAAGAUUCUGAAUGCACAGAUGGAUUCGGAACAUUGAAAAACAUUGGGAGGAACAUGGGUCAACUACUAAUCAAUGGGGAACGAUGGUCAAUAAUCAAUGCUAGUCAACAGUCAACAAUUCAGUUUGGAUUGGUUGAUUUGACUCGGUUUCGGCUUGAAAUAGUGCGGUUCAACUUGGUGAGUUGACUCAGUUGCAGGGCAGAAAACUUUUGGCGGCAAUUGCAGGGGUGUUUGGACUCCAAUCAGGCUGAUUUUUGCGGCACUAUUUUUGUCUCAUCGAGCUCUUUGAUUUGAUAUGCUAUAAUGCUAUGUGGAGUAUCGAUAACUAGCUCUAAUACCACUUUGUUGGAGAAUUCGAAGAAUAAAACAUAAAUUAUAUUGGAGAAAGCUCAAGAACAAUUCACACACUCACAAAAUAUUCUUAGAAGCUUUGUUUUCCUUGUUAUGCUUUCUUUUUCUUACACUUGAUGCAUAUAACACAAAUGGCAUAGGUAUUUAUAUUAAAUGAAAUACAAACAUAAUCAUAACAAAACACAUCACCCAACAUGUUCCACCAAGCUUUCAUCAUAGCACCAAAUAUAUUCCACUCAGCUAACAUGCUCUAAAGGAGUCCUUUAAUGGCAUCCAAAGUGCAAAACUAAUCUCCACUCAAUUAGAUGCUUCAUGGAUAUAACAUUGUAGGAUCGUGAUGAUGGAGCAUAAUGAUGAGGGGCCAUGUUCAACUAAACACCUCAUUCCACUUAAAUGAAUUAUUCUUGUAAAACAAGUUUAUUGUUUUCAACAAGGAGAGCUCCAACUACUGACAAUUGAGUGCAUGCUUAAAACAAUUCUAUCAUCUAUGAGUUGUAUGUAAUACAUAUUUUUUUUUUUCAGUUGCUAUUAAUUUUAAAAAAAUACUCUCUCCAAUAUUGGCAUUUCAAGAAUUAUUUUUAUUGCAUUUAGGGAGCAGAUAGUAAAGUCUUGUUUGGUACUAUUAUUGGACAUCUAUAAUUUUUAGACUAUAACAUUGAAAUAUUUGGUAAAUAAUUACUAGUGUGGUUUGGAAUUUAAGUUUUUUUCUUUUAUCUCAAACUUGUAUAACGAAAAACUUAUAAUAUCCUUUUACUUUUUGCAAAAUAUAUUAUAUAAAAGUCAUAUUUAUCACAAACUAUCAACUUUUAUAAUAUAGUACAUCAACACCAUAUAAAGCUUAAGGGUCCUGCUACUUUGCAACUGGUGUUUGUUACCCUUAUUUUAUCAUUUAGUGAUUUAACCAUUAAAUCUAACCAAAGAGUUGCAUGGCCGUGCAGAUGGGUUUGCAUGGUUAUUAACAUUGUCAUCCCUGAUGUUUUUUGAAAAAUUAGAAAAGGUAAAAGUUUCUAAAUGUUGACAUAUAUGUCCAGAUGUUUCAAAUUUUUUUACAAUUAAAUCUAUUGACCUAGUUUGACUAUUAGCAUGAGUAUAGUGUAUGGACAACAAUGUAAUCUCAUGUAAAAAGUUUUAAAUGCAUGAAAAAUUAAAACGCCUUAAUUAAUAUUUUGUUAACAUAAUAUCCAUUUAAUAUACAAUAAUUAUUUGAAUAUGUCAAUUAAAAAAGAAUACAUGAUAAAAAUAUAUUACUUUGUUAACAAUAAUAAUAUAUGACCAUAACGAACAUGCAUAUGCCUAAAUUAAAUGUUUCCAAUAAUAUUAUUAAUGAACAAGUUGUGUAAUUCGUAAGGUAUAUUUAAUUAAAUAUUUUUUUUAUUUUGAUACUAUUAUGCUGCGUUUACUUUUUGGAUUGGAUUGGGAAUCCUGAGGAGUGGGAAUCCAGGGAUUAGGAGUGUGGAGUGGGAGUGGGAGUAGAGUGUUUACUUAGACUAAAUGAAAGUAUGGAUUGUCAAUCAGAAUCCUAAUUAUUUGUUUACUUUGUCUUGGAUUGGGAGUAAAUUGUUUUAAAUUACAAUUUUAUCCUUAUGUAAAGAAUUUGUAGUUUUUUUUUAAAAAAUGAAUAAAAAAAUAUUUGUACAAUAACCUAUUUAUUUUAUCAUUAAUUUUAAUUAUAUAAAAUACUAAUUAUUUUUAAUGACGUAAAAUAAAUUUUUUUAUGAAUUUUAUUUUAAUUUUAAAACUAAAAAUUAUUGGUAAUAUUUAUCUGUAUAAACAAAAGACAAUUUAAAAUGUUAGAUUAUACUAUUACAUUGUGCCAUCGUCAAGAAAAUUAUUUUUCACAACUUUAAUUUUUCCAUCCUGUUAUUUUUUAUUUAUUUAUUUUUUCAAAUUUUAUGUGCAUACACAACUUGUUCUAAAUAUGAACAUAUCAAGGCAUAGGGCAGCCAUCAGUUUUGAUGCCUGGAGCUACAGGCCAUUUUGGCAAACAACCUUUCUAUUUUUUCCAGUGGCUUUCCAGUAGCUAGCUUUGGUGGCUCUAUUUGUUCUCGAGCCAUUCGGGUAAUUUCGAACCCUAGGACAGAAGAAGAACCAUUCUAUAUCUCAUUUUGGAAGGAAUGAUUUCUCUGCAAAUUUACAAUUGGAAAUUCAUUUUGUUGAAUUCUCAAAUCAAUAAGAUUAAGGUAAACAGAAUGACCGAAUAUAAAACAGCUACUCACUGCUUUUUUUCUCAUUAUUGUACAUGAAAACUUAAAUCCCAUAAAAUUGGCUUUUAGUACAAAAAGUUAAGGCCCCAUGUGAAGAAAGAUUCUAACAGGAAUCAAAUAAAUAAAACAAACGAAAAAGUGCUUUACAAAGCUAAAAACAAUUCCUUGUUCACAUUAACUUUCAACUGUCUUUGAUCACUAAAGCUAAUUCAUGUUUUUCAUGGCAAUUAGACAAAUACAAACAUUACACGAUUAAAAUCUGAGGUACUUGGUAACUGAUCAAAUUUGUACAAUUAGACCACAUGAAUACACAACUUGUUCUAAAUAUGAACAAAUCAAGGUAUAGGGCAGCCAUCAGUUUUGAUGCCUGGAGCUAUAAGCCAUUUUGCCAAUAGGUAAUACUUGGUAGAAUGAAGUCCCCACCACUAUGGUCCAAAAAUAUCAUUAGACUGCAGCAUAAAGUAAAUCAAUAUAGCCAUGAAAACAAAAUUAAAUAUUGUUCAUUAGUUCGAUAUAGUUUCGAACCCCAAAAUAUAUUACAUAGCACCUCAAGUCCAAGGUUCCAAAAUAAUAUUAUAUAAGAACACAUCUCUAAAGUUCCAAAAUAGUGUGUUCAUUUGACAAAACACAAUCUAAAUUUCUAAACUAAUACAAGGACUGCAUCUCACAAACCACGACCAAUCUUUCGAAGGAUAUACCCCUUUUUCAGCUCAUUGGGCAAGUUGAAGAACACACGUAGCAUAUCAUGUUUGGUUGCCAAAAUAUCAAUCGCAUCUAAUAUUUCUUGCUCGCCUAAGCCUUCAAUCUUACAUAUUUCACCAUACAACUUAGCUUGUAAAUCAGAUAAUUCUUUGUCAUCAGUAGAAAGUACGCUAAUCAACCCAUCAAGCUUGGGUACAAUGGCUGAAAUGGACUCUGCCAUUGCCCCCAUAUUUGAAGACAUAAUUUCAAAUGUCUUGUCCUUGGUUCUUAUUUUCUUCUUGGGAUGGCUGGAAUUACUUGGAAUGCUUUCAUUUUCAUUAGCAUGUGCACGUGAUUGUGGAGUGUGUGACAUAUCAUCAAGAAUAUUCUCCAUAAAAGUCUCAUGAGUGGAAUCAUUUCCUAAGGUGAAAUUAAAAUUGUCUUCAUGACGUACCUCUUCUUCGUCAUCAUCAGCAUUGCCGGCAUUUGCUCCAUUAGCUCUAUCACGACCAAAGAUCUCACUCAAUGUGUAAUAAUGGGGAAAUGGUUUGAGAAAUAACCCACUUGCAUCCUUUCUUUUCUAUUGGGGGAAUAACAAAACAAAGAAACAUGAACAGCACAACAACAUAAACAGGACAACAAAUGAUUGAUUAAUGUUAAACAAUCAGUGCCCUUUAAUCUUAAACGAACAUAAACAGCAAAUAUUUAACAAAGAAACAAGAUCAACACAUCAAAAGAAUGAAGCCUAGAAAUAAUAAUGGAACAAAGAAACAUGAACAGCCCAUCAACAUAAACAGCCCAGAAACGGAGUCAAAAACAGAGCACGAACAUCCAAAACAGCCCAAAUGAAAUAAAUCAGAUAGAUAAAGGACAUUAUAAACUUCAAAACCAAUUAUGAUCUACUCCCUAACUCUCAAUAGAAAGAAUAAAGUUAGGUAUUUUACCUUCACAUACUCAUCGUAAACACUUUUAUCACAUACAAUCAUCGACUUCUCUGAAUCCCAACCAAACCCACUUAGAGCUAACAUGUCUGCCACAGCAUUAUGUUUUAGCUUGAAAUACUUCACUCUAGAUUCAAUAUGGGGAUAUGCUUUCAAUCCACAUCCUGGAAUUUUCAACUCCAACAUACUUUCAAGUUGAUUCAAGUAUCCAGUUUGGAACCCACAAUCUACCCGCCACAUUGGAUUUUGACUCAAUUCAUACAAUGAAUCUACCAAUGCAUCAUCUUGGGCUGUUGUCUAGUAAUGCUUCGACAACCCACGACCUCUUUGACUCAUUCUAUUUACAAUAAAAUAAAUUUGUUAUAAAAAAAGUAUAACGUCAACUACACUUGAUUGUAUAGUUAAAUGCAACAUAUAAAAUGAAAAUAAAUGGCAAAAAUAAUUCAUCAUAAAAAAUAAUAAUAAAUUGCAUAAACAGCAAAUAUAAAAUAAUACAUUGUCAAUUAAAACAAUCACAUUGUCAUUGAAGGAACACACCAAACAAAUACAUUGUUAAAUACCAUUACAAGUGAUUUAACAAACUACAAUGAUAAUAAACGAAUGUCCUCAUGCAUUCCUCAUGUUCCACAUCUCUUGAGCUAAAUUAUCUCUCCAAGCAGACCACUCAUUUGAAGUGUCAAUUGACUCAAUGAAUUGUGCUUCGUCAACAUUGUCCCCUAUGUCAUCAUCUAUUUCUUCUUCCAUAACAUCGAUAGACAUUUCCGUUCUUAUGAAAUUGUGCAACAUACAACAAACAGAUAUUAUACGACGUUGUGUUAUAAUAUCAUAAAAAGCGGGACUUCUAAGUACAACCCAUCUCUUCUUUAAUAUCCCGAAACAUCGCUCAAUCACAUUGCGAGCACUAGAGUGUUUCAUAUUAAAAAACUCUUUUGGUGUAUGAGGUUGGUGUCCAUCACGAAAGUCGCUCAAAUGAUAACGUUCCCCUCUAUAUGGUGAAAGAAAACUCAUCCCAUUGGUAUAGCCAGCAUCAACCAAGUAAUAAUAACCUAUAAAAAGAAUAAGAUAAUGUUGUAUGAAAAAAAAUCAUUCGCCAAGUAAUAUACUCUCACAAGCUAAAGAAAAAUUUGGUUAAAUUUAUUACCAUGAGGGACUUUUAACCCAUUUGUUCUAGUUAAGGCAUCUUUUAGCACGCGCAUAUCAUGAGUUGAACCUUCCCAACCCGGUAAGACAUAUAUAAAUUGCAUAUCUUGUGAACAAACUCCCAAAACAUUUGUUGCAAUCUCAUUUUUUCUAGUUCUAUAUCUUGGUUUAUCGGCCUCCGAAACAUGAACUUUUAUAUAAGUACCAUCUAAAGCUCCUAAGCAAUUCUACAAUAAACCAUUAAAAAAAUUUAAUGAGUCAAUGUACAAAGUGUAUUAGAGAAGACACAAAUGAAACAAAAUAUUAUACUUACCGUAAACCACUUCCAUUUUGGGUCCGUUGAGUUGUCUGUAAUUGGCUCAGGUUUCUUCCAAAAUUCCUUUUGACAUCUAAUCAUUGCCCUUAAACACUCAUGAAAACAUUUACUAACUGUUCUUCUGGAUCUCUUAAAGUUAAAACCGACAACCCGAUUUUUGACAUGAUGUGCUAAGAUUGACAAAAACAUUGCAACCAUUUCCUCUGGAGACACCCUUUUACUUCUAACCAAACUCCCUUUCUCACAAAGAAGCUUACAUAAUUUGAAAAAUGCUUGUCUAUCCAUUCUUAAUUGUGACAAACAUUUUAUAUCACUUUCAAACACCAAGCCAUGCAAAUGUGACAGUUGUUGGUAAACUCUAUAAGCUGAAUUUGGACUUUCCAACCUUUGUUCACAAGAUAAGUAAACAUAGGAAUACAUAGCAGCACACACAGCCAUAAUCAUUUGCAACAUGACAACUAGUUCUUGUAUAAUUACCAAGAUUUUCUGCUUUCUUGCUAACAACUGUGCCAUCCUAUCGCUUAACAAAAAAGAAAACUCGAUAAAUAAAAUGGGCUGGAAAAUUAAUUUUUAUUUCUUUAUGAUGGAACCUCAACUAAAUGAGCUGGAAAAUAUAUUAACUAAUCCAUCAGUUAUAUAAAAUAAGCCAAAACCAACAAGAGGAAAUUUAUCAAAUCGAACAGCAGCAAAAACAAUCUCUUUCAUUCUCUUUCAAUUACUUUUCUGUUAAAACACAGACAAAAAUAGCUAAUGCUUGGAUGCCAGAGGCAUAAAAAAGGUCAAAAUUUUGCUAAAAUAAUAAUAAAUCUAAUUAUUUUUCAACUUGUCAUUGAUAAAGUGUUUUCUCAAUAGUCACAGCUAGAGGAAAUGAUAGCUUAAAUAAGAGAACAAGAAUAAAGUAGACUAUGUAAUUAUCAUGCCUUAUCUUUCCCAGCAUCAUUAUAUUAGUCAAACAUGUGGAGUCAAUAACUAAUCAUUAUGUCCAAAUAAGAACUGCAAAAAGUUUACAUUCCAAUAUAAAUAUAAACUAAUUAUAUUGCAAAAAGUUUACACUUGUUGAGUUCCCUUCAAAUAUGUUUACAUAUUUUAACCAUAAAUAGUUGUAAAUUAUGGACCCUAAUCUUACACAUGGCAAAAUCUUAAACUGGCAUGCAUUAGACUAAUUAUGGAUCUGCAUGUACACGAUCAUUGCUCUCUUGAAAAUGGGAGAAAAAAACCAAAUCCAUGCAUUAAAUUUUCACAACCCAGAAUAGAGAAAUUUUAAACAAAAAAAAAGAGCUUCCACAUGACCACUGAACUGGCACCACAUCUUGUCUCUAUACACAGUAGGAGCAAAAGCAGAGAAAAAGCACUUUCAACACACAAAAGAACUUCCUCUUUUAUUUUCACUUUUUGACCAAAAAAAAUAAGCAAAUCGGUUCGAGCAACACAUGUAACACAAAGAUAAAUUAAUGACAGAUCGUUGCAUGUAUGACUCAACAAAAACUAGAUCAGUGGCAUGAAUGUUAUUAGAAAACAUUACCUUCGAUGAUUCGAAAUCGACAAAAGAGAAUUUUUAGCAGCGUGGGUAGUGAUUCCAAAGCCGUGAUUGAGGCUAGUUCAUGUAUUCUCUUUUCGCCGGCACCGGUGACCUUUUCCAAGUGAAGAAAUCGAGCAAUGAUUUUGGGAUUUCACGAGUUAGAUUUUGGGAUUUCACUGGUUAGGGUUUGAUGAACUUGAAAUUCGUUACCAUUCAGUCUUUUUUAUAUAUGGUACAAUUGUAAAUUUUGAUAUUGUUUAAGGGCGUUUUUGGUAUCAAAGGAGUGGGAGUGGGACUCCCACCUCUCCCCACGGGAGUGGGAAUCCCAAUCCCCACUCCAAAAUUGAGUGGGUCCCACGGAGUGGGAAUCCCACUCCCCCUUCAAAACUUGCAAGUAAACGCUGGAGUGGGAGGAAUCCACACUCCUCACUCCCACUCCAGCAAGCAAACACUACAUUAGCUUCUUUGUGUAUGAUAACUGAAUUUCAUUUAUGUUUUUUCUUUACUCCUAAUUAGCAGUUUAGCACCCAUGAACUCUAUCCUCUAUUUUUGUUUCCUUCUUUUCAUAAACUCUAACCAAAUAAAAUAGUUUUAAUUUAAACCAUCAUAUUUUAGAAGUAGAUUUUUUGAUUGACGAAAGUCCUACUAUUGAUUCUUUGGUCUAUGCAGUAGUGUGAUUUAAAAAAAGGGUCCAGCUACCGUGCACUUGGUGCAUGGUACCCCACAUUUUGUCUAUUUAUGAGUUGCCCAUUAGAUUUAAUGCAAAACUUGCUUCAACAACAUGGAUGUAUUCUAUUUGGUUUUUAACAUUAACAUCUCUAUUGUUUUUCAAAAAAGAAAAAUAAUCAAAAGUUUGAGAAAUAAUUUUGGAUAAUUUUUAUAUUUUCUAUUUUGAUCAAGUGAUCUAAUUUACUAUUAAAAUUAAUGACAAUAUAAGGCCAAUAACUUGAAAAAAAAAUAAUACAUAAAAUCUUUUUUUUGAAAAUAAUAUAAUAUUAAUUUAAUAUGUAAUAAAUAAUUUAAAUAUAUAAUAAAAUAUAUUAAUUUAUCAAUAAUAUUAAACAAUUUUUAGAAACAGUAUAAAAUCUAUUUAAUCAAUAAUAAAUAAUUUAAAUAUGUAAUUAAAUUUUAAUUUAUCAAUAAUAAUAUGACCAAAUGACAAUGUUAAAAAAUUUUAUAAUAAUCAAUUAUGGUUUAGUACUCAAAUAUAAAUAAUAGAAAUAUAUUCUUAAGUGUAAAUAGUAGAAAUAUUUUGGACUUAUAUAUUCAAAUUUCAUAACUUUUAAUUUUUUUCACUUUUCAGCAAAUAAGAGGGACUGUAAAGUAAUUUACCAAAAACAAUGGUACCGUGUACCCAGGGCACCGUAGCUUCAUCCAAAGCUUGUAAUCAUUUACGCGUGAUUAAAAAUGUCAAAUUACUUUUCCACCACAAAAAAAUAAACACCAUUCUUACAUCAAAAGAGAAAUGAAAAAUUAAUACAUUAACUUAAAAGAGAAGAAUACAAAUAGAGAGAGAAAAUCAUAGAAUUUGAAAUGUUAAAGUGAUUUGUUCAAUAUAGAGAGAAAUUAAAAAGAAGUCCACUAAUAUUUUGUAAUUAGAAAACUAGCUAUAUAGACUAUCUUAGUAUCUUACAUAAAUUAUAUUAUAGAAUAGCCUAAAUAUAUUUAUCCUCACUAAUAAUAGGUUACGUACUCCUCAAGGUCAACAAGAUGUCUUUCCCAAAUUGUUUUUAUUUUUAUUUUUUCAUUUUCUUUUUAUCCAAUAGCUGAGGUGUAAUGGAGCAACAGUAAUAAAAGUUGCUGUUAAUUUUAUUGUUCUCUUUUUCUAAUUGUGUUUGUAUCAAAUUAACGAGUACCAAAAUUUCCACAAUUAAUCCUAGUUAGGGAUGGCAAAUAUCCAAUUCUGGAUGGAUAAUAUCCAUCAAAAUACAAAUCUAUAAUUAUCCAUGAUGGAUAUAUCCAUAUCCAUAUCCAGUAUUUAAUAUUGGACAUGGAUAUGGAUUUUAUCCAUAAAGAUAUGGAUAUCCAUGGAUAUCCACGGAUAUCCAUGAAUAUUUUAUUUUUAUUAUAUAAAAAAUAAAAAAAAUAAAUAAAAAAUAAUAUAAAAUAGUUAAAAUCAGUAUUAGAUUCUAAUAUCAAAUAAAAAAUAAUAAACAUAACAAAUAUCAAAACUAUGAAUUCAAAAAAAUUAUAAUAUGAAAUUACAAAUUAAUUUCAAAUUAAAUACAAAAAGUUCAUUCUUCUAACGCAUCAUUAAUCUCCAAUCUUCUAACACAUCAUUAAUCUCCAACUAGAUCAUCAUCAUUAAUCUGCAAAUUCAAGCAAAACACAGAUAAUAUUAAAUGCACAAUGAGCCAAAUGAAAAAUGAAAGAAGCUUAAUAGUGUAAGUUCAGCCAGUUGUGACAGUUACCUGCGGAUAUGAUGAGUGUCUGACCAGUAUAAUUCAGGUUUGCCUUUGCCCAAGGAAAUUUUCAAACUGCAACCAACUGAUAACAAGAAGUAAAUGAGAAAAUGACAGAAAAAAGCCAGACCUGCCAUUUGAUGCAUGAAUAGAGCAGAUAUGAACUAAACAGGAAAUUCUGAAACAGAGACUCCAAUUGUAUGUUUCUCAGCACUUUACUUCCUAACUAAAUAAAUAUAUAAUAUAGAUAGUAGGCAGUCUAUUGUGCAAAGGGCUCACAUGCUUAUUAUUUCUUAAUCUCAGAAGUGAUCAAAGUAUUUUAAGCAUCAACCAAGGCAGUUACAUUUUCUGUAAUAUUCAGCUUAAACCAUAUAAUUUGCCACCAUGGCCAUAACAAAUGAAAUAUCUUUGGCAGCCGGAUAGAUUUUUAAAUCAAGUGAAACUUAAGAUGAAUAACACAGGACAGAAGAUUAGGUAAUAGAAGACAGGGCCACAGAACAGAACACCAGGGAUCCGUAACAUUGAGGUCCUUUCCUAAAAAUAUACUCUUCAAUUAGGCACAACAAUAAGCAUCAAGCACAUACCAAAAAAAGAAAAAUAAACACUAUUCAGAACAUGGUUGGGUCUCCUCUUCAUCAUCAUUAUCAGUCACUUCUCCAUUUAUUUCUUCCCCAUUCAUCACUUUAUCUUUAGGAAUCUCACCUAAUUUAAAAAAAAAAACUUGUAAAAUAUAAAAAAAAAAAACAAAUACUAUCAAAAUCAAAUAAGUGCAGAAGUGAGCUGAAUUUGAUACCUUUUAAUUGAGCCCAUAUCCAAUUAUGAGUACACAUUAAGGCCUCUACUGUACUCGGAUGAAGUCUACUACGAUGUGGGCUUAAACAUCGACCUCCCGCACUAAAAGCAGAUUCGGAAGCAACUGUGGAGACCGGAACAGCCAGCAAAUCUCUAGCAAUCUCAGACAAUAUCGGAUAUCUACUUCUAUUCACCUUCCACCACAUUAAAAUAUCGAAGUCUGGAGUAGUCUUAUCCUCUUCUUCCAAGUAAUUAUCUAACUCCGACUUAACUCGUUUACCAAUAUGUUGGCUUUGAAUGCAUUAAAUUUUUGCACAUCCCACAUACCCAUCACAACUGAACUAGAAUUAGAAUUACAAACAACACUAGACUCACCAAAUCCUUCAGCCAAAUUCGAUCCAACCACACUCUUUUUUUUAUAUUCUGAAUAUAAGUCAGAACAGAGAGUACGGAUUCUAUCAACAUGAGUUGAUGCAUCACUACCAUAAAUCUGAGGAAAGAAAUAAUCCACUAGAACCAUUUUAUAUCUAGGAUCCAAUACAACAGCAACAGCUAUUACACCAUGGAUUUCAUCCCAAUAUUUUCCAAACUUUUCUAACAUACUUUUCGCCAUAUUUUUUUAUCACAUCACAUGAAGAAUUAAGCCAAGCAUUCAAUGAUAAUCUAAUUUCACAAAUUAUUGGAAAAAAUAAGUUAGCUGUUGGGUAUUUAGUGCCAGAAAACAUCUCAGUCAUAGUAUAGAAGGGUUUCAAACGCUCACAUACUACUCUUGCCAACUCCCACUCUACUAAACAGCUUAUAAGCUUCAGCAAUCAAAACUUACCUUGCGAGGGAGACAACAAACAGGCGGACGGACGACGGCGGUGGUAGCGACGACAGAGACGAUGGCAGCUGGAACGAGGCAGAAAAGCGCUCAAGAAUAGCUGGAAGCUACAGUUACGGCUGAUCAACCAUUGGUACAGCGCCGGCGCACCUAAACGGAACCCCCGGAAAGCAGCGUCGGAGUCGGGGAAGAGCGUCGGUAAGCGAAGACCGGCCAGCGAGCGAUGUGAUAAUCUUAGGUUUUGCUAUCCAGACAUUUGAUUUUGCUUAUUUCAUUUUAGUUUUACGAUUUUAAUUUUUUAAUUUCAAAUAAGAUAUUAAUUGGAUAUCCAUACCCAUCCAAUUUUUAUUUGGAUAUUUUUUUAAAAUACCCAUAUCCAUAUCCAAAAAGUUUUGGAUGGAUAUUAUCCAAUCCAAUUGGAUUGGAUGUAUGGAUAUCCAAUUUAAAUGGACCAAAUUGCCAUCCCUAAUCCUAGUAGCAACCUAACUCAUCAAAAAAAAAAAAAAAUGAGAUAGUGGGUUCAAGCUUUUGUAAUCGAAAGACUCAUAUCUCUUCCACGUAAUUGGUUAGGGAUAAAAAUCCUUCUUCAUAAAUGUGAGUAGACGGUGAAUUUGUUCCCUAAAUAUUAAUGAGAUAAAAUUUGGACCGUAACUUAAAGGUUAACCCCAUAAAUUUCUGUUUGUAUAUAUCAAUAAAUUUAUAGAUGAAAUUCCUAACACCAUGCAUAUGAAUGAUGCAAUUUCAUGGUACUAUCUUACCAAAAUAGCGUCAACUCAGACGUCAGGUGUAUAUUCUCGUCACGUGUCCAGACUCUUUCUUUAGUAUUAGUACGAAGUUCUACUCUCAACUUCUCUUCAUUUGACAACUUUGUCUCUUGCUAAAUUGACAGAAAUAUAAAGCAAUGGACUUUUGACACAUACACACCCAUAAUUUGUUGUAAAUUCCCACUCCCCAUUCUUGCCUUUACCUUUUAAUUUGUGACUCCACUCCCUCUUAUAAAACUAGGUUGAAGAUUAAAAAUAAUAAUAAUAAUAAUAAUAAUCCAUUAAGGCAUAGAAAGUGAAAAUUUUUUUAAUUCAAUAAUUAUGUAAGGGUAAACUCACUGUGAAUCACAAAUUAAUUAGAAAUAAAAAUCUUUAAAACAUACUUAAUUUGAUUUUAUUUAAUAACUUUUUAUUCAGUAAUAGCUUAGUCAUCCUACGUCAAAAGUUAUGCAUUAUUACUCAUUACGCAAUGAAAUUACAUUAUAGUUAUGAUAUUUUCAGACAAAAUAUUUCUUCAUCUAAAGUCUCUCUUCAUCUACUAUUUCUUCUCACCAUAUAUGAUCACAAUUAAGGUUCAAAAGGUUUUAUUGGAUACAAAUAUUGUAGGGCCCUAAUUCUUAUUGAUGUUGCGCGUUUUCUGUUUCAUUUAAUUUACUGGGUUGGCAUUUUGUGGCCAGAAGCCAAAUUACCUCCAAGCUAGGUUACUUUUCAAGAAAUUUCCAAAUCUUUGUCUCUUCAAAAUUUUAAUGCGUGUCAAUUCAAUCGUUAAAACUUCAGGCACUUGAUUUUAGUUGAAUCAUUCGAGAUUUUCUUGGAAUUACAGAGAAUAAUUUCUCAAAUUGUGGAUCAUAUUACUAAUUAUAUUUUAUUUUGCUUUAAAAAAAAUGUUUUUGAAAUGCAGAUGAUGUACUUAAUACUUUCGAAUUCAUCUUUUCUUCAGUAUCGUCGUAGCUGAAUAAGUAUAUAUAUUUUUCUAAUUACCUCAACCUCAAACUUUAAAAAAUAAAUAUAAAUUCCUAUAAUUAAUGUAGGGAACAUUUAAAUUUUAAUUUAAAUUAAACUGAUGAGUUUGUGAUAAUUUAUUCUUCGACUAUCUUAAAUUUUGUCUUUAAUUAAAGAAGUAAUAUUUAAAAGAAAAAAGGACACCUACACUCCUAAGAUAUGGAAAAACAGUCACAAAGACCCUCAAGUUUUCAAAAGGAAUACUAAGACCAUCUUUUUUACCAUAAUACUCUUUAAAUUUAGUAAUUUAGAAAAUUAACUUUGAAUUUUUUUAAUUAAUGCAAAUUUAAUAUAAAUAAUAUAAUCUAUCUAAUAAUAUUAAAUUAUUUUUAACAUUUAAAAUAAUAUUAAAUAUUAAAUUAUUAUAUUUAUUUUAAUUAUAUAUUUGUAUUUAUUAUAGAGAUUUUUAACAAAUAUUUGGGUUAAAUAGAUUUACAAUUAACAAAAUACCUGCUUAUUAAUAAUAUUAAAAUUAUUUUUAAUAAUACCCAAAAUAAUUUUGAUUUUAAUUUAUUUAUUUUAAUAUUAUGUUUCUAUUUAUUAUUAAAAUUACUUUAAUGUAAUAAAUUAGGUCUAAUAGAUUGUAAAAUAUAAAAAUAUUUUUAAAUAUUGAAAUUAUUUUAAAAUGUAUACAUUAUUAAAUUUAUUUUAAUGCCAUAUUUCUAUUUAUUAUAAAAUUUUCGGGUCAACAUUUUUAGAUUUAUGACAUCAAAAGGUAUUAUUGUCAAAAGGAGGUCUUAGUGUCCUUUAUUAAAAACUUAGGAGCCUUUGUGAUUAUUUUCUCAAAAAGGGUGUAGGUGUCCUUUUUCCUAUUUAAAAUUUACCUCCAAUGUAGUGCCGUAUGCAAAGCAAACAUAUAUACUAGUAUGCUAAAACCAUCAUCAUCGAUUAAAGCAGCUGGCAAUUAAGGGAGCAAAGGACAAUUGGCAUAUUAUUUUUUAUUGUUACUUUGUUGUUUCAUGACUCAAGUGUUAGAAAAUACUAGUCAUGAGCAGCCACGGUAAGAACUCAUGCCCUAAAUAAUUCUAGGGUGCACUACAAAUUUAUGUAUUUAGGCUCUCAAUAAAUUUCAGAUGAUAAUGUAUUUGUAGAAAUAAUAAUUAAAAAAAUAACAAAAGUAAUAGUAGUGAGCCUGGCCAUGGACUACCACGCUUUGGUCACUUUCCAUUGGUGCUACAUCGGCCUCCUAUGAUAUGGUCUUCGGUGCUACCACCUCAGUCAUCAGCUCAUCAAAUCCCUUUGCUUGCCCAUGGGGCAGCAUCCCACAACUACCACCUUGCAAAUGGCCUUCACCGCGGUGGGUCCCAUCACCUAAACCAGCUGUCGACACUCAAUCAAACUCUAAUUAAAACAUUAUCAUGUCUCCAUGAUGUGUGUCUACUACUUACUUUUCAUAAGAAAUGUAGGUUUGGACUUUGGAGUCAAUGAAUAUCUUGUGGGAUAAGUAUAGAAUUUCCUUCGUUUUGUCAACUCCGUUUAAAUAUGAAGCUUUACUCUCAUUUUCCCUUCAUUUGUCAACUUUGUCUCUUCCUGAGUUGACACAAAUAUAUAUAUGAGCUCAAGGCAGUGGACAUUUGACACCAUAUAAUUUUGUUGUAAAAUUCUAGUUCACACCCAUUAAUUUUUGCCUUUUGCCUUGUAAUUUUUUCACAAUGCCUAAAGCUGAAGCUGGAUCCCUUAAGCUCGAGGCCAGGCGCAGAACUUAUUGCCAGCAGAAAAUGGAGCAAGUUCUUUAUCUCCCUCCUAAGAGAGGAUGCAUUAAGCGUCGAAUUUUCUCAUCUGUUUAUCACGAGCUGAAGGUCAUUCUUCACGAACUCGGUUUUCAUCUCCUUUGUUCCUGUUUUGGCAAUUCUUCUUCAGGAUGAAUUUUAUUAACUAGCUCUUGAUGCUUUUGAAAUCUAGAGUCAAUAAAAAUGCGAAUAUGUUCUUAAUUUUCAUAGUUCAAUGUAUAUUAUAUUAUACAAAUAAGUCUAGGCAUUUUAUAAAUUAAAUUCAGUACUUAAACUGUUUUGGUGAUAUAUACGAAGCUUUAUGGUAACUUUAUGAUCUUUUGAUGUAUGCUAUUGUGAUGGUAUUUAUAUGAUCAACCUUGGGAGUGCAACUAGUUUCAUUAUCUGUUUCUCAUGAGUCAUGAGCAACACAACAUGACCUCUCAUUUUGGUUGUAUUUAUUUAUUUAUUAUUUUUUGUGUGAUAUUGUUCCCUUGUUAAUUACUUGCUCUUGUAAUGUAUAUUCUUUGUCACACUGUUGACCUGUUGAGGACAACUUAAGUUACUUUAAGGAAAUAUCCAAGAAUUAUACCAAUGGCUUUUUAGAAGCUUGCAUGAACAAAUAACAAUAAUAAUAAUAAGAAUAGGCCUUGUAGUCCAAUGGUGGGGACAACCAACACUGUAUGCAAUAGUUUGAGUCUAUCUAGGAGUUCUUUCUCCUUUUGUAUUAUACUUGGUAAGUAUCUAUAAACGUUGUAUCUAAAUUUUUAGCGGACCUCUCGUAUUAUAAUAUACUUGUAAAAAAGAAAAAUCGAAAAAUCUGUUUUAGUAUCCCAUAUCUUUAUAUUGUCUGGAAACUCCUAUAAUGUCAUUAAAAAGCCUUGGGCACUUGCAAUCUCAUUGAAAUUAUGUAACAGAGACAUCUCAAAAGUCAAAAGGGUUCACAACCCGGUCCGUAUUAUAUGCAGAUAAUUUUGUUUUUGUUUGGAAAGAAUAAUGAAUUAAAUGUUUAAAAACAUUUUUAUUUUGGUCAUUAUGGAAGCUUCGAAGGAAUUGUGCUCGGCAGCUAGCCAUCAAUUUUUCCAGUAGUGUCAAAUAACUGAGAGCGCGUGAUUUGACUUUGCGCUUAUUCUAAACUUCAAAGAAAUUCCAAUUUGACAUUUAUAACAUUAACUCUGGGCCCAAGACCUACUUUUGACAUUAAUUAACCAUUUGUUCUUGCCCUUUGACUUAUAGUAGUCACGUUUGUCUUUGCUUGAUCUUUUUAAUUUGUGACUUUCAUUUUCUUUUCUCUUUGUUUUAUUUUUAAAUAAAUUAAAUAACAAUCGUAUUGAAUGUAGGACGUUAUUUUAAAAUUCUAUAAUUUUUAUUAUUUUAAGACUUUUUAUUUUAAUUAGAGUCAAUUAUAGUAUAUAUCUUAAUAUUUUAUUUCUAUCAUAAUUAUGAUUUAGUUUUUUUUUUACAUUAACUUAGUAAAGUAGGUUUCCUCUAUUAUAAAUAGAGAAGUCUUAUCAUUAUUUUUAUAACUUCAGCUUCAAUUAUUUAAUAAAAAAAUUUUUUUUAUAGUUUCAUCUGUGAUUAUCUAUUAAAAUCUCUCUUCUAAAGUCGUUUAGAAUGGAACAUCACCUAAUCUCACUUUAUACGUUAUUAAAAAUCUCAUUGAGUCAUUUGGAUUAUAACGAGAUUUAAUCACGCUUCGAUAAGAGUAUAACCUAAUCGUGUUGACUUGGUUUAAUACUAAAACAAUAUAUAAUGUUCCUUACCAAUCAAUUCUGCUUCUACAAGGUUGCUAUGUUGCUCCGUCAUAGACAGAUAAUAAUGCGUUACAACAAGAUUAUAAUAAUGCCUUACAACAAGAUUAGAAAAUGCUCUAAUCCAAAUAACUCAAAUAGAGAGAUUUAGAUAAAUAAUUACAGAGGAAUUAUACAAGAGGAUUUUAUUAUUAAUCAAAGGUUAUCAAAUAGAUUAUUUAACGACUCUAUUUACAAUAGAGCAAAUACAAUUGAAUCCUAUCUAGAUAAUAGCAGGAGGACUCUAAUAAAAUCUGAUUAACAAAAGUUAGAACACUUGCUAAAGUAAUUAAUUGUCCAAAAUCAUUUCGCUUCUCUUGAAAGAAACUCAUCCUUGAGUUUACGUGCAAUCUGAAGGAUAGAACUUGUAACAUAGCAUCAAAUUAUCUCAAUGAUUGAACUCAUAUCCCUAUCGUUGAUCUUCCUUGAAACUUUGAACAACUAAUAUUUCAUGUUCUUUCUCCAUUUUCUAGAAGAUGAAAUUUGUACAAAUGAAGAGCCUCAAAGCCUCUCAAGAUUUCACCAAAUCUCUCUCAGUAUGCUUGCUAAUUAACUUUAUUUUUACAACUAGAACUUCUUCAAGCACAACCUUCUUAGCUUCAAUGUAAAUAGGCAUAACCAAUAUCAAUAAUUGGUUUUGACAUGUCUUCAAAUUGAAUUGGCUGCAAAAACUAAAUUAUACUAUUAGGCUCAAUGCACAAUUUAAGAGUAGAAGUCACCUCUUCUUUUACAAUUGUGAACAUGUCUUCAAUUACUUCCUCUUGGGCAUUUGAAAUCUCAUGCACAUCUUUCAUCUCCUUCUUAGAAACAUCUCUAAGAUUAUUAAUGUCAAAGAAAGCACCUACAAGUCAGCACCGAAUUUGGUACUUGACUUUGGUGCCAGCAAAUUAAAGAAAAUGGAGAUCAUAGCCCAUAAAUUUUGAAAGCUAGGAUUGACAAAAUUGAAGCCACAUAGAUUGACAAAAUUGUAGCCAUACUUGUUGGGCUGUAAUCGUUAAUUUCUUGGUUGAUUUUGCUAUAAAUAGAGUUGCAGAUAAAGAGCUGAAGCAUUCCAUUAAGAGUGAAGCAAUUUAGCAUUUUAGAAAGAGAGUUUAGAGAGCUUGAAAUUAUAAGCUCUUGUUAUAGUGAUUUGAGAGAUUAGGUGUAUUGGGGUUCUAGGUAGUGAGUUAAAAUACCACAAUACUUGUUACUCUUUUUCACUAGUAAAAUAUUUUCCUUUUAUCUUCGCUUGUGGACGUAGGCUAAAAGUUGAACCACGUAAUUUUUAGUUUCUUUGUGUGAUUUUGUGUCUCAUUAUUUCUCAAUUUCACUUUAUUUGUAUGUCUACUUCACCCAUCAAUUUCCCAACAAUUAUCAAGCUAAUUUACCCAGGUUUGCUUUGAACUCCUUCAAAAGAUGACAUUCAAUUUGUGUAGCCAAUUAAGGAGAUGGCACAAUCUAAGGUGUAGGUAGGGUACGAAGGCAUUCUAUUAUGUCAACAUGAAAACCCUCUAAAAUCUCACAACUAAUAAUUCUUCAAUCUCGUCAAAAUAUGCUUGCCAGUAAAGUCUUUCAAACUGAUCAGCAUAUCAUAAAUAGAUCUCAUAUCUUAAUGAGUCAAACAAUAAUCAAGAGGAAUGAAUCUUGAUCUCAACAUUCUCUUCAAACAACUCCAUGAUUGAAUUUUGUCUCUUCCUUCGAGACAUCUACACUUUUGCACGCUAGCCCGUUAAUUUGAAUACUCAUUUUCACUUGAAAUUAACCACAAAUGAUACUUGAUCCUCUUUUGGCACUCUUGCAAGUUACAACUUAAAAGAAUUUAUCAAUUUCAUCCAACAUUAAAAGGAACGAUCAAAUUCAACUGACUCUAUCAAAGAGAUUUAGAUAAAUAAUUAAUUUCAAAAGAACUGCGAAAGAGGGUUUUUAUUAUUGAUCAAAGGUCAUCAAACAAAUUACAUAACCACUCAAUUUAUAAUAGAGUGAAUCCACUAGUCUAAGAAAACUCUAAUUCAGAAAUUGAGUUCUACCUAGAUAAUAAUAUAAGUAUUCUAAUAACAUAAACACUUUAUAAAGUAAUUAAAAAAUUGUACUAUGUAUAAAUUAUAGUUCUAGCUGCUAUUUCCUUUUGGAGAGGUGAGAAGUGAAGCUCUAGGCUGAAAAGAUAUCAAAUAAAUUAAUAUCUGGUUGGUUUAGUUUAAAUAUAAGUGGAAGAAAGUAAGUUCUUUCUUUUUAUCUAUUAGUUGAGAUGUAAUGGAGAAGUAAAAAAAUAAGAAUUUCUAUUACAUUUAGUUUUAUGGUUCUCUUUUUUUCCACCUUUUUAAUGUUUGCAUUGAAUUUAGCAAGUUCUGAGUUUCGAUGCCCGAAAAAGAUUAGAGUAAUCCGAUGUGUAGAUGAUCGUUUCAAGUUCAUGUGAAGGCCUUUUUAUACCAAAAAAAUGGGUAUGCAUACGGGCAUAGAUUUUUCUCUUUUUGUUUUUGAGAAAUUAAUUAAAGCAUUGUAACCUAAGUUUGUGCAUCUUAAUUAUCCCCAUGACUUAUGUUUAGAGAUGGUAAUAGGAGUCACAAAAUGAAUAAGAAAGAAUUUUUUUUCUUUUUUCUAAAAGUUGGUCUAAAUUGCCAUAGUUAAUAAUUAUUGCGUCGUUUCAACUUAAAUAUUAGUCGCGCUACGUUAUGUUCAUCUAUUAAUUGUAUCAUAUUUUCAUUCAACUACCCCAACACCUUUUCCUGAUAAUGAAAAAUUUUCAUUAACUGCCACAGUUAAUAAUAGUCGUGCACGCUGGGUUAUGUCUAGCUUGCCACUGAGAGUCGACAUGUGUUAAUUGGUACCUUGAUAAUCAAUUCCAAUUAUUUAGUCCGUUUUGUGAAACGUUUCACUUGAAAAUCAAAUGGUGCAUAGCCCACUAACAAAUGAAAUACAAAGAGUUGGCUGGAAUUAAUCCUCAAUCGGUGUUGGUGCGAAGAGUAUAUGUGACGUUAUUGCUGCUGUUUUUUAAGUUCUUUGUUCGUGGAUAACUCAUCAACCAAGUCCACAAACAUUUGGCGUCUAAAGAGGAUCAAAAUUUUCUCCUGUUCUGAUCAUGUACUGAGUAAAUAACUCAAUUACUGAUUGGUAGUUAAUAAAUAAAAAAAUAAAUAAAAGUUGAAUUUUACCAAUAUACAACUAUUUAAAGACACAUGACAGAAGAUCUUAAAAAGCUCAUAAGAAAUCAUAUAAGGAGAGAAUCAUUUUCCGUCUAAAGAGGGCUAUUAGUCAGAUGUGGAAGACAGUUCAUGAGCUAAAAUUUGAGAGUGUGGGGUCAAAACAAGUUGUUUUCAGAUUCGCAUGGAGUCCAUGGCAUUUUAACAGGUGCUUGAUAUACUCUAUAGAUAUCAAUCUGGCCUGCACGCUGGGUUAAGUAGCUUUCCAUUAAUAGUUAACUGGUGUUAAUUGAUGAAAUAAAGAAUUACACUUGCUUUGACAAUCAAUUCCAACCACUUAGUCCCUUUAUACAACAUAUUAUAAAGUAAAUUAUAUUUUAAUUGUAUUUCACAAAAAUUAAUUAAUUUUUUUUUCCUUCAAGUAAAUUUUCCUUAAUAAAAAAAUGUGCAAGGAAAUUAAUUGUUUUGACUACAGAAAAAUAAAAAAUAAUUAAAUUUAUGUCCAUUUUAAUUAUUACACGAUAAAACAAUGGAGAGCUCUCAUUUUUCUUACACAACAAAGGGUACUUAACUGUUCUGACAAUAUAUAUAUAUAUAGUGCUAUUGUAACUUUAUGAUCAAUGGUAUUAAUAUGAUCCACCUCGGGAGUGAAGCUAGUUUCAUCAUCUGUUUCUGAAUUGUGGUAUGGGAUUAAAGGUGUCUCCCAUAAUUGGGGCCCACUCAAGAUUACCUCGUGGUUCAGGAAAAAAAAAAAUAAUUAUUGCAUCGUUUCAAUUUAAAUAUUAGUCGCGCUGCGUUAUGUUCAUCUAUUAAUUGUAUCAUAUUUUUAUUCAACUACCCCAACACCUUUUCCUGAUAAUGAAAAAUUUUCAUUAACUGCCACAGUUAAUAAUAGUCGUGCACGCUGGGUUAUGUCUAGCUUGCCACUGAGAGUCGACCUGUGUUAAUUGGUAUCUUGACAAUCAAUUCCAAUUAUUUAGUCCGUUUUGUGAAACGCUUCGCUUGAAAAUCAAAUGGUGCAUAGUCCACUAACAAAUGAAAUACAAAGAGUUGGCUGGAAUUAAUCCUCAAUCGGUGGUUGGAGUGAAGAGUAGAUCUGGAGUUAUUGCUGCUGUUUGUUAAGUUAUUUGUUCGUGGAUAACUCAUCGACACAGUCCACAAACAUUUGGCGUCUAAAGAGGGCUAUUAGUCAGACGUGGAAGACAGUUCAUGAGUUAAAAGUUGAGAGUGUGGGGUCAAAACAAGUUGUUUUGAGAUUCCCAUGGAGUCCAUGGCAUUUGAACAGUUGCUUGAUAUACUCUAUAGAUAUCAAUCCGGCGUGCACGCAGGGUUAAGUAGUUUUCCAUUAAUAGUUAACUGGUGUUAAUUGACGAAAAAUAAGAAUUACACUUGCUUUGACAAUCAAUUCCAACUACUUAAUCCCUUUAUAUAACAUAUUAUAAAAGUAAAUUAUAUUUUAAUUACAUUUUACAAAAGUUAAUUAAUUAUUUUUCACUUCAAGUAAAUUUUCCUUAAUAAAAAAAUGUGUCAAGAAAAUUAAUUGAUUUUACUACAGAAAAAUAAAAAAUAAUUUAAACUUAUGUCCAUUUUAAUUAUUACACGAUAAAACAAUGGAGAGCUCUCAUUUUUCUUAAACUGUUCUGCCGAUAUAUAUAUAUAUAUAUAUAUAUAUAUAUAUAUAUAUAUAUAUAUAUAUAUAUAUGUGUGUGUGUGUGUGUGUGUGUGUGUGUGUGUAUGUAUGUAUGUAUAUAGUGUUAUUGUAACUUUAUCAUCAAUGGUAUUAAUAUGAUCCACCUCGGGAGUGCAGCUAGUUUCAUUAUCUGUUUCUGAUUUUGGUUUUAGUUGUUUAUUCAUUUAUUUUUGUGUGAUGAUCGAUGGUCCCUUGUUAAUUACUUGCUUCUUCUAAUGUUUUAUUCUUUGUCGCAUUAUGGACAUUUUGAGGACUCAUUAAGUUACUUUAAGGAAAUAUCUAAGAAUUACCAUUGGUAGCUUCCAUGAAAAAAUAAUAAUAAUAAUAAUUGGCCUUAUAGUCAAAUGGUUAAGGCAACAGUUUCAAGGAGUGCUUUCUCAUUUUAUAAAAUUUUAGUGAAAAUAAAUUUUUGAACUAUUCUUAGUGGUUCUCUACGAACGUUAGUAUCAAAAUUUUUAACCGAUCUCAAAUUAUAACAUAUAUACAAAAAAGAAAACAUCUAAGAAUUUGUUUUAGUAUCAUGCAUAUUUAUAUUGUUAGAAACUCAUUUAAUGUCAACUUAAUCAUUAAAAAAGCCUUUGGCACUUGGUCUUUUACGAUCAUUAUUUAAAUUCAAUCUCAUGUAAAUUAUGUAAGAGAGAUACCUCAAAAGUCAAAAGGACGUUGUAUAUAUCAGAUAAUUCUGUUUUUAUUGGGGAAGAAUCACGAAUUAAAUGUCUAAAACCCUUUUUUAUUUUGGUCUUUGACUCUGGUUUCUAUAGCCAUUAAAGAAGCUUCGAAGGAAUAAUCCUCGUCACCUUAUGAUUUCAUUUUGCACCUAACAUAAACUUCAAAGUAAUAUCCAUUUGGCAUUUAUAUUUUACAAUUAACUCUUUGUCCAAAAGCAAUUAACUUUUGACAUUAAUUAACAAUUUAUACAGUAGUGAUGCAUGUCUUUGCUUCAUCUUUUUAAUUUGUGACUUUAAUUUUCUUCUCUCUUUGUCUUUUUUUUUAAUGAAUUACAUAACAACUAUAUUUUUUUUAUAUAUAUUACAAUCAGAGCGCUAUUGAUAUUUACAAUUAAAAAUCAAUCGGAACUCUUUUAAAAAUGUUAACCCUCACUUAAAGUUGGAAGGAGGUCUUAUCCUCACUAUUAAUAUUGAAGGGAGAUCGAUUCUACCCCAAUGUGGGGAGCCUACUAACCCUCAUUAUAUAUGGGAAUCAAAUCUCAGCGCUGGCCCUGCGCUAAGACUUGAACCUAUGCCCUCAAGGUUGUUGAGGGUUUAGGAUUUAGGAUUGUUGAGGGAAUGAGCAUGCCAAUAAGCUACGGGUUCAUUGGCUACAUAACAACUAUAUUAAACAUAUUUUAAAAAAAUAUUUAUAUAAUCAUAUUAUAUUAUCAAAACUGUAAUUCAUUUUUAUGAUUAUUAAAAAUUCAGCAGCCUCCAUUCAUCGCCACAAAACUCCAAAAAUAAUAAAAUUAUAAUACAAACUAGAGUUUGAGAACAGUUAACAAUCUGAAUUACCUAAAUAAAUAUUAAGUUGAGUUAUUUACGUAAUACAUAGGAAAAAAAGACAUCCAAAUUUUAUGAAUUUUCUUAGGUCACACCGAUACCAUUGGUUUUAGAAAUAAUCACGCAUAUAUUUAUUUUUAAAGAUGAAAUCUUUUUACUACAGCAAAGUUUUUUAAUACAUGCAGAUAUAAUAUUAUAUAUAUAUAUAUUGUAAAUUAUAAUUCUAGCAUAGUUCUUGUGAGAAAAUAAAACAGUGAGAUAACAAAUUAUAUGUUAGCAAAUUUAAACAAUAGUGUAAGCUAACAAUCAGAAACAAUAAACGAAGAAAAGAAGCGGAAGAAACCGAAUUGAAAUAAAAAACCCGAGGCCUACACAAAAACAGUCUCCUUAAAACAGAUUUACCACCUUUACAGAGUGCUUAAGUUUUGCUAGUAUCUGUUUCCCAGGAUGCAACGGGUACGAUUAGAAAAAAAAUAAACGAAGCACAACAGUGAACUCGAUUAGAAAAAAAAAAAACGAAGAAGGAAGAAAAAACAAGUGUUCUCGGUGUUGAUUUUCGGAGUGUUCAAAAACUGAAGAGGAAGUGGCUUUUUAUAGCCGUGUGAGGAUUGUAAAACUGCUACGCUACACAAAAAAUUAAAAAGGAAAUAAAAACAUGCCAAGCUUGCAUGGAUGAUUUUGGGCUGACAUUUGCGUACGCAGGACGUGCGGGUGCACAUGAGUCAACCAAAUCGGUCUUGAAUUCGCACCACCCCUUGCGAAGAGAGCCUCUAUCCUUAUAAUCCUUAAUCGUGCAUGGUUAAGUGUUUAUAUAUAUACACUAAUUCCUAGGCUUCUUUUUCCCAUGUGGGAUAAGCUUCAUUUCCUUUCAAAUUUCUAACUCCAAAUGUGAACUUUGAGAGACAAUUUCUCAUUCACCCAAGUACCAUUUUGAGAAAAUAAAAUUAUACUAUUGAAGUAUCAACGGAGUAGAAUCCGAACCUCACAAUAUUUUCCACUUUCAUUAAGUGGGACCUACUCAAAAUGUGCUCUCAAAAUAGCAUGUUAUGCUAUUUUUUCAACAGUUCUUUGCAGCUGUAAAGGAUGAGAAGUUAAGCACUCGGCUGAAAAGAUGUCAAAUAUAUUAAUCUCCGGUUGGUUUAAGUAUAAAUAUAAGUGGAAUAAAUUAAGUUCCUUCUUUUCAACUAUUAGCUGAGAUGUAAUUGAGCAGUAAGUAAUAAUCUGUUACAUUUAGUUUUAUUGUUCUCUUUUUUUCUUUUUUUCCUUUUUUUAUUUUGCUUGUGUCGAAUUGACAUCAAAUAUUUUCCACUGUUAAUCCUAAUAUCAUAUGUAUCAAUUAUGCAAUAAUAUGAUAUUAUCUUGCGAAAAUACUGUCAUUCCAAGUGUAAAUUCUCAAUCUUCCAAGGAAUUUCCACUACUACACUCUUCUUUAAGACAAUAUUCAACUCUCAAUUUCCCUUCAUACUUACACCUAACUCAGAAAAUUAUCAACUAAUUUGUCUCUUGCGACGUUAUAUAUAUAGAGAGGUUUCAAUGAUAGUUCCCACACUAUACAGUGGAUAAAAUUGCACAAUGUAGCGAAAAAGGUAACUUUUGACACAUUAUAAUUUUGUUGCAAUUCUCACUCCCAAUAUUUUCAGAUGUAGAUAAUGUUAAUGAUUAGAGUUCGAUGUAUUUUGUUGUAAAAUAAAAAUAAGUCCACGCUUGAAUUUUUAUGCCGUUUUAUAAGAAAUCAAAAUGAAAUAUUUAUUAAAAAGAUCGUUGAUGAAAUUUAAUGCAAAAAUAAAUUCUAUUGCUUGUUCGUUAAUUCAAAUUUCAAAUUUUCAAAAAACACAAACGCAGUUUGCCUUAGUUCAGAUUUUCAAAAAGCACAGACAUACUUAAUCAAUUGCAAAAAUAAUNNNNNNNNNNNNNNNNNNNNNNNNNNNNNNNNNNNNNNNNNNNNNNNNNNNNNNNNNNNNNNNNNNNNNNNNNNNNNNNNNNNNNNNNNNNNNNNNNNNNNNNNNNNNNNNNNNNNNNNNNNNNNNNNNNNNNNNNNNNNNNNNNNNNNNNNNNNNNNNNNNNGAAGCAGUAUGCAGCUUCCAAAUCUAAAAUUCAGGCGAUCGACAUUUAACCGGCCUAUUUAAAGUGCGGAUUAAAUUAAGGAAAAUUAUUAUUCCAUCACUUUUUUUGUUUUAUAUUCAUCUAACCACCACAAAAUUUUAACAUGUUCUCUAUACCAUCUUUCUUUUUAAAUUUGUAUUGAUUAGCCACUUUUACAGUAUUAUCGUUUAAUAAUUUAAACAAAAUGAUAAUUUUACUCCUAAAUAAAUUAAAAGACCAUUUUAUUUUAUAAAAGUUUUGAAAAAUAAAAAAAUUAUAAUUAUAAAACACCCCUAAAUUUAAUAAAAAAAUAAAUUCAAAAUAGAGGUGUUCAGCUAAUUUUUAUUAAAUUUAGAUUUUGUAAAAUUUUAAUAAUUAUUUUUAUUAAAAUUACUAAACUUAUUUAAUAAAAUAGAUCCCAAAAUUUUAAUAAUUUAGGGAAGUUUUAUUAAAUCCCAAAAUUUUGCAAUUAUUUUAUAAUUAUAAUUUUUUAUUAAAAAUAAAAAUUCUAAUUUUGGGAUUUAUUUCUUUAUUAAAUUUAGGGGUAUUUUUAUAAUUAUAAUUUUUUAUUUUUAAGUUUUUAUAAAAUAAAUGGUAUUUUAAUUUAUUUAGGGGUAAAUUUAUCAUUUUAUUUAAAUUAUUUAAUUAUAUUAGCAAAAGUGGCUAAUUGAUACAAAUUUAAAAAGAAAGGUGGUGCAGAGAAUAUGUUAAAAUUUUGUGGUAGUUAUAUGAACAUAAGGCGCAAAAAAAAAAAAAGUGGUGUAAUGAUAAUUUUUUUAAAAUUAAAGGGUGAAGGCUAAAAAAUCGUGAAGAAUGUGACUCUUCAAUUUGUGACAUAAAAAUUCAGUGACAAAAGAAGCUUCACCUUCACAAUGCAUGAUCAUGAAUGUAUACUAGUAAGUUAUCACAAUAGAAGCCUCAUAUAUGUAUACAUCAUAAAGUACAUUUAUUUUUGCUGUAAUUUUGUUCUUCUGGAGCUUUUAUUUCCUUUGCUAGCCUCGAGAACUCAACUGGAAUUUUGUAUAAAAUUCUUUGUAUUAAUUUUACAUUUGUAAAAUAUAAUAGAUCAAAUUAUUUCUCGAAACUUUCAUUUUUAUCAAUAUGUGUGCCGCCGUCUUCAACUUAGAAUUGGGCCUCGCGCACCACCAUCAUCGUUGGAUUCUUCGCUACCAACACCAUAACUUUCAAAUCAGCAGUCGCCAGCCAUUCAAUCUUUGUAUUUAGAUUUUAGGAAAAUUAUCUCUAUAUUAUUUUUAUUUUAUCAAAUAUACAUCUAAUUAUUUCAAAAUUUUAAUAUAUUUUUUGUACAACGUUUAUUUUUAAGUUUGCAUCAAUAAAUUAUUUUGACACUAAAAAAUAAUUAUUUUAUCCUUAAGUGAUUUAAAAGACCAUUUUAUUCUAUAAAAUUUUAAAAAUUAUAAUUACAAAAAUACUCAUAAAUUUAAUAAAAUAAAUAAAUAUCAAAUCCAAUAUAUUAACUUUUUAUAAUUAUAACUUCAUUUAAAAAUUAUCAUGUUAAUUUUUUGUGAUUAUAAUUUCAUUUAAUUUGUAUAGAGAAGUUUCUUAAUAUUAAUUAUAGGAAAAUUUACAAUAAUUAUAGGGAGCUUUUCUCUUCAUGUUAAUUUUUAUAAACUUCCCUAUACUUAGUUUAAUUACAAAAAUUAAAUGGAAUUACAAUUACAAAAAAUUAUAAUUACCAGAUAUUAAUUUUUUAUAACUAUAAUUUCAUUUAAAAAUUAUCAUCUUACAUUUUGAAAUUUAUUUUUUAUAGAAUUUAGGGGGAUUCUUGUAAUUAUAUUUUUUAUUUUUAAAAAAUUUUAUAGAAUACAAUACUCUUUUAAUUCAUUUGAAGAUAAAAUAGUUAUUUUUAGUUUCAAAGUAGUUGAUUGAUACAAGUCUAAAAACAAAUGUAGUAUAAAGAACAUAUCAAAAUUUUGUGGUAGUUAGGUAUACAUAUAACAAAAUGAAAGCAAUAUAGAGAUAAUUUUCCUAUAUUCCAUUUUGUAUAACAUGAAAUAAUUUAAAUAUUUAAAAAAAUCUUUAAAUUAUUGUUUAAUUAUAAAAAUAGAAAAACGUCCCCCUGGCUGUUGAAACAAACAGCAGGUCAAUUAAAUAUAGAUUUGAGUGGAAUAAGGUUCUUUUCUUUUCUGGGUCAAUUGGCUAAGAUGUAAUGAAGCAAAGUAUAUCAUGAAUCCAAACAUAUCUCGUCAUUAUUAUUAUUGUUGUUGUUACAAAAGCUAUUAGCCAACAAUAUAAAAUAAAGAAGCAACACAAGAUGAAGAAUAAAAUGAGAGAGCAAUAUAUUAUAGAGUGAUUUUAUUCAUUCCAAGUGUGUGUACAAAACAAAGAGAUGAACUCUCAUCUUAAAUGUAAAAAUUAUGGAUCAUAAUUCCUAGUGAGAUAGUGAGAGUUAUACGAAAGUUAAAGGUUGCUAAUGGGAGAUAGUGGGGAAACUAAGAGAUAUAUGUUAUGAACAUCCACAUUUAUUUUAAUAAAUUCAUAACACUCACCCUUAGAUGUUCAUUACAAAGAAUAUGCCUCAUUAAAACCUUACUAAAAAAACCUCUAGGAAAAAAAAUUAGUAAAGAAAAAAGAGUACGUUAUUCAUUGAUGUCUUGAAUAAUUUUGGAGAUAUAAAGUUGCCUCAUUAAAAACCUUACUAGGAAAAACCUUAUGGGAUAAAAACUGUUGAGUGUUAGAAAAUGCAUAUUUAUAAAGGAGAAAACCGUCAUUUUACAUUUCAAGUCUUACUAACAACCCUUACUUUUAUAUAUUUAACCUUCUUGUGAUUUAAUUACGUGUGUUUUAUUUUAAUUAAGUAUUUUAUGUAUUUUAUGAGCAUUAUAGUCAUUUCACAAUAAAGGAGAGAUCAGACGGCAAAACGGGCAUCACUUUUAAACCUUAUGAUUUACUCCACGUAUCUAUAAAAAGGGGGCCUCCCCCCCCCCUAAUUUGAUAUCUCUGAAUCUAUUUUUGGGAUCCAUUUUCUGUAAUUCCUUCUCCAUCUUGUAUUUUGUAUGUAUUUUAAUAAAUUUUCAUUUUACCCCUAGUUCAAUUAUGAGUAGCUAAUUUUCUUUCAAGCUUGGGUUGAUGGUGAAGUCUCAACAUGUGUCAUGGGCUUUAUUUGGUAAAUUUAUUUUCUCUUCCCUUCUAGUUUUUGUGGAUGUUUUGACUUCUCGUCGACAAAUAAUAAUAAUCUUGUCUAGAUACCGCCUUGGUUACACCGGCUCUCUAGUACAAGGUUAUUAUUAUUUGGCACAAUAAGCCCUUAGCACCAUAUUGAUUAAAGUGUGGUUCAUGAGGUGUGGAUUCCCCCCUUAUGAUUUAAUUGACAUUAAUAAGGAUUAUUUAGCCCAUGAUACAUGUUGAUACGGAUCUAGAUACCCAAAUACGUCAUUUCAAUAGAAUUCUCUUCAAUUUAUUCUCGCCAUUUCAAUUCCAAUUUUAGAAUUUAUUCUCGCCAUUUUAAUUUAAGUUUUAGCAUAUUCCAAAUCAUUUCCACCACAAAUCCAAUCACCCAUUUACAAAAUUAAUUCUACACAAUUAAAAUCCACCUUUUCGUGGGAUCGACACUCGUCACCAUUGAUCUAUACUACAAUAGAUUCGUGCGCUUGCGGGUACAUUAAAAUUUGCACAAUAAGUUUUUGGCGCCGUUGCCAGGGAGGUAAGUAAUCUUAAUUUAUAGAAUUAGUUUUUGUGAAUAAUUUUUUUUCUUGUAUUUUUAUUUUUUUAUUAAAAAAAGAAAGAAAAAAAAAGUGAAUCUAUAUUUAAAGGUUAGUAUUUCUUUUUUUUUUCUUCUUUAAAAUUCUGUAAUUUAAUUUUCAAUUUAAUUUUUUUUGUAAAUUUUUUUAUUUAUCUUAUUAAUUUAUUAUUAGUUAAUUUAUUUUCACGUAUUUUUUUAGUGUGUUUUUAUAGUAAGUUUGUAAUAGCGCAAUAAGGUCAAUAUCGUAAUUUUUCCCUCUUCUUUAUUUUUAUUUGUUUUGUUCCCAUCUUUAUUUUUAUUUUAUUUAUUUUGCAUGCAUGGUCGUAGGUCAUUAUUACCUAAUCUUGAACCUAUAGACCUUGAACUAGAAAAAACACUUCGCACACACAAGCACGUUAAAAAUACAUUUGGAAUGGAUUUACAAGCACCACAGGAGAGACCAUUUAAGGACUAUUUUAGUCCCUUAGCUAAUUUGAGUACAUCAUACAUAAGAUACCCAAAUAUAGCUGCUAGGAGUUUUGAACUAAAACCUAGUGUGCUAAAUUGUCUCCCAACAUUCUAUGGCCUAGAAAAUGAGGACCCAUAUAAUCAUCUGAAUGAUUUUCAUGCUAUUUGUCAAACUUUUAAAUAUGAGAAAUUUUCAGACGAUGAUAUUAAACUCAUAUUAUUCCCAUUUUCUUUAAAGGAUAGAACUCGUUCAUGGUUAAAUACUUUGCCUGCUAAUAGCAUUACAUCAUGGGAACAAAUGGUAACUAAAUUUUUGAAUAAAUAUUUCCCUGUGCAUAAAACCAAUACUAUUCGCAGGGAAAUUUUAGAGUUUACACAGAGAGAAGACGAGCAGUUUUUCGAAACAUGGGAGCGAUUCAAUGGGCUGCUCUUGAAAUGUCCACAUCAUGGGUACGAGAAAUGGCACCAAUGCCAAUACUUUUUGGAGGGAUUAUUGCCGAAUGUGCAAGAAUGGCUAAUAGCAACAAGUGGAGAAGAGCUAAUGUCAAAAAGUGCAUCAGAGAUUUGGGAAUUCCUCCAGCGACAAACGGAUAAUUCCCAACAACGGAGUUGAUCAAUCAGGAAUACUAGAAGAAUUCAGGGAGUAAAUGAGGUUCAAAUUGGCGAGUCAACUUCGGGAAUCAAAGAAGUCAAGGAGAUGGUUGAAGGUCUUACUCGACAAAUAGCAUCGUUAUCGAGUGCUAAAUCAACAGAACCGCAUGACCAUGACUCAUACCCAGAUCAAGCCAAUGCUAUAGAUGUAAUGAGAAAGCCAUCAAAUUACAACCCAUACUCCAACACAUAUAAUCCUGGAUGGAGAGACCACCCUAAUUUUUCAUGGUCUCAAGGAUUCCAACAGAAUGGACCAGCAGCUCCAGCUCCACCAAUGCAACAAAUUUCUGAAAUUCCUCGAGCCUCUCAGCCAUCAUUUAAACCAUACAAUCAAAACCAGAAUUACUCUCAACCCAGACCAUGAGAGGAUUCAUUCCAGAAUCUCAAGAAUCUUACUCACUCUACGAUUGAGCAACAGAACCGCACCAUUGAUGGAAUACGAAAUGAGUUGAGAGCAGGCUUCAACUCACAAGCCCAAUCAGUUUCAAGUCUCGAGAAGAUGGUGGGACAACUUGCUUCUUCAGUUCAGACCUUGGCAAUGAUUGUUGAGAAAGGUAAAUUUCCAAGUCAACCAGUGCCUAAUCCUAAAGGAGUACAUGAAGCGAGUACCAGUUCACCACAGCAGCAUGGAGAGGUCAAAGCAGUCAUGACCUUGCAAAAAGGAAAAGAAGUCGACAACAAAGUGGAGAUGCCGGUGACAAAAGAAAAUCAAAUUGUACUUGUGAAUGUUGAAGACUCACCACCGGAGGAGAAAGAAGAAACCAACCCACGAGAAUACGUUCCGAAAGCUCCAUUUCCUCAGAGGUUAGCGAAAGAAAAGAAGGAAAAAUCAACAGGUGAGAUUCUCGAAAUCUUCAAACAAGUAAGUGUUAACAUCCCUUUACUUGAUGCUAUAAAGCAAGUUCCAUCUUAUGCCAAGUUUCUUAAAGACCUUUGUACUAAAAAGAGAAACAUUCAUGUUCAAAAGAAGGCAUUUUUAACAGAAAACGUUAGUUCUAUACUCCAACAUAAAAUUCCUCUAAAAUGCAAAGACCUAGGCUCCCCCACUAUCUCAUGUAGCAUAGGGAACCACACAAUUGAGAAUGCUUUGUUGGAUUUAGGAGCUAGUAUAAUUCUGUUGUCUUACUCAGUAUUUUUAAAACUUGGACUUGGAGAAUUACACCCAACUCCAGUGGCGUUACAGCUUGCAGAUCAGUCCACAAAAAUACCUCGUGGUAUUGUGGAGGACGUGCUUAUCCAGGUAGACAAGUUUUAUUUUCCUGUUGAUUUUAUUGUAAUUGACACUCAACUAAUAUAGGAUUCAAGGAAGCACAUCCCUAUUAUUCUAGGCCGACCUUUCUUGGCAACUGCGGAUGCUCAUAUUCAAUGCAGGACUAGAAAUAUGCAGUUGUCCUUCGGCAACAUGACUAUGGAGCUAAAUAUUUUCAACAUUGCCAAACAACCUCACAGUGCAGAUGAUGGAAUUGUUGAUGUGGAUUUAAUAGAAACAAUAGUUGAUAAUACUUUUUUUUCAAACCUUAGUGAUGAUCCUUUACAAACAUGUUUAACUCACUUUGGUUUGGGUUUUGAUAUUGACAGAUCGGUCGAUGAGGUCAACGCCCUACUUGACUCAGCACCAUCCAUGGACACUAAUAAAUGGAAGUCAAGAGUUGAACAACUAGCACCAUCAGAAAAGAAACUCAUCCCAUCAUCUGAAUCACCACCGAAACUCGAGCUCAAACAAUUGCCCAACACAUUGGAAUAUGCAUUUUUGAGAGAAGAAAAUACUCUGCCGGUAAUCAUCUCAUCAUCCUUAAAUGACGAAUAAAAAGGUAAAUUGUUGGAUGUUUUAAAAGAGCACAAAGGAGCAUUAGGAUAGACCAUAGCGGACAUCAAAGGUAUAAACCCAGUAGACUGCAUGCAUUACAUUCACCUCGAUGAAAAUACUAAACCUACUAGGGAAAUGCAACGUCGGUUAAAUCCUAACAUGAAAGAAGUUGUUAGAACUGAAGUCCUUAAGCUAUUAGACACAGGUAUCAUUUACCUAAUUUCUGAUAGUUCAUGGGUCAGUCCUGUACAAGUUGUCCCCAAAAAGUCAGGAGUCACAGUAGUUACGAAUGCUGAUAAUGAAUUGAUACCCACUAGAGUAACUACAAAAUGACGUGUAUGCAUUAAUUAUAAAAAGUUAAAUUUUGUCACACGUAAAGACCAUUUUCCUUUACCAUUUAUUGAUCAAAUGCUUGAUAAAUUAGCAUGCCAUGAAUUUUAUUGCUUUCUAGAUGGCUACUCAGGAUAUAAUCAGAUUUCCAUAGCACCAAAAGAUCAAGAGAAGACCACUUUCACUUGCCCUUUUGGCACAUUUGCAUAUAGGAGGAUGCCAUUUGGAUUAUGUAAUGCACCUGCCACAUUUCAACGAGGCAUGUUAAGCAUUUUUUCUGAUAUGGUUGAACGAUUCCUUGAAGUCUUUAUGGAUGACUUUUCUGUCUUCGGUGAUUCAUUUGAUCAAUGUUUACAUCAUCUAACACUAGUUCUGCAGAGAUGUGUCACGAAGAACUUAGUCUUAAAUUGGGAGAAGUGUCAUUUUAUGGUAAAACAAGGUAUUGUUUUUUGUCACAUCAUUUCAAGCAAAUGUAUUGAGGUUGACAAAGCCAAAGUGGAUCUCAUUUCUAAUCUUCCUCUACCUAAAACAGUCAGAGAAGUAAGAUCUUUCCUUGGGCAUGCUGGUUUUUAUAUACGUUUCAUUAAAGAUUUUAGCAAAGUUUCUAGACCCUUAUGCAAUCUACUUGCUAAGGAUGUACCUUUUAUCUUUAAUGAUUCAUGUCUUGUGGCUUUUGAAAAAUUAAAGCAAUUGUUGACAUCAUCACUCAUCAUUCAGCCCCCAAACUGGAGCUUACCAUUUAAACUCAUGUGUGAUGCAUCUGAUUAUGUAGUAGGAGCAGUAUUAGGACAAAAAGUUGAUCGAAUUCACCAUGUUAUUUACUAUGCUAGUAUGACAUUGAAUGAUGCACAGUUGAACUAUUCAACUACUGAAAAAGAAAUGCUAGCAGUAGUGUUUGCAUUACAGAAAUUUCGAUCUUAUCUCAUUGGUUGUAAAAUAAUUAUAUUCACAGAUCAUGCUGCUCUUAAAUAUCUUCUCACAAAGAAAGAUGCAAAAGCUAGACUAAUUCGUUGGGUGUUACUUUUGCAGGAGUUCGACUUGGAAUUUAAAGAUAAGAAAGACAUAGAGAAUGUUGUAGCUGACCAUCUCUCUCGUCUUCAUUUUGACACAAUUAUGGAAUCAUUACCAUUGAAUGAGCCAUUCCUAGAUGAACAAUUGAUGAGUAUGGAAGUAUUACCAUGGUAUGCUGAUAUUGUUAAUUAUCUUAUUACAAGUCAACUUCCAGAGCAUUGGACCAAGCAAGACAAGGCUAAAUUCUUUGCAGAAAUAAAGAAUUUCUUUUGGGAUGACCUGUAUUUAUUCAAGUAUUGUGCAGAUCAAAUUGUUAGACGAUGUGUCCCAGAAAAUGAAAUUCAGAAUAUUCUUUCAUUCUGCCAUGAACAAGCUUGUGGAGGCCAUUUCAGUGCUAAGAAAACAGUGACUAAAGUUUUACAAUGUGGUUUCUAUUGGCCAACUAUAUUUUGAGACGCUUAUACUUUCUGUUCUUCAUGUGAUAGGUGUCAACGAAUGGGGAGCAUUACGCGAAGGAAUAUGAUGCCACUAAAUCCAAUUUUAGUGGUUGAGAUUUUUGACGUAUGAGGUAUCGACUUCAUGGGACCAUUUCCCCCUUCUUUUGGCCAUCAAUACAUAUUGGUUGCUGUUGACUACAUAUCGAAAUGGGUAGAAGCAAUUCCAUGUAGAACCAAUGAUCACAAGGUGGUGAUAGGAUUUUUGAAAAGCAACAUUGUUUCACGCUUUGGAUUCCCUCGAGCGAUAAUCAGUGAUGGUGGUGCCCACUUUUGUAACAAAGCAUUCAAAGCUCUUUUGACAAAGUAUUCAGUCACACACAAAGUGGCAACCCCGUAUCAUCCACAAACCAGUGGCCAAGUUGAGAUCUCCAAUCAAGAAAUAAAGCACAUAUUAGAAAAGACGAUGAGGCCAGACAGAAAAGAUUAGUCAUUAAGACUUGAUGAUGCAUUAUGGGCAUAUAAAACGACUUUCAAGACCCCGAUUGGGAUGUCACCCUACAAGCUAGUGUAUGGAAAAGCUUGGCACCUACCUGUGGAACUCGAGCAUCGUGCAUAUUGGGCUAUCAAGAAAUUCAACUUUGAUAUGCAGCAAGUCAGCUCAGAAAGAAGAUUACAGCUGGGAGAACUUGAAGAAAUUCGCAAUGAUGCAUACAAAAAUGCCAAGAUUUACAAGCAAUGAAUGAAAGUCUUCCAUGACAAGCAAAUUAUGAUAAAAUCGUUCACUCUAGGUCAGAAAGUGCUUUUAUUCAAUUCUCGCUUGCACCUAUUCUCAGGUAAGUUACGCUCCUAUUCUCAGGUAAGUUACGCUCUCGAUGGUCUGGUCCCUUUAUUGUUCAUAUUGUUUUUCCACAUGAGGCAAUUGAAAUUAAGGACCCAAUGAAUGAUGUCACGUUUAAAGUUAAUGGUCAAAGAUUAAAGUCAUAUCUAGAGUACCAACCACAUGGAGAAGACACCGAAAUAAAUUUGAGUGACCCACCAGAUUUGAAUUAAUUUUCUUUCUUUUCGUUGAUUUGAUAUUUUUUUCUUGCUUUAUAUUAUUCUUUUGCUAAUUGAAAUUAUUUUUGCAUAAGUGUGUUUGUUUAACUAUUAAGUUUUCUCUUAUCAUUUUUAAUCAUGAGUACCAUACUUAGACCGUUCCUCCUGAACAUUCUUAAACCACUUCAAUGUGUCAAAACUCAUCUCAAAAGGCAAAUUCAAUUUUGUAAAACACAUCGCAUUUGGGCUCUACAACCACCAGAGUUAGUAGCCUAUGUUGAGGGUUCAGAAAGCCAACUCAGAGACAUUGAGAGAAGUGUUUACGACAUCCAGUUAGAGUUUGAGGUAAAUUCAAUAAGAGGACGAUUUUAAUUUUCUUUAUGUGUUUUAAUUUGUUUUUCUGUUUGUGUGCUUUCGUUUGUUACCCCGGUGAAGUGGCAGAUAACGGUACUCCGUGACAAUCAAGUCGGUUACUUCAGUUUCCCAUAAUAACUGAUAUUUUGAGGUGAAAGUAUGGACAGAAACGAGAUUCUAGCGAAGCUUCACAAGUGAUUCCUUUCACUUCCUCAGAAUGCCCUCCUUACGAUCUAUAAAGCUUGGUCCGAACGCAUGUGAUUGCUCAUGAGGAAUAACAUACCUGCUGACAUCCGUUGGUUAAUUGAGGCUAAAGUACUAUUGGCAGGUGAGUUACCUCCAAAAUUUGUUGCAUACAUGCCUGGUUGUGGUAAAGGAAAUUAUGCAAAAAAAUGACGAGCUCGAAGAAUUUCUGUUGCUUAUCAUAAGUGUGCUAGAAUGAGUUGCAAUAAAAACCCAUGUUCUUUAAGAAUGGUGUUUGAUAAUAGGGAAGAUAAGAUUCAAUUCAUUAGGGAUGGCUUAAAUAAGGAGUCAUUGGAUGAUAUCCUUCUGUCUCUUAAAACGCAUCCCAGUGGAUAUGUGCAAGGAGCGGUUCUCUAGUUAUGGCCAAUAUUCCAGAAAGAGCACGCACGAUAUAGUCUUGGGAAUCUGACUAUAAACGACCCUGUUUGCCAGUUUAUAAGAAAACUGGAUGGGAAGCCUAUCCUCGACCCAUAGAGGGUGUUCAAGCCGUUUCUGGACGUAAAACCAGAGGAAGAUGUGAGCCACAGUCACAACUACCUGUAAAUAUCAUUUUACUUCACUGUUAUUUUAUUUCACUGUUGUUUUAUUGUUUGCAUUAUUUUCUUUAAUAAUUUUUACUGUUUGCUUUUUCCUUUUUACUGUUUCCUUUUUGACUCACGAGCCAUAUGCUUUACGCGUCAUUUGACACUGCCAUGCCACCUCAUACACAGCUGUGACUGACUAUCACCAAGAUUCUUAAAUAUGAUUUUUUGUCAAGCACUCACAAAUUAUUUUUUAGAAGUAUCGCAAUGGCAGCUACUCCAAAUAGAUAAUUCAAGAACAUUUGUGUGCUUUCUGGAUUUAACUAUGGCAAACAUAAAGAGUUCGUUGAGGCAGCCAUAGAUCUUGAUUGAAGUAUAGCAGAGAGAAAAUUACACUUGGUGUAUGGAGGAGGUGACCGAGGGUUAUAAAAAAUGGUCUCAGAAGCUGCUUUUGUCAGAGGAAGUCAAGUGUUAGGCAUUAUCCCAAGAGUCCUAAAACCUUUGGGCAGUUUGUCUGACUCACCGACUGGAGAAGAGUUAGUCGUCUCAGGUAUGCAAGAAAGAAUAACUGAAAUGCUUAAUCAUGCUGAUGCUUUUAUUUUCCUUCUAGGAGAUCUUGCAACACUAGAGGCACUUAUCACACUAGCAUCUUGGGCCCAUCUGCACAUUCACCAGAAACCCAUCGGUUUGUUAAAUGUCAAUAAUUUUUAUGAUGGCUUUAUCGCAUUUCUUAACCAUGCAAUAAAAAACUACUUCAUUCAUUCCAAUGCUAAAAAACUUUUUAUUUGUGCUCACACUACUAAUGAGCUACUUGAUCUGUUACAAACUUAUAAACCGGAGCCGGACCCAUGGACCUUUGUGUUGGAGCGUCCUAAUAAUGAUGGUAACAAUAGCCACAGUAAGAAGUACAAAUUAUAUUUAACUCUCUGCCUGUAAAUAUUUUCUUCUGUGUUGCACCACCCAGGUGAUGUCUUCUAAACUCUACUUCUUUCCUUUAAAACAUUGAGGACAAUGUUUUGCUCUGGUUGUGGGGAGGGAAUAGUUGACAAUUGUGGAAUUUUGUUUAAGUUUUUACUGAUUUUUUGUUGUAGAAACUAACUAUUGCUAACUUUUUGUGUUGAAGAUAGCUGAAUAUGGAGUGUAGUGACUCUAGAAAUGCAUCUUCAUCGUUUGAAAAAAAAAUUAAAAAAUUUAAAAAAAAUCAGACAUUUUCUUUUUCUUUAUUAUGUUUUUAUGUUCAUUUUUCUUCUUCUUUUUAAUUUCUCCUUUAUAAAUAUAUAUUUUUCAAAUUUUUUAGUCGAAGAUGGCUGAAUAUGGAGUGUAGUGCCUCUAGAAACGCAUCUUCUUAGUAAAAAAAUAAAAAAAAACCAUUUUCUUUUUCUAUCAUUUUAAGUAUAACUUUUCUAAUUAGUUUUUCUGCAUCAUUUUCACAUGGGAUAUUAUCAUUUUCCAACCAGAGGUAUUCUGACACAUCAUGUCAGUACCACGGUUUGGCAAAACUAUCAAUUUACCACAAAACAUUUAAAUUGUUAGCAUUUUCCCACCAUUCCGUUAAAAUUCAGUUAAUAUGUAACGGAAAUUUUUUAAAAAGUCUAUUUUACCCCUGGAGCAUAAAAGACCAUGUAAUUAAUCUUUUAUGAAUUUUGUAAUUAAAUCAUCAUUUUGUAAUUACCCUUUAUGAAUUUUGUAAAAUUGACCGUGUGGUGUUAGGUAAUUCAUAAAUUUAUUUAAUUUAUUUAAUUUUUAAAGGGCAAAUUUAUUUAUUUAAUUUUUUGUGUAAAAUUAUUAUCAUCAUAUCAAAGAUUAAAUUGCUUGUUUUGCAUAUUCUUUUUUUUUUUGCCCUUUCAUAAAUUGAGUUUUAGUAGCAGAAUAAAUUGUCUUUAGCUCGUCAAUUUAAUAAAUAAAUUUGCCCUUUAAAAAUUAAAUCAAUUAAAUCAAUUUAUGAAAUACCUAGCACCACACGGUCAAUUUUACAAAAUUUAUAAAGGGUAAUUUUUGUCCUUUAAGAAGGAAGAACAGCAAAUGAUGAUUUAAUUACAAAAUUCAUAAAAGGUUAAUUACAUAGUCUUUUACGCUCCAGGGGUAAAAUUGACCUUUUAUGAAUUUUUUGUUACAUAUUAACUGAGUUUUAACGGAAUGGUGGGAAAAUGCUAACAGUUUAAACGUUUGGUGGUAAAUUGAUAGUUUUACCAAACCAUGGUACUGACAUGAUGUGUCAGAAUACCUUUGGUGGGAAAAUGAUAAUAUCCCUUUUUCACAUUUCUGCAUGCAUAUUUUUCUUUCAUGUUUAGAAUAGGUUGGGGGUAGAAUGUUCUUUAAAAAAAAAAUUAUGUGAUUUGUUUUAACAUUGGAUGACAUAAUUAAUUUCAAAUUUUAGUAUUUGUUUUAUCUUUGAUCUUAAGUGAUGUUACACUAUGUUUGCUACUCUACAUGUUGAUGUCGGAGACAAAUAUGGGUUGCUUGAAGGAAUGAACAUGUCAUAAUAAGUACCAAGUGAGUUUUUGAGCCUAUUAUUUUUCUUGGAGAGUAACCAUUUUGCCCAUUCUUCAUACAGCUUAGCAAUUUAUUAUUUUAUACACGAUCUCUAGAUUUCUUUUGAGUUAACCCUUAAAAAAAAAAUGUGUGUUGCUACAUUUGGAGACCCAUCUAACUAGUAGAUAUGGAAGAUUAUUUAGAGCCCUAAAAGACGAUGGAAAUGUCAUCUUUGAUCCGUUUGAGCCUUUCUAGCCAUCCCUUUUAUCAAAUAUCCAUAGUUAACCCUUUUGAGCCUUAAAAAAAAAAAAAACUUUUCUUUGUCAAACUUAUCUUCUUGACCCACUCCGUUUUGAAGUAUUACUCAAUAUCUUACAAGUUACAUCACCUAUUUAUAUUUGAGAAAAAUAUAAAUAAACAUUUUGUACAGUGAAGUUAUGCCCAACAAAAGCAAAAAAAAAAAAAUUGUUGUUUCAAAAAAAAAAAAGAAAAAAAAUAACAAUAAAAGGUGAAAUCCACCUUGCAAAAAAAAAAAUCUCUGCAUUUUUUCUCAAACAUACACUUUGUUUUCCAUAUUUCCCUUCUUUGUUAGCCAUGUCCCUAGCCUACGUUACGUCCUAAUAAAAGUCCUUCUUGAUUUUAGAGAACUAUAGUCUGAAGUAGAAGCUAGUUAUGUGGGCUAAAAAGAUGUAGUGGUGCAUAAUAAAAAUAAAUAAAUAAAAGAAAAAAAAAAGAUAAAUAAAUUGGGUUGACUAGCAUUUUUGUUUGACUUGAGAUCGUAUUAUUUCUAAGCUGAGGGCAUAUUUAUUUCAUCUUGAUGAGAGCAUGUGAUAUCACUUCUUUAUUAUUUUCUCUCUCAAUUACCAUUCAUUGGAGUGACUAUCUUUAUUGAUUUUAAUUUUUUUGUGAGAGUGUCACUACUUCCAGUGAGAUUUUGGGGUUUGACAUGUCAUUCUUGAAAGUAGUUAUAACAAAGUCUACUGGGCUGAUUCAUGUGGAUGGUUGUGUUAACAUAAAUAUGUUAAUAAUAUUGAUUUUGAUGAUAACAAAUUUUAAAUGUAUUUUGACAAAAAUAAUGGAGUUAUUUCUUAAUAAACGAAAACUCUUUUAAUCAUUGCCUUAUUUCUUCAUAAAAGAUGGAUUUCAAAUUAGAAAGAAAUUCUCUGCAAAAACUUGUUUAAAAUUGCAAUACUGGUCAUAAACGGUGAACCGUUUAUUUUAAACGGUUAACCGAUUAAAGGCAGAGAGUAACACAUUUCCUUAACCUCUAACCGUUCAUGGAAAACGGAAAACACCCAAGAUGGGAAGGUUACUGGAAACUAACGGUGAACCGUUUAUUUUUAAACGGUUAACCGAUUAUCACCAGAGAGCAUCAUAUUGCCUAAGCUCUAGCUGUUUACGCUUAACAGAAAACACCCAAGAUAGGAAGGCUACUGGAAACUAACGGUGAACCGUUUCCUUUUAAACGGUUAACCGAUAACGUCCAGAAUUGAGGGUUGUCCGCCUCUGGUAUUGAUUAACUGAUGUUCAUUUUGUAGGUUACUGGAGACAAACGGCUAACCGAUUAUUGUUCAAACGGUUAACCGAUAAUAUCCAGAAACGUUACCUCACGCAAGUCCUUAACCGUUUAGUGUAAACGUAUAACGAAUGCUCAUCUUGCAGGUCUCUGGAAGUUAACGGCGAAAGGGCAAUCCUAAACGGCAAACCGUUUAUUUGAAUUCUGGUCCAACGGUAACUUUGAACAAGCGAAACGGUUAACCGUUUAUCGUUAACGGCGAACCAUUUUCUGCCCGACAGUUUGUAACGGCUAGAUUUUCAGCUCCAGAUAUAAAUAGGCUCAUUCAAAUUCAAAGAAGGUUGAUCACAACACAACCAUUUGAGCUAAUAUUCGAGAAUACAAUCUUCAUAGAGCUUAGAACACAUUCUUGCUUCAUCUAUUCACAUAUUAAGCAUCAUUGAGUUAUCUUGUAUAUUGUGAGAGGCAAAACAAAUUUGUAAUCUUUUACUUUGAGUGAUUGUAAGUGUUGGGAUACACUUGGGUUAAGAGAUUGGGGAUAAUCUCUUGUUGUAAAGGUCCAUUGACACCUUGGAAGUCAAGUGUAAGCAUUUGAAGCCUUGGAGGCUUGCUUAGUGGAAUCCUCAAGCCCGGAAAGCUUGGAGGCGUGGACGUAGGCGAGGUUGGCCGAACCACGUAAAAAUCUCGUGUUUGAAUCUCUCUUCCCUUACCUUUUUAUAUUGUGAUCAUCUUAAUUAUUAUUGCUUUGAAUUUGAGUUAUAAUUGCAUUAAGAUUUUCUUUAUUAUUGAAUAAUUUUUUAGAAUCCCAAUUCACCCCCCUCUUGGGUUGCUUACUUGUAUUUCAAUUGGUAUCAGAGCCUCGUUCUCUUGUUAAGACUUAAUCGUCUAGAGUAAAAGAUCCAUGGCAACCCUAAAUGACUCAACCUUUAGAGAAGGGCAAUCCACAACUAGACCACCAUUUUUUGACGGUAAUGAUUAUGCUUAUUGGAAAACUAGAAUGAGAAUUUAUUUGCAAGCCUUAGAUUAUGAAAUUUAGGAAGUUGUUUGUGAUGGUCCAUUCAUGCCUACGCUCAAAGAUGAAGUAGGAGAUGAUAUUCCUAAACCAUCGAGUCAAUGGAGUGAGUUAGAAAAGAGAAAGAUGUCUCUAAACUCCAAGGCUAUGAACGCUUUGUUUUGUGCUCUUGAUAAGAAAGAAUUCCAUAGAGUAUCUAGUUGUGAAAGUGCACAAGAGAUAUGGAAUAAACUUGAAGUUGUCUAUGAAGGGACAAAUCAAGUGAAAGAGUCUAAAAUCAGUAGAUACACUCGCCAAUAUGAGUUGUUCCAAAUGGAACAAAAUGAGAAUGUGUAUUCUAUGUAUACUAGAUUCACGGACAUAGUGAACACUCUAGGUGCCUUGGGGAAGACCUUCUCAAAUAGUGAGAAAGUUAAGAAAAUUAUUAGGUCACUUCCAAAAGAAUGGAGACCUAAAAGAACUGCCAUUGAAGAGGCCAAAGAUUUAAAUACUUUACCUCUUGAUGAUUUAAUUGGUUCUCUUAUUUCAUAUGAAAAGGAUUUAGUUGUAGAAAAAGGACUUGAAGAGAAGAAGAAAAGCAUUGCUCUCAAAGCUUCAAAACAUGAGAGUGAUGGGGAGAGUGAACCGGAUGAUGAAGAGCUAGCCAUGCUAGCAAGGAGGUUCAGAAAAUUCUUCAAGAAAACCGGAGAGCGAAGAAAUUUCAGAAACUUCAAGAACCACAGGGAAAAGAAGGAGGCAAUCACAUGCUAUGAAUGCAAAAAGCCUGGACAUAUAAGAUCGGAGUGCCCACUCAUCAACAAACUCAAGAAGAAAGCAAUGGUUGCAACUUGGGAUGAUAGUGAGGAAGAAUCAAGUGAUGAAGAAGGAUCGCAAGAAGUAUCAAACCUAGCACUUAUGGCAAUAGGAGAGAAUGAUGAUCUAAAUGAGGUAAGUGAUCCCACCUAUGAUGAAUUGUAUGAUGCUUUUAAAGACUUACAUAAUGAGUUGAUGAAGAUUGGUAAAAAGAAUGUAUGUCUUAAAAAGGAAAUGACAAAGCUUAAAAAUGAAAAUGAAUCUCUAAAUGCUAGAAUUGCAUGCCUAGAAGUAGGGAACAAAACAUUGCAUGAUGAAAUUGCAUUAUCAAAUGAGAAACCUAGCAUCUUACAUGAGCAUUUAGAAUCACACAUAGAUGAGUUGAAAAAUGAGAAUGAAAUGCUCAAGAAAAAGAAUAAUGAAUUGAAUGAAAUUGUUUUGAAAUUUACAAAUGGGCAAAAGAUGUUGGAUAAUAUGCUUAACUCACAAAAAUGUGUUUUUGAUAAAGGAGGACUUGGAUAUAAGCCUAACUUGAAGCAAAAGUAUUAUAAGAGUUAUUUUGUUAAAGCUACCUCCACAAAUAAUCAUAAGAUUGUAUGUCAUUAUUGUAAUCAAAAUGGUCACAUGAAAUUUAGAUGUCCCGUGAAAAGAAAUGCAUAUUAUGGUGUCAAAUGCAUUUGGGUUCCAAAAGGAACCGUUGCUAACCCUCAAGGACCCAAAAAGCUUUGGGUACCUAAAACUUGAGAUUUUUUUUCUUGUAGGGCUUGAAGAAGAAGAAAAAUAAAUGGUACUUGGACAGCGGUUGUUCAAGGCACAUGACCGGAAACUAUGCAUGGUUCUCAAGCUUCACCAAAAUUGAAAAUGGUGGAGACGUAUCUUUUGGAGACAACUCAAAAGGAAAAAUUCUUGGAAUUGGAAAUGUUGGUAAAAUCUCUUCAACUCUAAUUGAGAAUGUGUGUUUGGUUGAAAACUUGAAACACAACUUAAUUAGCAUUAGUCAAUUAUGUGACAAAGGCUAUAAAGUUAUCUUUGAUAAAUUUAGUUGCGUUAUUGAGAACUCAUGUGAUGGCAAAACCGUAUUUGUUGGAAAUAGAUGUGGUAAUGUUUAUAUCAUUGACAUAGAAUGUGCAUCCAUUCUUGAUAAAUGUUUUUCAGCAUUGCAUGAUGAUUGUUGGUUAUGGCAUAGAAGGUUAGGUCAUGCAAGUAUGGAUUUGAUUUCAAAAAUAUCGAAAGAUGAUUUAGUUAAAGGUCUUCCGAAAAUUGGUUUUCAAAAGGAUAAGAUUUGUGAAGCUUGUCAAUUUGGAAAACAAAUUAAAACUUCUUUCAAAAAUAAAAACCAUAUUUCUACUUCAAAACCGCUUGAACUUCUUCACAUAGAUCUUUUUGGGCCAUCUAGAUAUGCAAGUCUAAAUGGCAAAUAUUAUGCAUUUGUGAUAGUGGAUGAUUAUUCUAGAUAUACAUGGGUAUUAUUCUUAGCCAAUAAGGAUGAUGCUCUUGAUGCUUUUAAAGUGCUUUGUAAAAAAUUACAAAAUGAAAAAGGGCAUGGUAUUGUAUGCAUUAGGAGUGAUCAUGGAGGAGAAUUUGAAAAUCAUGCAUUUGAGAGUUUUUGCAAUAAUCUAGGCAUUGAGCAUCAAUUUUCAUCACCUAGAACUCCACAACAAAAUGGAGUUAUUGAGAGAAAGAAUAGGUCUAUUCAAGAAAUGGCUAGGACCAUGUUAAAUGAAAAUGCAUUACCAAAAUAUUUUUGGGCCGAAGCCGUCAACACCGCUUGUUAUGUUUUAAAUCGGGUGUUGAUUAGACCUAAUCUUAACAAAACUCCUUAUGAGCUUUGGAAAGAGAGAAAACCUAACAUUGGAUAUUUUAAAGUUUUUGGAUGCAAAUGUUUUGUUUUGAACACAAAAGACAAUCUUGGUANNNNNNNNNNNNNNNNNNNNNNNNNNNNNNNNNNNNNNNNNNNNNNNNNNNNNNNNNNNNNNNNNNNNNNNNNNNNNNNNNNNNNNNNNNNNNNNNNNNNNNNNNNNNNNNNNNNNNNNNNNNNNNNNNNNNNNNNNNNNNNNNNNNNNNNNNNNNNNNNNNNNNNNNNNNNNNNNNNNNNNNNNNNNNNNNNNNNNNNNNNNNNNNNNNNNNNNNNNNNNNNNNNNNNNNNNNNNNNNNNNNNNNNNNNNNNNNNNNNNNNGCAAAAUGAAGGUACUUUUCAAACACUUCCCAAGGAGGGGAGGUAUGUCUUUCUUCACCCUAAAAAUGUAAUUUUAGGAGUUCCCUCAGGAGGGAUAAUAACUAGAUCAUCCCUUAGAAAUACUUAUGAGCAUAAUGCAUUCAUCUCUCAAAAUGAACCAAAAUCUUUUGAGGAUGCAGAAAAUGAUGAAUCUUGGAUUAUGGCAAUGCAAGAGGAGUUAAAUCAAUUUGAAAGAAACAAUGUGUGGGAAUUAGUUCCUAAACCUGAACAUCAAUCUGUAAUAGGUACUAAAUGGGUGUUUAGGAAUAAGAUGGAUGAAUCUGGUGUGGUUGUAAGAAAUAAAGCUAGAUUAGUGGCUCAAGGCUACAACCAAGAAGAAGGAAUUGAUUUUGAUGAAACCUUUGCUCCUGUAGCAAGGUUAGAAUCCAUUAGGAUGUUGUUAGCAUAUGCAUGUCAUAAAGAUUUUAUUUUAUUUCAAAUGGAUGUGAAAAGUGCUUUCCUAAAUGGGUAUAUUAUGGAAGAAGUGUAUGUAAAACAACCCCCUGGUUUUGAAAAUGAAAAGUUUCCAAAUCAUGUUUACAAAUUACUUAAAGCCUUGUAUGGAUUAAAACAAGCACCUAGAGCAUGGUAUGAUAGACUUAAGAAUUUCUUGCUAGAAAAUGACUUCUCUAUGGGUAAAGCGGAUACUACUUUAUUUGUUAAGCAUAAGAAUCAAGACAUACUUAUUGUUCAAAUUUAUGUUGAUGAUAUUAUUUUUGGUUCUACUAAUGAGUUGUUGUGUAAAGAAUUUUCAUCGUGUAUGAGCAAUGAAUUUGAGAUGAGUAUGAUGGGAGAGUUGAAAUACUUCCUUGGACUUCAAAUCAAACAAAACGAGGAAGGAAUUUUCAUAAAUCAAGCCAAGUACGUAAAGGAUCUACUCAAACGAUUCGGCAUUGAUGAUUCAAAGACCAAGAAUACACCAAUGAGCACAACAACCAAGCUGGACAAAGAUGAAAAAGGUAAAGAAGUGGACAUCAAAAUGUAUCGAGGUAUGAUCGGAUCCCUACUUUAUUUGACUGCAAGUAGACCCGAUAUCAUGUUUAGUGUAUGUUUGUGUGCAAGAUUUCAGUCAUGUCCCAAGGAAUCUCAUUUGCUCGCUGUUAAAAGAAUUUUUCGUUAUUUGAAUGGAACCAUAGAUAUUGGCCUUUGGUAUCCUAAGGGAACUCACAUAGAUUAACAUGUUUUUCGGAUGCAGAUUUUGCUGGUUAUAAAGUGGAUAGGAAGAGCACUAGUGGAACUUGCUAUAUUCUAGGACACUCUCUUGUUUCAUGGUUUAGCAAGAAACAAAAUUCUGUCGCACUGUCAACCACCGAGGCUGAAUAUAUAGCUGCCGGAAGUUGUUGUGCACAAGCUCUUUGGAUGAAACAAACACUUAGAGAUUAUGGCAUUAAUCUUGAACAAAUUCCUAUUAAGUGUGAUAAUACUAGUGCUAUAAACCUUUCAAAGAAUCCCAUUCAACACUCUCGAACUAAGCAUAUAGAAAUAAGACAUCAUUUCUUGAGAGAUCAUGUUCAAAAGGGAGAUAUUGCAUUAGAGUUUAUUUCCACGGAAAAACAACUUGCCGAUAUUUUCACAAAACCGCUUUGCGAAGAACAAUUUUCAAAAAUUCGGCAUUAACUUGGGAUGAUGAAAUUCUUGCAUUAACAUCUCUAUUCAUGCUAUUGAGUGUACUAAAUUGAUUGACUAUUGUUUAUGAAAUGCUUGAGCUUGAUAGACAAAUGAUGAAUUUGCAUUAAUUACUCUUGAUUGUAUGAAUAAAUUGGCUGAAAAUAUGUUCAUGAAUCAUGCAUUUAAAUUGGCUCAUAAAAUAUUUUCAGAUCAAUUAAAUGAUCUUGGAAUAUAUUAUUUGCUGGCCAAAAAUUAAAUCAAAUGUGCGAAAUUACAGAUAAAAUAAACGGUUAGCCGUUUCAUAUAAACGGAUCACCGUUUAAUUCCAGAAACGAGAUUCUGUGUCUGUCCGUUUACUCCUUCACCAUUUGCUACACCGUUUUGUUUUUCAUUAGCCUCUGGAAGUUACCCUUUAACCGUUUCAAUAAAUGGUUAACCGUUUUCUCGAAGUAUAAAUACUGUUCAAAGGUUCUCUUCUACCUCUCCAGUUACCCUCUCACCGUUUCCACCAUUGUUGCGUAGCCGAAGAUUUCUCUGUCCUCAAAUCUUCAUUUUUCUUGAUUUUCUUGCCAAAUCAAACUUUCAAAAUCAUUUCUUAUCACCUUUAAAACAUUUCUACCGAUUUAAAACUUCAAAUCGUGCCCAAAAUUCAAAAAUCCCAAAUCUAAACCCUAACAGUCGCGGGACGAGUUUCUUCGUUCUUGAUCCGAUUUCCACCUUUCUUCAACCAAAUUGAACAUCCUAGUCACAUCCUCUACUCUUUCUUAAACUUUUUAUCGAUUUGUUUUUGUCCCAUCACAUCUCCCUUGCUUUUUCUCUACUCUAUUUCGGGUUUCCAUGGCUGAACCUUCUCGGAGAACACCCAGGCGUAAAUCAGUGCCUCUAAGGAAUCCUAUACCACCUCGGGAGGUCUCUGAAUUUUCAAGGAUUCACUUCCCCACACCUUCCUUGGCCAAGCGGUUCGAAGAACGCUUCGAUGGUCGAAAGGUACUUGAAUCCUUCUUUGUUGACAUUGAUGAUUUUCGUAAUUUGGUUGUAUGUGGUAGAAGUAUUCGGGAUAUGCUUCAGCCUUGGGAGUCUGGCAUUGAUUUUGAUGACCGAGUUUAUCCAAACUUAGUGCGAGUCUUUUAUUCGAACAUGGAAAUCUCUGAUACUCGCCCAAAUAGGAUAGUCACUCAAGUCGGCCGUGUACCCAUAGAAUUUGAUGAUGCGGACUUAGCUGACUUUCUAGGUAUCCCUUGUGAGGGGCUUGACAUUUAUACCUCUAGGAAAACCCUCUCCUUUGAUACUUUUUCUCAUACUCAUGGCGUCCGUAAUAUAUGUCGUCGUAGAGACUUAUCGGAUGAGAUUUGUAUGCUUCCAUUUCGGUCUCAACUUUUACCUCUCCAAGUUCGUAUUCUUCACUCUAUUUUACAGCACAUAGUGACUCCUAGGAAGGGUCACUCAGAUGAGGUUACGAGGUUGGACGUUGCCCUAUUGGAUAGCCUUCUUACAGACCGUCCCAUUAACCUCGGGUAUAUUAUUGUGCGACAUAUGUUGAGUACUCCAGUGGUCAACCACCGCUUGCUUCCUUAUGGCAGUAUCAUCACUAAGAUACUGCGACGCUUUGAGGUUCCACUUCUUGAUACUGGUCACAUGGAGACUAGACGGAUUGGUCCCGAGGCCAUGACUAGUAUCGGUUUCUCUAGGAAGAAUGGAGAGUGGAUAAAGACAAGCAACGCCAAAAACCGGGAUACCUUGAUUGCUCCAGAGGACGAUCGGAUGCUCAAUGAUAUCUAUCGUCCCGAUCAGCUUCCUGACUUUAGACUAGGCGCUCAUCCUCAUCCUCCGCGUCGCCGUUUUGUUCCUCAGCCUCCAGCUGACUCAGACUCUGAGGAGCGUGCGAUGGAUGCUGACAUUCCCUCCUCUUCCGAGCCGCCUCCUGCUCCUGAGCCCUCUGCAGUUCCCGAGCCGCCAUCUGCCUCUGUGCCACCUCCAGCUCCAGUUCCGCCUCCUGCCUCCGACAUCGUGCAGCAGCUGAUCACUGAUGUUCAGCAGAUUUCGGAGCGCCAGCAGAUGAUUCUUGAUCGGUUGGACACUCUUUCUCGUGACCACCAGCAGCUGUGUGCAGACUUUCAGAUCUACCAGCGGCAGAGCCUUGAUCAGCAGCUUGAGCUUAUCGCUGGACAGUGCACUAUCCUCAGCUAUUUCGGAUAUGAUCCGGGGAGCACAUCUUCUCCACCUCCAUAGUUUCUGAGUUCUGUUUUCGCACAUACAUUCUUCAUUUUGAUUUUUAGCAUUUUUAUAUUUCUCUCAUGGAUUUUGAUGCAUAUAUUUGUGAUGUUCUUGAUGAUUACAUGAUUGAUGAUUUGUGAUUGACUGAUUGUUGGAUAUUAUCAUAUUAGAUUAUUUGUGGAUAUUGGAGUGUUGAUAUAUGUUUGUUCAUGGAGUUGUUGGCUUGUUGGAAGAAGCAGUUGAUGUUAAUCUAUUUUUGGAAGUGUUUUUCUCUCACUUUGUAUUACUGGUUUUGCUCAUUUUUAAGGGAAAACUCUGCAGAAAUUUCCACUCGCCAUAACCGGACAAUUUUUUUUUAAACGGAUUUACGUAUUUCUUAUUUCCUCUUUUCUUUUUGAUGAUGAAGGGGGAGAUAUUUUGUGGCUUUUUAAGAUGAAGAUGAUUUUUUUUUGGGAUUUAAUGAGAUAUUUUUUUUGGAUUUAAAAUGGGAAAUUUAAAGCAAGAAUCCUUUUAUUCACAUUUCUCAUUUUGGCCAUACAUGUAGGGGGAGCACAUAUUAAGGGGGAGCUAAAACUUUGAAUGAAAUUUGUCAUCAUCAAAAAGGGGGAGAUUGUUAACAUAAAUAUGUUAAUAAUAUUGAUUUUGAUGAUAACAAAUUUUAAAUGUAUUUUGACAAAAAUAAUGGAGUUAUUUCUUAAUAAACGAAAACUCUUUUAAUCAUUGCCUUAUUUCUUCAUAAAAGAUGGAUUUCAAAUUAGAAAGAAAUUCUCUGCAAAAACUUGUUUAAAAUUGCAAUACUGGUCAUAAACGGUGAACCGUUUAUUUUAAACGGUUAACCGAUUAAAGGCAGAGAGUAACACAUUUCCUUAACCUCUAACCGUUCAUGGAAAACGGAAAACACCCAAGAUGGGAAGGUUACUGGAAACUAACGGUGAACCGUUUAUUUUUAAACGGUUAACCGAUUAUCACCAGAGAGCAUCAUAUUGCCUAAGCUCUAGCUGUUUACGCUUAACAGAAAACACCCAAGAUAGGAAGGCUACUGGAAACUAACGGUGAACCGUUUCCUUUUAAACGGUUAACCGAUAACGUCCAGAAUUGAGGGUUGUCCGCCUCUGGUAUUGAUUAACUGAUGUUCAUUUUGCAGGUUACUGGAGACAAACGGCUAACCGAUUAUUGUUCAAACGGUUAACCGAUAAUAUCCAGAAACGUUACCUCACGCAAGUCCUUAACCGUUUAGCGUAAACGUAUAACGAAUGCUCAUCUUGCAGGUCUCUGGAAGUUAACGGCGAAAGGGCAAUCCUAAACGGCAAACCGUUUAUUUGAAUUCUGGUCCAACGGUAACUUUGAACAAGCGAAACGGUUAACCGUUUAUCGUUAACGGCGAACCGUUUUCUGCCCGACAGUUUGUAACGGCUAGAUUUUCAGCUCCAGAUAUAAAUAGGCUCAUUCAAAUUCAAAGAAGGUUGAUCACAACACAACCAUUUGAGCUAAUAUUCGAGAAUACAAUCUUCAUAGAGCUUAGAACACAUUCUUGCUUCAUCUAUUCACAUAUUAAGCAUCAUUGAGUUAUCUUGUAUAUUGUGAGAGGCAAAACAAAUUUGUAAUCUUUUACUUUGAGUGAUUGUAAGUGUUGGGAUACACUUGGGUUAAGAGAUUGUGGAUAAUCUCUUGUUGUAAAGGUCCAUUGACACCUUGGAAGUCAAGUGUAAGCAUUUGAAGCCUUGGAGGCUUGCUUAGUGGAAUCCUCAAGCCCGGAAAGCUUGGAGGCGUGGACGUAGGCGAGGCUGGCCGAACCACGUAAAAAUCUCGUGUUUGAAUCUCUCUUCCCUUACCUUUUUAUAUUGUGAUCAUCUUAAUUAUUAUUGCUUUGAAUUUGAGUUAUAAUUGCAUUAAGAUUUUCUUUAUUAUUGAAUAAUUUUUUAGAAUCCCAAUUCACCCCCCCUCUUGGGUUGCUUACUUGUAUUUCAGGUUGAUGUGGGUGUGAUGUUGCUUUAUAUUGGAGAUAAUGCUUAUACUUUUAUUUGAUUGCUAUCAUUAAUCUGAUUGAAUAAACACGAGUGUUUCUAAAAAAAAUAAAUAAAAAAAAUUUAAAAAAAAUUAUUUUGAAUUUGAAUUUUAUUUUCGCUUUAUUUGCUAGGGACUAGCAAUAAGCUGGUUGGGGGGUGUGUUGAGUGUUAGAAAAUGCAUAUUUAUAAAGGAGAAAACCGUCAUUUUACAUUUCAAGUCUUACUAACAACCCUUACUUUUAUGUAUUUAACCUUCUUGUGAUUUAAUUACGUGUGUUUUAUUUUAAUUAAGUAUUUUAUGUAUUUUAGGGGUAUUAUAGUCAUUUCACAAUAAAUGAGAGAUCAGACGCCAAAACGGACAUCACUUUUGAACUCAGGACGAUCGAAAACUUUAAGAAGAGCAUAAAAAGAAAAAUGGCACUGUUCACAUGUACGGUACUAUUCAUGUGUACGGUACUGUCUAUGACACUAUUCACGACACUGCUCACAUAGACGGAUCGAUGACGUGGCAUUGACCGAUGAUGUGGCAUUGACUGAUGAGGUGUCACGAUCCUAUUGGACUAAAAUUCUUAUGUACUGUUGAUGGUGACGUGGCAGCAUAUCAGUGGACUAAAAAUCUCGCGUACGGUACAUGCAUCACACAGGAUUAUUUUCAACCAAACCGCGUCACUGUUCAACCCGGGUCAAACCGUGUUACUGUUCACCCACGUGGUCAAACCGCGUACUGUUGACUGAUGACGUGGCGCAAUCCUGAGCGUCCAAACUGUUUUUAAUCUGAUGGUCAUGAUUUACUCCAUGUAUCUAUAAAAAGGGGGCCUCCCCCCCUAAUUUGAUAUCUCUGAAUCCAUUUUUGGGAUCCAUUCUCUGUAAUUCCUUCUCCAUCUUGUAUUUUCUACGUAUUCUAAUAAAUUUCCAUUUUAUCCCUAGUUCAAUUAUGAGUAGUUAAUUUUAUUUCAAGUUUGGGUUGAAGGUGAAGUCUCAACAUGUUUCAUGGGCUUUAUUUGGUAAAUUUAUUUUCUCUUCCCUUCUAGUUUUUGUGGAUGUUGUGACUUCUCGUCGAUAAAUAAUAAUAAUCCUGUCUAGAUACCGCCUUGGUUACACCGGCUCUCUAGUACAAGGUUACUAUUAUUUGGCACGAUAAGCCCUUAGCACCAUAUUGAUUAGAGUGUGGUUCAUGAGGUGUGGAUUCCCCCCUCAUGAUUUAAUUGGCAUUAAUAAGGAUUAUUUAGCCCAUGAUGCAUGUUGAUACGGAUCCAGAUACUCAAGUACGUCAUUUCAAUAGAAUUCUCUUCAAUUUAUUCUUGCCAUUUCAAUUCCAAUUUUAGAAUUUAUUCUCGCCAUUUUAAUUUAAGUUUUAGCAUAUUCCAAAUCAUUUCCACCACAAAUCCAAUCACCCAUUUAUAAAAUUAAUUCUACACACAAUUAAAAUCCACCUCCUCGUGGGAUCGACACUCGUCACCAUUGAUCUAUACUACAAUAGAUUCGUGCGCUUACGAGUACAUUAAAAUUUGCAUAACAAAAACCUAUUGAGGAAAAAGAGUAUAACAUAUAAAAUUUCUUCCAAAAUAAAUUAUUUUCCCCAAUAAGUAUACUCCCCCUCAUCUUGACAUAGAUUCUUCAAGAUUUGGAGAAAAUUCUUUAAGUUGACGCAUCCCAAUUUUGUAUACCAACUUUUUGAAUGUCAUCGUUGGUAGAGAUUUUGUAAAUAAAUCUGCAAGAUUAUCACUUAAGCGUAUUUGCUGAAUAUCUAUUUCACCAAUCUUUUGAAGCUCAUGUGUAUAAAAGAAUUUGGGUGAAAUAUGCUUGGUCCUAUCACCUUUUAUAUAACCACAUUUAAUUUGGGCAAUGCAUGUUGUAUUAUCCUCAUAUAAUAUUGUACAGUUAUUUUUAAUUGAUGACAAUCCACAUGUUUCUCGAAUAUUUUGUAUCAUUGAUCUUAGCCAAAUGCACUCACGACUAGCUUCAUGAAUAGUAAGACUUUCGGAAUGAUUUGAAUAUGUUGCAACCAUUGUUUGUUUCAUUGAUCGCCAUGAUACAGCACUAUUACCAGAGGUAAACAAAUAACUCGUUUGAAAUCGGGCUUUAUGUGGAUCAGAGAGAUAUCCAGCAUCUGCAUAUCCAAUUAGUGGUGACUUUGAUCCAUUUGGAUAAAAUAAUCCCAUGUCAAUUGUUCCACAGAGAUAAUGAAAUACAUUCUUUACACCAUUACAAUGCCUACAAGUUGGUGCAGAACUAUAUCUUUCUAAUAAAUUAAUUGAAAAUUCAAUAUCGGGUCGAGUACAAUUUGCAAGAUACAUCAGUGCACCAAUUGCACUUAAAUAUGGUACUUCAGGACCAAGAAAUUCUUCGUCAUCUUCUUUAGGACGAAAUUGAUCUUUUUCUACAUCAAGUGAUCGCACCACCAUUGGAGUGCUUAAUGGAUGGGCUUCAUCCACAUAAAAACGCUUCAAAAAUGUUUUAGUAUAUGUUGACUAAUGUAAGAUUAUUCCAGUUGGCAAAUACUCAGUCUUUAAGCCAAGACAAAAUUUUAUUUUUCCAAGAUCUUUCAUUUCAAACUCAUUUUUCAAUCAAAAAGUUAUUUUUAAAAGCUCUUCAGGAGUUCCAAUAAGAUUUAAAUCAUCAACAUAUACUGCAACUAUUGCAAAUCCAAUUUCAGAUUUUUUAAUAAAAACACAAGGGCAAAUUGAAUUAUUGGCAUAUCAUUCUUUCAAUAAAUAGUGGCUUCAGCGACUGUAUCAUAUACGCCUAGAUUGUUUUAAUCCAUACAAGGAUCGUUGUAGUUUCAAAGAAUAUAAACCACGACGUUUUAAUUUGUUUGCUUCUGGUAUUUUAAAUCCUUCGAGGAUUUUCAUAUAAAUAUUUGUAUCAAUAGAACCAUAUAGAUAUACAGUCACAACAUCCAUAAGAUGCAUAUCAAGCCCUUCAGAGGCUACGAGACUAACUAGAAAUCGAAAUGCAAUUGCUUCCAUAACAGGAGAAUAUGUUUCCUCAUAAUCAAUGUCAGGCCUUGAGAAAAACCUUGUGCUACUAACCUUGCUUUAUAUCUCACAAUCUCAUUUUUCUUAAUUCGUUUUCUAAUGAAUACCCACUUAUAACCAACAGGUUUGAUAUCUUCAGGUGUCAGGCUUACUGGUCUAAAUACUUUACAUUUCGCAAGUGAAUUUAGCUCUGUUUGAAUAUCAUAUUUCCACUUUGUCCAAUCAUUUCUAUGUCGACAUUCUUCCAUAGUUUUAGGGUCAAGAUCCUCAUCAUCAUUUAUGAUAUUAAGAGCCACAGUAAAUGAAAAAAUAUCAUCAAUAAUUAUUUCAUUUCGAUCCCACGAUUUUUCUAUACCAACAAAACCAAUCAUAAUUUCAUCAUUUUGUUUCUCUUCAGGAGAAAUAGAUACUUUCUCAAUUGUUGGCAAAUUUUCUUCUUCUAAGUCAAUGGGACUAAUACUAUUGAUUGAUUAAUCUCUGUUAUUUGAUCAGCAGGCAAUGACUCUUUAAGAGUGCUAAUUUCUAACUUUUCUUGUGUUUUCAUCUUCCGGGGAAUUUUGUCUUUUGAGCCAAUUGGUCUUCCACAUUUCAAACAUACUUUACUUUCAUUAGUUUUGUCGUGUUGUCCUUCAGGCAUCUCAACACGCGUUGGGGCAUUUUCAGCUGGAAUAUAUGAUUCUAUUAUUUUUCUUGAAUCAGUAAAUGCAUUAGGAAUUUGAUUUGCAAUAUUUUACAAAUGAAUAAUCCUUUGAACUUCAAGUUCACUUUUAUUUGUAUAAGGAUCAAGAUGAGAUAAUGAUGAUGCAUGCCAUGUAAUUUCACGUCGUUCAUUUACUUUUGUCUUUUCUCCCUCUAACGAUGGGAAAAUUUGUUCAUCAAAAUGGAAAUCUGCAAAUCGUGCAGUAAAAAGAUCUCCAGUUAAAGGUUCAAGAUACCUAUGAAAUUCUAGUUAUGUAACCCAAGAGGGGGGGUGAAUUGGGAUUCUGAAAAUUAUUCAAUUCUAAAACAAAAUAUCAUGUAAAUCUAAAACGAAUUUAAAGCAAUAACAAUUAAAUCAAUCACAAUAUAAAAAGAUAAGGGAAGAGAGAUUCAAACACGAAGAUUUUUACGUGGUUCGGCCAACCUCGCCUAUGUCUACGCCUCCAAGCUUUCCGGGCUUGAGGAUUUCACUAAGCAAGCCUCCAAGGCUUCAAAUGCUUACACUUGACUUCCAAUGUGUCAAUGAACCUUUACAACAAGAGAUUAUCCCCAAUCUCUUAACUCAAGUGUAUCCCAACACUUACAAUCACUAAAAGUAAAAGAUUAAAAAUUAUUUUUCUCUCACACAAUAUUAAGAUUACAAAUCAAUGCCCAAUGUGUGAAUAGAUGAACCAAGAAUGUGUUUAAAGUUCUAUGAAGAUUGUAUUCUCGAAUAUAAGCUCAAUGGUCGUGUUGUGAUCAAUCUUGUUUGAAUUUGAAUGAGCUUAUUUAUAAUUGGAGCUAAAAAACUAGCCAUUAUAGACUGUCUGCACGAAAACGGUUCUCUGUUAACCAUUAACAGUUAACCGUUUAGGCUGGUCAAAAGUUACAGUUGGGCCAAAUUUCAAAUAAACGGUUUGCCGUUUAGGCUUACCCUUUCGCCGUUAAAUUUCAAAGACCUGCAAAAUAAUUUUGGUUUAACCGUUCUUACUAAACAGUUCAAGGUUAGCAAUCUGGAAAUAAUCGGUUAACCGUUUUCAGUAAACGGUUCACCGUUAUUUUCCAGAAUCAUCAUUUUAACAAUACUUUGCAGAACAUGCUUUCUGGAAAUUAUCGGUUAGUCGUUUUAAAUAAAUGGUUAGCCGUUUGCUACAGUGAUUGCUACAGUGAAAUUAUUUUUCAAAUUUAUAGUUUGACCCUAAAACUUUAUAAAACUGUACUAUGGCCCAGAAUGUUAUGAAAGUUUGUAAAUAGGUCCAAUUUCAGAAUUUCUAAAUAAUGCUUUGUUAAUCCCAAAACUUUUUGAAAUUAUGAUAUAGCCCAAAAUGCUAUGACACUUUUCAAAUAAGUCCUUCUCCAAAAUUUCAAGCAAUACUUGUUGAUUUCAAAGUUUUCAAAACUCUUUCAAUUAAAUCAUAAACUUGAAAAACAACUAAUUUCAUAAAAUCAUUUUCCCAUUAAAUAUAAAACCUUUAUAAUGUAAAAAUAAUGAUUUAUUUAAAAAGUAUAAAAAUAAUAAUUUGAGCUUAAAAGAUUAAUCAUUCUUAAUCUUUUUUGUUAUCAUCAAAAUCAACAUUAUGAAAACAUAGAUGUUAACAACCUAAUUAUUGAAGGAAAAUCGAAACCAACAUAAAUUCUAAGUCUUCGUUGCAAACCCAUUUUAUUUCUUUGUGGGGAAGCAACUGGGACAUAAACAACACAUCCAAAAAUAUUCAAAUAAGAAAUAUUUGGCUGUUAGCCAAAAACAAGUUGUGAAGGUGAAUAUGUAUGAUAAGAACUUAGUCGAAUGUGAAUUAAUGAUGCAGCAUGUAGUAUUGCAUGUCCCCAACAUGAAAAAUGCAAAUUUGAUCUAAGAAUUAAUGGUCUUACAAUUAAUUGUAAACGCUUAAUCAACGAUUCAGCUAAACCAUUUUGUGUAUGAGUGUGUGCAACAUAAUACUCAACAUCAAUUCCAAUAGACAUACAAGAAUCAUUAAAAGAUUUAUAUGUAAAUUCACCAGCAUUAUCAAGUCUAACUUUUUUAUCAAGAAAAUCAGGAAAUUGUGCUCUUAAUCUAAUGAUUUGAGCAAGAAAUCUAGCAAACGCAACACCACGACUAGAAAGUAUAAAGACAUGUGACCAUCUAUUUGAUGCAUUUAUUAAGACCAAGAAAUAACGAAACGGUCCACAACUUCGAUGUAUAGGGCCACAUAUAUCCCCUUGGAUUCUUUCUAAAAAUUUAGGAGAUUCUAGACUUACUUUCUUGGAGAUGGCCGAAUUAUUAAUUUGCCUUGAGAACAAGCAACACAUGGACUUUCAAUUGGCAAAAGAAUCUUCUAGUUCUUUGAUUGAUGUCCAUGUAAAUUGUUUAUAAUACGGCGCAUCAUGAUUGAUCCAGGAUGCCCAAGUCGAUCAUGUCAAAGUUUAAAAAUCUUUGGAUUAAAUAACUUCUGGUUCAUUGUAAAAUUUAUCCUUAUUGUUCUUAUUUUUGUAUGAUACAAGUCAGAAGAAAGAGAAGGUAGUUUUUCCAAUACAUGCUUCUGGCAUGAAAUAAUUGAAGUAAUGCAAAGAAAUUCAAAAUUACCUUCACUAGAUGUUUCAAUGUGGUAUCCAUUUUGACGAAUACCCUUGAAACUAAGCAGAUUUAUGCUGGAUUUGUUGGAGUAUAAAGCAUCAUCUAUUUGUAAUUCUGUUCCAUUUGGUAACAUGAUAUUAGCUCUUCCGGAGCCUUCAAUUAAAUUAGCAGAACCAGAUGUUGUAAUAACAUUAGCCUUAGAUAAUAUUAAAUUAUGGAAAUAUUUUUUAUUUCAUAGAAUUGUGUGCGUUGUCGCACUAUCCACCAAACAUCCAUCUUCAUUAUUCACCAAGUGAUUGUUCAAAUUCAUUGUAUAUCUUCACACACGGAUAUAAAAUAAGUCAUUUGAAUAUGAAAAAAANNNNNNNNNNNNNNNNNNNNNNNNNNNNNNNNNNNNNNNNNNNNNNNNNNNNNNNNNNNNNNNNNNNNNNNNNNNNNNNNNNNNNNNNNNNNNNNNNNNNCGGACCUUUUCAUGUGGAGACCAACCCCACCAAAUUCUCAUAAAAACACUAAAAAACAAUAAACAUUCUUGCAACAUAAACGUAAACACAUCAUAACUAUAAAGAAGCACACCAAGCUUUAAAAAUAACACACUUCAGAGUGUAGCACUCUUAAUUGGUCUUCACAUGUCCAUCACCAAUUAAAUGAUCAAUUUUACCGUUUGAAUCUUCAAAAAAAUCUGAAACAUCCAAAUGAGUUAUAUCAAUUGGAUUUUCAUGAUCCAUGAAAUUUGUCUCAUGAUCCAUAAAAUUUGUCUCAAUUUCUUUUCCUUUUGCCUUUUUGGAUGCUUGAUAAAGAUCAACUAAAUGUUUUGGUGUACGACAGACAUGAGACCAAUGUUCUUUCCCACCACAUCUGAAGCAAACAUUUCCAUGAUCUUUUGGAGAUUUCUUUUGUGGAUCUUUUUCUUGCUUCUCAUUACUGUUAUUCCACUUCGAGUGGUUUGAUCGAUAUUUCUUGUUAUAACCACCAUGAUCUUGAUUAUUGUUAUAACCACAACCUCGGCCACGAUCUCGAUUAGCACUACAAUUAUUGGCUAAAGUACCAUUCGCUUCAGGGAUAGGUACAGAUCCAGUCGGAUGAGACUAAUGAUUUUUCAACAAAAGUUCAUUAUUUUUUUCAGCCACUAAAAGACAUGAGAUUAAUUCAUAAUACUUUCUGAAUCUCUGCUCUCGAUAUUGUUGCUGCAAGAGCAAAUUCGAAGCAUGAAAAGUAGAAAAUGUCUUUUCGAACAAAUCUGCAUCAGUAAUCUCCACUCCACAUAAUUUUAAUUGAGAAACAAUUUUGAAUAAUAUAAAAUUAUAUUGACUAACAGAUUUAAAAUCUUGUAAUCGUAAGUGCAUCCAAUCAUAACGAGCUUUUGGAAGUGUAACAGUUUUUUGGUGAUUAAAUCUUUCAUUCAGACAUUCCCAAAGGACAUAUGGUUCUUUGAUCGUACGAUACUCACUUUUCAAUUGUUCAUGAAGAUGGCGGCGAAGAAAAAUCAUUGCCUUGGCUUGGUCUUGGGUUGAUGCAUUAUUAUUUUCUUUAAUAGUAUCUUCACGAUUCAUUGCAUCAAGGUGGAUUUCAGCAUCCAAGGCCCAUGAUAGAUAAUUAUCGCUGAAGAUACCAAGUGCUACAAAUUCAAGUUUUGCGAGAUUUGAUAUUUUCAGAAAGCUAUAAAACAAUAUAAACAAGGAUAAAUAAUUGAUUCACUAUAAAACAAUAUAAAUAAGGAUAAAUAAUUGAUUCAUUAUUAACGAUUAGAUGUCAUAUAAUCACUCAUGGUAUAAUAAUAAAGUUCUAUAAUAAUCACAUAUCAUACUAGUCAUGUCAUAAAAUUCAUUUCAAAUUUUAUACCAUCAAUUAUGCAUAUUUCAAGAGAUAUAAUGAAGACAAGUAAUAUACAUGCAACUUUGAGCGGUCAAUGUUAUUGCAAAUUCAAGCAUGACAAUAAUAGCUAAUAUGACAUGUAAUUGGUGAUGAACAAUUAUAGUUAUAUAAUAAUUAAAAGUGUAAGAUAUGAGAAACAAAAGAAUUAGUACCUGAACAGAGUCUCGUGCUGAUAACAUGUUAGAAAAACUAUCAGCCAGCAAUACAAAAUAAAGAAGCAAUACAAGAUGAAGAAUAAAAUGAGAGAGCAAUAUAUUAUAGAGUGGUUUUAUUCAUUCCAAGUGUGUAUACAAAACAAAGAGAUGAGCUCUCCUUUUAUAGUUACAUAAUCACUCCAUGAAAUAAAUGUAAAAAUUAUGGAUCAUAAUUCCUUGUGAGAUAGUGGUAGUUAUAGGGAAGUUAAACGUUGCUAAUAGGAGAUAGUGGAGAAACUAAGAGAUAUAUGUUAUGAACAUCUACAUUUAUUUUAAUAAAUUCAUAAAAUUAAAAUUAUUAUUAUUAUUAUUAUUAUUAUUAUUAUUAUUAUUAUUAUUAUUUAAAGGGAUAGAAUUCAAUUAGAAAACACACAACAAUGUAUCCAAAAGGAAAAUCCUCCAACCAAAUAACGAAUUCCUAGUUGUACAAAGAAAACUUAAUUAAUCCAUAUGUCGAACCAUUUACUACGCAUAGGACAUGGCAAUGGCAAACAUGGAAGUCAUUAUGAGCCUCUAGUAAAUUAUGGAUAUCCUGGAUCACCCAAUAAAUUUCUUUACGGUUUCCCAAAGGAUUAUUUUUACAUUUAGGCUCAUUUAUUGUUCUCAUUUUUUUAAUCUUUUUCUAUCAAAUUGAUGUGUCAAAACUUUUCCAUCAUUAAAUCCUAAUAUUUUGGUACAAAAUUUUGGGUUACAAUAAAAUUUAUUAUACAUAAGCUCAUGAAAGCAUUCAAGUACCAGAUUUAGAUAUAAUUAUUAAGAAGAAAUUUACAGUUUAUAAAAUACAAACGUCUAGAUUAACAAAUUCAGAGUUUAUAAAAUACAUACAUUUAGAUUUAUUUUAAAUAAGCUCAGUUUAAUGUGAAAUCUAAAAUUUUUUGGGAUUAGAAAUUUAUGGAGAUUAUAUUAAUAGAUUUAACAUGGACUAAAUUAAAUAAUAGUAAAACUACUCAUAUAGGUUGCUAUGAACUUUUAUUUUUUAAUUAAAACAUGGAUUUUUAUAAUUCUUAAAGGUUUCUAAAAUCUAUGGAGACUAGCUUUUAUAGAUAUAAUGGUGACUAUUUUACCAAACUUACCAAGAGCUAAUAGGGAACUCAAGUAAUUUUCUAUUUAAUUUUUAAAAAUAUUUUCUCUGGCUAGUGCUUGGGCCUCCACUUGUCAUGAGCUACAUCCACUCUAGUCGUGAGUAGCAAGCAACAAUGUAAUGCGACCUCUCAUUUUUUUUCAAAGUGUGAACAUAUUUGAUAAUAUCCCCUCGAUGAUCACUUGCUACUUCUAACGUCUAUUUUUGUGGCAUUAAUUAUUUACAUGUUGAGAAUUUUUUUUAAUUAUUUUUUUUAACGUGUGAACAUAUUUAAUUAAGGAGAUAAAUGGAUUUCACCCUAUUCUCUCCAUCGAGGUGCAAAAAUUUGUUGAUGACGGGCUUUGUUUUUGACCUAUUUGGAAGGUGUCAAAUAGGUCACAAUAGAUUAUUAGCACGCUCAGCAUCUCCUCUUGCUGGCCUUAAGAGUCAUCUUAUGGAUGAUCCUCCAUUAGAUCAAUCAAGUGUCUCUGCAGUCUUGUUUUGUAUAGGCAUUCCCAUUUAACAAUAGCUUAUCAGCUUUUCCAGAACUCAUACUGUUUCAUAUAGAUAUUAUAUAACAUGACAUAGCAACUUGAGCAUCCAAGUAGUCUAAACAACCACUCUCAAAAGUAUACAAAGUUUGGAAUACAAUAAAACCAUGAGUGAAGCAAUAUUACAACACUAAUAAUACUAUAAUAUCCUCCAAGAGGAUUUGAUUGCUGUUAACAUAUACUACUGAAGUAGCAUUAAUUCUCAUAUAUUUAUAUAUAUAUAUCUAUAGUUCAUUUACCCAAGCAUUGAAGGUUUCAAUGUCCUUAUCACUUCUUAUCCUCCACAAAAACUCCUCCAUCUGACUUUGAUGAGUUGAAGUCCGAAGUGGUUUGUCCAGUUUCUUCAGGAGAGUAUUAAACCCUCCGAGAAUUGAUCAGGUAAAAGAUCUAUCCGCUCCAUGCCGAAUUGAGAAUUCAACAAAUCACAGCCAUAACUAUAGCCAAUGGAAUAUGAUGAUUCUAGUGCUGGAUAAAUUGGUGCUGCCAUGGCGACAGAGAGCCAUAAUUCAGCCAAUUAUGGCCACCACGUGGAUUGAAUUCUGCAAGUAGUCGAGGUUCUGCCUCGAAAGAAUUUUCUACAUUGUUAGUAGAAUAAGAACCCCAAAGCUGAUUUGGUAGUAUUGGUGACUCCAAAAUGUCAUUCCAUACCAGCUACCAUUCUGGGGAAGUAUUUUCUGCAACAUGAUUUCUAGAACAAGAAAUCAAAUGGUCACUUGGUGGAACUGGAGAGACCAAAAGAGCAUUUCCUGCAACAUGAUUUCCAUUAGAAACCAAAUUUUGAUUUCCUAGUAGUAUGGAUCCUAGGGAAGUAUUUCCUGCAACACGAUUUCCAGAAUGAGAAAUCAAAUGGUUAGUUGCCAGUACUUCAGAAUCCCAACCAGUAUGCUCAGCAGCACGAUUUCUAAUUCUAGAAAUCGAAUUGUCACUUGCUGGUACUUGAGAGACUAGAAGAGUAUUUUCUGCAACAUGAUUUCUAUCGGAAACCAAAAGUUGAUCAAGUGGUUGAACAGAUUCCGAAAAAAUCUGUUCUCCAAUAUCAUGAAUGAUGGUAGAACAAGAAGUCAAAUCUUGACUUGAUUGAUCUUCAACACUAGUUGAAGUAGAAAGCUUGCCAUCCCAUUUUCUUUCUAGGUGACACACAACAAAGUUCUUCUGUACAAAUUAAUAGGACAAAUACAAUAAGUUUUUUCCCAUGUGGCCCGCUCUAUUAUCAAUAUACAUAUGCAAUUCAUCACAAACCAGGGCAUAAGUCGGAAAUGAAGCUCAAAACGAAACUCAUACCUUAUAACGAGGGUCAUCCUCAACAGAUAUCUCGUGCAUAACCCACUCAGUCUUAGCUUUCUUGGAAGUAGAACGACAGGGACAAAAAGGCAAAAUCUUUUUGGUACCAAUUACUUCGGCACUGUUUUUGCGCUUGAUGUCAGAACCUGGGCUAGUGACUUUCCAGUACCCUGACUUUUUUUCUUCUAUGUGAACUUGUAAUAACGCUCACAGUAGAAGUACCAGACUUCUUCCUCACAUUGAAUCUCAGAAUGCCCUGCCUCAAAACAAUUCAGUCACCCAUUAGUUCUGAAUCAAUUUCACUAAACUGACUUAAACGGCAUCAUAUGAUUACUUGUUGGUAGAUACUUACGGGGUAGAUCCCAGGAGUUGAAGAUUGAAAAAAAUGUUUGGUUACUUAGAAAAUAAGAGAAAAUGAAAGAGAAUUAAGAAAAUAGAUCUGAGAAACUUCUAGUAUUUCAUUAAUCAAAUACACACGUAAUGUGUGGUGAAAUACUUCUUAUAUACAAGUGCUGAAGCUCAGCUGGAUUUUUGUUAUUUCUAACUAAAGCUAUUAACAAACUAUAUUAAGCAGAAUAUAACGACUUCAACUAAUUAGUCACGUGUACACAUAAUUUCAUAAUCACCAAGCAUGACAUGGCAUGCCACAUCAUCAACGUGUAACUGAUUAAUACUGGUACUAUCAUCCUCUGCUCUGCUGACUACACUACAGGUGUGAGCUUCUUUAACAUCCCCCAUCAAGCUCAAUGGUUUGUUAAUAACAUUGAGCUUGGAGCGGAAGUAACUGAACUUAGGAAAUGAUAGAGGUUUUGUAAGCACAUCAGCAACUUGCUCUUCUAUGGGAAUAUAUCUGAUUUCCAGCUCCUUUUUAAGCACAUUGUCUCUGAUGUAGUGAACAUCUAAUUCAAUGUGUUUUGACUUAAAAUGAAAAACAGGAUUCCUAGCUAAGUCACCAGCACUUUGGUUAUCACACCAAAGAACUUGAGGAGGUAACUUCACAAUCUUAAACUCAGAAAAUAAUGAUUGUAACCAUGGUAAUUCUGAGCUUGCUGAGGAUAGAGCUCUGUAUUCACUCUUUGUGCUGGAUUUAGCAACAAUAGGUUGCUUUUUGGAUGACCAAGAGAUUAGGUUGUUACCAAGAUUUAUGCAAUAAGCUCCAAUGGAAUUGUGAUCAUUAACAUCACAUGCCCAAUCAGCAUCUGAAUAACCAUUCAAUCUAGUGGUUUCAAGUAUUCCCUCCUUUUGAAUAUGAAGUCCAUAGGUGAUUGUUGCUUGAAGCUAUCUAAGGACUUUCUUGCAGGCCAACCAGUGUUGAAGUGUGGGAGCACUGAGAUAUUGACUGAGUUUACGAACUGAAUAGGCAAUAUCAAGUCUGGUGAGAAUUAGAUAUUGAAGACCACCAACUAUACUCCUGUACAGUGUGGGAUCCUCAAAUUCUUGUCCCAGAGAACCUUGUACAACUCUUUCCAGCUUGAGACCAAUGCUAAAAGGUGUGUUAGAACCUUUGCAAUUCUGCAUUGAAACCUUACUUAACAAAUCUUUGAUGUAUUUUGUUUGAGAAAUAUGCAUUCCCUGAGUAGUGUAACAAACUUCCACCUCAAGGAAAUAAGCAACUAGUCCCAAAUUCUUAAGAGCAAAUACUUUGCUAAGUUUAGCAAUAAAAAUCUCCAGUAGAUCAGAGUUAGGUCCAGUAAUUAGAAUAUCAUCAACAUAGAUGAGGACAAUGAUUAAUCCUCUUAUAUCAUGCUUGAUGAAGAGAGAAGUGUCAUCUUUGGAAUUGAUGAAUUGCCAGUUAGUGAGACAGCCUUUGAGCUUUUCAUACCAAGCUCUUGGAGCUUGUUUUAGCCCAUAUAAAGCUUUGUUGAGCUUGCAAAUGUAGCCUUCUUUAAAUUCAAAACCCUCAGGUUGUGUCAUACACACAUCUUCAGAGAGUUCUUCAUUAAGAAAUGCAUUAUUUACAUCAAUUUGCCUUACUUUCCACUCUUUCAUAACAGUUAAACUCAUGAUAACUCUUAUUGUCGAAGACUUUCUUACAGGGCUGAAAGGUUUCUGAGUAGUUAAUACCUGCAAUUUGAUGAAACCCCUUUGCAACCAAUCUUGCUUUGUACUUGGAGAUUGAAUCAUGAAUGUUAUAUUUAGUUCGAAAAACCCAUUUGCAUCCAACUGGUUUAUAAGAGGAAGAUAUAGGCACUAAACUCCAGGUAUUGUUCUCCACUUAGGAUCAAAUAAUGCCUCAGAGGUGGUGGAUGGUUCUAGGCUGUUAUGGUUGGCAAUGAAAGCCUUUGGCUUGAAGAUUCCAGCCUUAGCUCUAGUGAUUAUUCUACAUGUUGAUAUGAGUGGUUUGAAUUGAGUUGAUGGUAAUAAAUGUUGUGUUUGAACUGGUGAAGAAGGUGAAUUUUGCUGAUUUGGUAAUGAAUGUGAUGUGGUAUGUAUAUUUGGCUGUGUGGAAGAAUUUAGAUCAGAAGCUGGUUGUGUGGGUGAUGAGCAAUGAAGUGAGUCAGUGGGAAGGUUAUCUGAUCGUGAGGAAACAACUAGUGUGUUGUGAGAGGAAUAUAGAGGAGAACAAUGGUCAUUAUCAGUUGCGUUAGCUUCAAGAGUGUCUUGAUUGCUAUUGGAAACUGGAACUGUAUAACGUUUGAGAAUAUUAUACUGAAAAUCUGAGAAUUGAUUUUCAGAUGAAGAAACAUGAAAGAGUGAUGAAUAUAGAAAAGAAGUUUCAGCAAACAAAGCAUGACUAGCUAUAUAAAUUUUUCCAGAGGAAUGUAAGCAUUUGUAGCCUUUAUGUAAAGGACUAUAUCCCAGAAAAACACAUUUUGAUGUAUGAAACUGAAACUUGUGUUUAUUGUAAACACAUUUUGAUGUAUGAAACUGAAACUUGUGUUUAUUGUACUCUCUGAGGAAAGGAAAACAUGAAUAACCAAAGACUCUGAGAAACUUGUAAUCUGGUGAAAGCUGAAAUAGAGAUUCAUAGGGAGAUUUCAUGCACAAUACAGGAGUGGGUAGUCUAUUUAUAAUAUAGGUUGCUGUAUGAAAAUAAUCCCACAAAACUUUAAGAGGCGUGGUAGCUUGUGAAAGUAAGGUUAAUUUAAAAAAAAAAAAAGUAAGGUUAAUCCAAGUUCAGUGAUGUGUCUAUGUUUUCUUUCCACUAAGUCAUUUUGAUUGUGAGUAUAGGGACAUGAGUGUCUGAAUUGGAUUCCUUCUGCAAGAAGAUAGUUAACAAAAUAUCUGAAUUCCCCUCCCCAAUCAGAUUGAAGACAUUUAAUGGAUCUGUUGAGUUGUUUUUCAACUUGAUUUUUGAAGAUUUUAAAGACAUGAAGAGUUUCAUCUUUUGUUUUUAAUGGAAAUAUCUAAGUAAACCUGGUGCAAUCAUCAACAAAACUUACAUAAUAUCUAUAUCCUUGAGGAGAAAUCACAGGAGCUGAUCCCUAUAAAUCAGUGUGUAAUAUUUCUAAAGGGAACUUUGUUUUUGUAUUGGUGACAGAAAAAUGUAAUAUGUGCAUCUUUCCCAUCUUACAAGCAUCACAAGAGUCAAAGGUUUUGUUUUCAUUGAUAGUCUUAACAUAUGGACAUGUUUUGAUUACAUGAUUUAAGACAUGAGAAGAUGGAUGACCUAACCUUUGAUGUAAUACAGAGGUACUUAACAAACACUCAGAAUUUAUACAAGGAACUAUUGUAGUAUGUAAGUAGUUGACUUUAUUUUUGAAAUCAGAACUAACAAUUGAAAACAUUGAAAAUGGCUCGAUUGACUCAACAUUAGUAAUAUAACUUUGACUAGAUGAUGUGAGUAAAGUUUUAUUAGAAGAAACCAAUAGCAAUUUGUAGAGACCCUUUUCAGCCUUGCCUUGCAAUAUUACCACAUUCCUCAUCUUGUCCUUCACGAAACAGAAUUUGUCAGUGAAUUCAAUCACAAUAUUAUUAUCUUUAGUAAGUCUGGAUAUACUAAUAAGGUUUUUGGUGAUUUGUGGUACUAGAAGCAUGUCAUUAAGCUUAAGUGUUGAUAAGGUAUUAUCUUUAGUUUCAUGCAUUUUCAAAACUGCACUGCCUAAGUGUGUUAUGCUUAAACCAGCAUCAUUACCAACAAUGAGCUUAGAAGUACCUGCAAAGCUUUUAGAAACAUGCAUAUUGUUCAUUUCAUUUGUCAGAUGAUGUAUAGCUCCAUUGUCCACGUACCAGUUUGUAUCAUAUGGUCCCUCCAUGUUAGCCAGAUAUGCAGCUUUUGGAUUUCUAUUUGGUGGUGGUCUGUAUGCUCUAGAAUUAAUGAACUCUGUAAGUUUCCAGCAGAUAUUUGCAGUAUAUCCAGUCUUGAGACAUAUUUGACAGGUUGGUUUAGAACCAUUCCACUGAGGCUUGAUCUGUCCAGGUGAUCUGCCAUUAUUAUAGCCUCUAUUACCAGUAUUUGGAUUCCAAUUGCCUCCUCCACCUCUCUGAUUAUCACCUUGAUAAGCUCUAUAUUGAGGAUAUCCAUUACCAACAAAUGCAUAUCCAGAACCUCCAUAACUUCCUUUGUAAUGAUUAGUUCCAAAUCCUCUAUUAUUACCAGUAUUAUAUCCAUAACCACCAAAGUUUUUACCACCAAACUCAUUUCCUUUCUUAAAUCCUCUAUUUAGAACAAGAUUAGCUUCAAAAUUCUGUUUCACAUCUGCACUAGCAAGCAUUUGAGCUUGUUGCUCAAUCCUUGCUUCUUGAGUUAAAAGCAUGGCAUAAGCCUCAUUAGCAUUCAUCUUUCCAACACCGACUUGUCCAGUGAUAUAGGUGGCCACAUAAUUAUAUUCUGGUCCCAAACCAGAGAGUAUAUGCAGAAUUAAAUUAUCAUUUCUUAAAGCACUUCCUGAUGUAGCCAUGUUAUCAGCUAUAGUUUUCAUUUUAAUGAAGUAAUCAUUGAUUUUCAAAUCAUCUUUCCUAGUUGAGCUCAUCAUGUAUCUUAGAUGCAAAAGUCUAGAUUUAGAUUGUGAGCCAAAUUGUGUUUCAAUUGCCUUCCACACCUCAAGAGAAGUUUCCAGAUUAAACACUAAGCUAAUAAUACCUUUACUCAUUGAAGAGAGUAGCCAUCCAAGAAGGAGGUGGAGUAGUUGAAUCAUCUAUGAACUUCUCAAGUCUGUUACUACAAAUUGAAGCCAAUACUUGAGAUCUCCAUAUCAGAAAAUUGGAUUGAUCAAGCUUAACAGGAGUGUUGAACGUAAAAGAAGAAAUUGCUGAGUUAACAGUUGUGUUAUAAACUGGAGCUGAUGAUGAAGCAAGAUUUAUUAAUGCCAUUAUUUGGUGUGGCUCUUAUACCGAGUUGAAGAUUGAAAAAGAUGUUUGGUUACUUAGAAAAUAAGAGAAAGUGAAAGAGAAUUAAGAAAAUAGAUCUGAGAAACUUCUAGUAUUUCAUUAAUCAAAUACACACGUAAUGUGUGGUGAAAUACUUCUUAUAUACAAGUGCCGAAGCUCAGCUGGAUUUCUGUUAUUUCUAACUAAAGCUAUUAACAAACUAUAUUAAGCAGAAUAUAACGACUUCAACUGAUUAGUCAUGUGUACACAUAAUUUCAUAAUCACCAGGCAUGACGUGGCAUGCCACAUCAUCAAUGUGUAACUGAUUGAUACUGGUACUAUCAUCCUCUGCUCUGCUGACUACACUACAAGUGUUAGCGUCCUUAACACUAGGGAUCAAAGCUAUAGAUAUCAAUUUCUUUGAUGGUAUGGACAGAGAAAUCAGGGUCAAGCCUCUUCUUCUUUAGUAGACUAAUGAUUUCUUCGUUAGUAGGCUUGAAUCUGUACCCCACGAGACUGUCCAUUUCCUAUUCAACGGAGAAGAGACAGAGCAAGAGCUAAAUUACUCUCGGUUUGGUAUGCAACUGCCAAAUGCAAAGACUGAGAUGGCGAUCAUAUUGUAUUAUUAUUAUUUAUAAAGGCAGAAGCAUUGACGCGUCAUUUUAUCCCCUAUGGCUUGACUUUUUUCUUUGGCUACCAUAUGAUUUUACAGUUAAUUGAAAAAAUAAUAAUAAAUAACAAAUGUUAAAGUAAUACCGUUUUAAUUUUUAAGUGGUAAUUAAGUGCGCGCGUCACAUACGUUAUUCUUCUGCACCAUAAAUUUUAUUGAUCCAGUCGAGAGCACCAACUGAUAAAAUCAUGACAUAUAUAAUCCGUCACAUAUAAUAACGUGUACGACGGUAGACACUAAAUCAGAUUUCUUUAACUUUCAGUUGUUUGUCUGACAACAAUUAAUGGAUAAAUAUAAUUUAAGAAGAAAAAAACAAAGAAAGAAAGACCCCACCAUGCCACUAUCAUAUUUCUUUUUUGAUUCCUUCUCUGCUUUUCACAGUUGCAAGUGACCUUCCCUGCUACCUCGCAAAGGUGCCCCUUUUCCAAGAAGUAAUUUGCUCGGAUUGGGCGGUGAGAUUCCAGUAUUCCACAUUUCAUUUCCACGUAUGAUCAACUACGAACCCAAAAAGAACUGAAGGACCGAAAAACUUUGAAAUGCCAACCAUGUACAGGAAAACUUUUAUUUUAAGACCAUUGAUCUCAAGUAUGCGCAAAUACAAUUGACAUGAUGAAUAAAGGUUAACACAAAGAUUCGUGAUGAGUUCCUACUGUUCAUUAGUUGAUGGCUGCCACGUACAUGAACCAUUCACAUCUCUGCUUGUACUCUUUCGGAACAAGCAUUUUUGUCUAGUCAAACAAGCUCCAAGUUUCAAGAACUCGGCCAUUCUAUUGAAAAUUCAAGUGCUCUACAUUACAAAGCAACAAAUGAUUACCAGACAAUAUCAUAUUAUCAAAUAAUAAUAGGACUUUCCUACUAAGAGGAUUUCAUAGUUGUUUACGUACUACUUAACAUUACAGUACUAUAUGCGUAUUUGUGUCACUACUAUCCACUGCAUAAGCUGAACCUUUUAAAUUUGCUACUUAAGCAAAAUUCUCAUUUCUAAGCGGUGUUUGUGUCAAGCUUUUAAAUUUGCUACUUAAGCAGAAUUCUCAAGCAGUUCUUCUAUCCAUGAAUCUUUCUAAGCAGUGUUUGUGUCUCUGCUAUCGACUGCAUAAGUUGAAGCUUUUAAAUUUGCUACUUAAGAAAAUUCUCAAGUAGUUAUGUUAUCCUUGCAUCGUUGUAAGCAGUGUUUGUCUCACCGCUAUUCACUACAUAAGCUGAAGCUUUUCCAUCUGACUUUGAUGGGUUAAAGCCAAGGGGAAGGGUUUGUCCAUUCUCUUAGCAAGAGUUUUCAUCCUGGAAAGCCCUUGGGGAUUUGAUUAGGUAAUUUACCUGCCCGUCACUAUCAAUUAGACAACCAGGAAAAUCAAAAUUAUCAAAAGAACAAUGCAGUUGAUCUUUUAUUACUGAUAUUUUCUAAAGCUCUCUUAGAAUAUAUUAAUACUUGUUGAUCUAGUGGUAGCUGCGACUCCAAAUUGCUAUUUGGCGGCAGCAAUGGGUUUAUCGACUGAGGGCAUGUGAUAGAGAAAACAAAUUCCUUCUACAUGAAUUAAAGACAAAAACAACAUCAGGAAUGCUGUAUUAUCAAUUAAUUUUCAAAUUUUCAUCAGCAGUGCUAGAUUACCAAUCAGCAAACUUCUAGAAGAAACAAAACAACAGUUUAGCAAUAGGCAACAAAGUUAUAUACUCUAAAUGGCCAUCGUGCCUACUGUCCAGAUCAAAAGAAAUGAAAGAAAUUUUAAGACUUUGCCUGGUUAAUUAAUCCUAUUAUAUCUCCAACAACUAAUUGGCAUGCAACAUAUAUUUUAUUACACAGCAUUUUAUCAGAUUAAAAGCUUUGAAAGAUUCACAAAACAUGCGAAGCCAGGGUCCGACUUCAAUGGUAAGAAGCUACUUUUUUAGGACUCAGGACCUCGGUUCGAGCUUCAAGGAAUACACGAGUUCAUAGUAAUAAUACUAAUAAGAUUCAUAUAACAGAGCUCACAUCCAAAUAGAGAUGGCAAAAAUACCCGUCCGGUCCGGACCCGGACCGUACCCGGGUGUUGCGGGCCGGGUAUUACUCGGUCCGGGUAUGAAGUCGGGUCGGUCGUGGGCAUCACUUGAUAAACCCGGAACCCGGAUUUUAUUAAAAAAAAUUAUAAAAUAUAUAUUAUUUUAAAUAUUUUAUAUUUAUUUGACUUAUUUAUUAUACAUAUAUAAAGUUUUAAACACUUAAAGUUUAUAUUUUCAUGUCAAAUUUUAUUGAAAUAAAUUUAAAACUUAUAAAAUUAUCAAAAAAUAAAAAAUAUAUACACAUAAAAUAUUAAAAAAUAUAAAAUCCGAAUACCCGGAUUAAAACCCGGCCCGGACCCAGACCCGGACCGGUUGCAUCCGGGCAGGGUCCGGUCAUGGCAAUACCCGGACCCGGCCCGGAGUUUUGCCAUCUCUACAUCCAAAGAACAAAGCUCAUGCCUUAUAACUUGGGUGGUCCUUGACAUGGUACUCAUGCAUAACCCCCUCGGUAUUAGCUUUCUUAGGAGCAGCACCAUGGUGGUAGAAAGUCAAAAAAAAAUUUGGUAUCCACAAGGCCGUUUCUAGCUUUGAUUUGGGAAUCUUUACUUGUAAUUUUCCCGUGCCCUGCUUUUGUUCUUCUGUGGGCACGGUUACUCUUCAUGUACUUGUGAUGAGGUUCACAGAAAAAGUACCAUACUUGAUCCUCGGACUCUGUUUUUGAUUCUGCUCCAUCACAAAAAUAAUAUAUGGUGCAUGCCAAUUAGUUCAGCUAGUAAAAUCUUUCAGUAAAGAAGGUUAGAGAAUAAUUACAUAUGCGUACUUGCCAAGUCCCCGGGUUCAAGGCUGCAGAUAUCAACAAUAUCCUUGAUAGGGUGAUGUGAGAAAUGGGGAUUAAGCCUCUUCUCCACCAUAAGAUAGAGGAUUUGUUCAUUGGAUGGCUGGAAUUUGUACCCCAUAAGAUUCUCCAUCACAGAAUUAUUAUUAUAUUUUUUUAACUAUUUCUUCAAUAGUUGGUAGGGAUCUGAAACUAACCCCCAAGAAUUCUUCAUCAUUAUUUGUAAUUCAAUACAGUCAGAGUGGCAUCUCUUUCUGGUUUGAUGGGAAGAAAAUUUACCCUUUGAGAAAGAGUGAGCGGAUGAUAAUGUCUCUACAUUCUCACGGCGUUGUGCUACAGUGAGACAACUUUUGCUUGUUUCGCCAACGGUGUUGAAUAGAGUAUUACCAUUGAGUGAGUGACAGAAAUUAAAUGACAGAGAACAUGGAAAUUUUAUAAUAUCAGCUUAUUGACACAUGAGACCCCGCCAUCCUCCUCUUAGUGGUUCAGCAUCAUCUGCCUUAUCCUCUUUAUAAAAGUACUAAUUUAUUCACUCAGAAAAUUGUCUAAAACGACAAUGUUUGCCAGAUUCUCAUUUUAUUCGUGUUUUUAAUUAUAUUUUCAACUGAUUUCCCCGUCCUGUAUGCGCCGAAAUUAUUAGUUAACUUUGUACAUUCAGCUUUCCGCUAGAGCGCCUCCUUCUAGGAGAGGAAGUUUUUUGUCUCAGCCUAGUAAUUUUCUUUCGCUGUCUCCUUCUUUUAGAGUUAAAAUGGCUAAUGGGCCAUCCCGCCGCGCAUGAGGGCGGCACAGCACAGCACACAGCACGAGUCCACACACGUGCGAUGCUUGGACCGUGCUCGGGCCAUUCUUAAAGAAAAAUUCACCAAUUUUUCUUUUUUUUGGCGUGUUUUUUCAAACCCACGUUUUCUUUCUUUCUUUAAGUCCAUCAACCCAUUCGCUACUGAUGAUGAUGUUAAUAAUAAUAAUAAUAAUAAUUAUUAUUAUUAUUAUUAUUAUUAUUAUUAUUAUAUAAUUUUUAUUAAGGAAACAAUUAAUAUUUCACGAUACUAUUUAAUUGCACGAUUACUAAUUAUAAUACAACAAUACAUAAAUCUAAUUUCGUAGAUUAUAGUAAUGAUUAAUAAAAAAUUAAAAUUACAAUCCUAAAAUAAUGAUUACAAGAAGUCAUAACUAGGAGCUAUCAAUUAUAAUAAGUCACAAAAUUUUAUAAAUGGUGAUAUUUAUAAUAUUAUUUAUUAAAAUAAUGAUAUCAUUUAUUCAUUUAAUAAAUCAUAAACAUUAAACAAUUAGACUUUUUUUUGAAACUAAGAUUUAAAUUAAUUUUCAAAAACCUACGUUAAUAAAAUUUAUCAAAAGUUUAAUUUCAAGUUAAUUGUAAAAUCAUAACAUUUUAUAUUAACUUUUUAUUAAAAAAAAUUACUUGGAUAUACUUCGGCCCACCUGCUAUUGAUGACCCCACGGGCUGCGUGCUAACCCACUAAUGAAGUGUGCUUAUUAUGUGCCUCAUCACGUAUAGUGCCUUAACCUAUCUCUAAUGAUGCCAUAUUUUUAAGGCUCACAUACCUAAAAUUUUAAGCCCGGCCCAGCUCAUGUGUGUGUCGUGCCGUGUCGUGUGCCCUAUCAAAACGUGCUCGCGCCAUAUUGUACGGAGACAUGUCCCGCCUGUGCCAUGCCACAUGUUGCCCGCCCCGUUUGACCAUCUGUAUUUAGAGUAAUGAUAUUUAAUAUAAUUAUAUUAUUACUUUUCGAAAUUUUCUUUGUUAAAAAUAAAAAUUUAGGGAGAAAAAAGUCUUUCACCAAUGAGGUUUGACGUAAUAGUUUAUUUCAUCUUUAUUUUCUAAACAAUAGUCUAUUUUAUUCAUACUUUUCAAACAAUAACCCAAAACAUCUUUCUAGAAGUUUAUAGUUAGUCUACUGUAUUUUAUUUUGAGGAAAAAAUAGGAUUUUUAAUUAAACAAAUGCAAACUAUUUUAAAAUAAAAGCAUCAAGAACAAUUAAAUAACAUAUGUCUUUCUGCAUAAAUUUAAAAUUUAAGAAUAACUUAAUAAAGCAAAAAUAACACUAAAAAUAUAGUGGAGAUGUUUUACCGUAGAACACUCUUUUAUAACCACACGAACAAAGUUAUAAUAUAUUUUUUACUAUUUAUCAUUUUGAUCAUGCAGCCAUAAAGGAGUGUUUUACGGUGGAGCAUCUCCAACAUACCCAUUGCUUAUAUAUAUGCUUGUGCGUGUGUGUGUUCGUUAAAUUUUUUCAAUGAAGUCAACUAAAUUUUUUAAUAUAUAUAUAUAAUAAAGUAUUAAUAAUAAUAAUAAUUUUCAAUCAAAGAUAACUGAUCAUAUUAAAGUUAAAAUAAGCCAAAAGAUAAAAAAGUACACACUCUAAUAUAUUAAAGUUAAAUAAUGCAGUGUUGUAGUAUAUUAAAUAUAUGUUUUUAUGUCUUUAGUGUGUUUUUUAAAAGUAAAUAAAGGAUUUUAUGUUUACUUUUGGUAAAAUAAUAGUUUCGAUUGAUUAUUUAUUCAUUUAUCUUGACUGUAUUGAAGUCAAAGACGAGCUAAAGUACAAAAAUAAAAUAAAAAACAUUCUAGUGCUUAUGAAAUCUAUGUUUCUUUUUAAAUUUGUCCGAAAUAUAUAUUUUACAUAUUAUUUAGUGUUAUUAUUGUUUAUUCAUUAACUUAUCCUUCAAUUUUAAAUUUAUGCAAAAAUUCAAAUGUUAUUUGAUUGUGUUUGACAGUUUUUUUAAAAAUAUUUUGUAUAUCAUUAAUUGAAAAUCUUAUUUUGCCCUCAAUAAUUUAUACAAUAAACUAAUGAUAAAUUAACAUAAGGGGUUUUUGAGUUAUUGUUUAAAAAGUAGAAAUAAAUUUAACUGUUAUUUAAAUAAUAAUGAUAAAAUAAGCUAUUGUAUCAAACCUUAAGAGUGAAAAGAAUAUUUUCUCAUAAAUUAUAUUUUUGUUUUGUUUUAUUAUUACUCCUCACCUCCUGACUCUCUCUAGCAUACCUAUUACACCUGCCAUUUAUCUUCAUCAGUAGUAAGCUCAUUAUCACCAUCUACUUUCUUUACGAUCAAUCUAUAGUUACCUCCACUAAUAUACGAUGAGUUUCAAUAUUUUUGUUCAAUUUUACGAAUGUGUGGUGGAUUUUACUUAGGGAUGGCAAUGGGCAUCGUCCGCAGCGGAUUUUUCAUUACCAAACCUAAAUCCACACAAAAUUUAAAUUACAAAAUCUACACGCAACUUGCCGCGGGUUUUAAUUUUUUUUAAAAAAUCAACCUGCUGCAGAUUUUGACAAUUACUAAACCCACAAUAGUACCCAACGGAUUUUUUGCGGGUUUCCAUAUUUAAAAUCACAAGUGUUCAAUAUUUAAAUUUAUAAUAAUAACCUAAAAUUCCACAUAACAUACUUAAUUCUAAAUUUAACCAAUGUAAAUAGAAAAUUAAAAUUUCAACAUUAAUCCAACACAAAUUCUCAAAAUUAAGUAUAAAAUACACAAAUCCAUAAAAAAAGAAGCCACAAAAUAGUAUCUAAAAAUAACAAUUAUCAUUUUAUAUUGUUAUUCAACAGAAGCUUCAAGAGAAGAUCCAUAUUUCAUUCACCACUGUUAGCACCCAUCCAACACAAUUGCUGCAAUACUAAUUAAGAUUGAUAUUUUCUCAUGAAUAAUACUUUCUAAAUACUAAUACGAAGAAUAAAAUUAUAAUAAUGAAAUAAUUCAUGCAUUAAGUUAAAGCAUGUUAGGACUUAGGCACAUUGUAACUUGCAAACACGUUUAUGCUUUACAUUAUUUACAUUAUAUAUAUUUAACCCAUGGAGGUAUCCACCAAAUAUUUGGUUAAUACAAAACUCACCUGCAACUUACUGUGGGUUUAAAUUUAUAAUAUCAAACCCGCUUGCAAUCUGCAAAAUUAACUACAGCAAACAGGUUUUGACCGACGGGUUCGAGUGAGUUUGUGGGUAAUAUUGCUAUCCCUAGUUUUACUGUUAUUAAUGAUAUUGAUUUUGCUUUAUGUGAUAAUCUAAUAUUUUAUUUAAUUUCAAUUUGAGAUUUUAUUACAAAUUAAUAUUUGAUUUAAAUUUUGAAUCAAAUGAAAAAAUGAGAGAGACAAGAAGUUAAUAUAUUGAGAGAAGAUAAAAUAUUUAUAGUUUAUUUUUUCAAUAACAACAAUUUUAGAGUAAAUAACAUUAAACAAAAGUUGAAGGCCAAUGAGAUAUACUGAGGGGUCACAUUCAAGAAAAUUCUGCUCCAUAUGGUCCCAAUUUCAAGAAUUGUACCCAUAUUUCAACACUGCUAGCAGUAACUUGGUGCAUUGAACAUUGUUACCACAUGUAACAUCCGAUAGCCAAUUAGCAUGUGCUUUAAGUCCGCCAGAAAACAUGUAACUCAUCUGAAGCCGAUUUAAUAUUUUUUUAGCAACAAUUUCUUGGAAAAUGCCUCCCAAACUGAGUUGAAUGAUUUUUAAGUAAUUUUAUUUAACUAACCCCUUGAGUUAAAAUUAUGAGAAAGAGGUAAGGAUUUGAAAAAUUGAUUUGAACUUUAUACACCUCUCCAUCUUAAAUUUAUAUUGUGUAUUAGUGUAUAUUCUUCUAAAUACAUUAACAUCAAAAUUGAAAAAUAAAUUUUGUUUUGUAUAGAAAAAAUGCCUAAUACAACAUAAUUCCUAAUACAAACUAAAAAUUUGAAAAUUAGUCUAUAAUACAGAAUCCCUGAUCAAAUUUCUUUAACUUUCGUAGAUAUUUGUUGACAAUAAUUAAUGGAUAAAUAAAAGUUUUCAAAAAAAUAAAAGAUAAAAAGUAUGGACGCGUUGCGCCGUUGCCCAGUAGUUUAAGACCCCACAAUGCGACUGCCAUUUUUCGUUUUUUAUUCCUUCUCUGCACGUUUGGUUUGAAAAAACAAAAGGAAAGAAAAGGAGAAGAAAGGAAGAGAGGGGAAAUAAAUAAAGGAGAAAGAUAAAUUUCCUAUUUAACUUUGACCUUUAUUUUCACUCAUUUGCUUUUUUUCUCUUUUUUUUUUCUCCCAAAUUUCUCUUCUCUCCUACCAUUUCUUCCAAUCAAACAUGAUAGUUACAUUUGACCUUCCCUUCUCCCUCACAAAGGUGUCCCCUUUUACAAGUAGUAAUUUGCUUGUAUUGGAUAGUGAGAUUCCAGUGUUCCACAUUUCCACAUAUGAUCAACUAGAACCCAAAUAGAACUAAAGACGGAAAGACUUGACCUUAUGCUACACAUAGAUGCUAGAUACAGACCAAAUGAAGCAACCAAUUAGUCUAAACAGCAAUCACAUUUGUAUGCAAUGAGCCUCAAAGAUUACUGAACAAUAUCACAUUAUCACUAAUAACAGAACUUUCCUCCUAAGAGGAUUUCAUAGUUAUUUACACGCUACUUAAAAUUACAGUACUUUCCUCCUAAGAGGAUUUCAUAGUUGUUCACAUGCUACUUAAAAUUACAGUACUUUCCUCCUAGAGGAUUUUAUAGUUGUUACAUGCUACAUAAGAUUACAGUACUUUCCUCCUAGAGGAUUUAAUAGUUGUUUAUAUGCUACUUAAGAUUGCAGAGUUCAGAAUACAAUAAAACAUGAGUGAAGCAUCAUCACCCAUAUAGAUAGAAAGUACUAAAUUAACAAUAUUACCUCCUAGAGUGUAGAGAUUUACAAGCUUAUAGAACCAACUUGAACAACCUCUCCCAAGAUCCCCAGAUCAGAAUUCCAAGAUGAACCAAAGAAGAUUCGAAAGUUACAAUGAUAGAAAACAACCCAAUAGCAGAUUAAACCAACAGUAAGCAAACAAAGAAUCUAAAAGGAACUCAAGAACAACUCAAACAAAGCAAGUUACGUGGUUCAGUCAAUUCACAUUGACUUACAUCCACGAAGGAACAAAUUGAUCAGCUUUAUUGACAGAACAAAGUCUCUUUUACAAUCAGAUUUGCAGAGCCCUUCUCAAGGAACAAGAACGCUCCUUUUACACAAGCACUCUCUCUCCUGAAUCCUCUCAGUUUAUUGUACCAGAAUCAGCUCCAGCCUCUGAGUUUAUAACGACCCAGAAGCAAUCCCAGCUAGGCACGUGAGCAGCAGAUGACAAUAACGGCUUUAACAGCCUUCACACGUCAUUUAAAAUGUCACGUGCGUUGCUCAUGAUUCUAAUAACCAAAACGAUAGAAUUCUAGGUCGCUUUGUAAAGAUAAUCAAAGGUAGCAAGAAACGCCGAUAACUGUGUCGUUUUGCUUUGUUGUUUGCAGAGCCAAAACACCAAGCUUCCUGUCGUUUCAUUAACCUUUUUGAUUUGUUUCAUUUUGGUCCAACAUAGAGGAUUUGAUUGUUGUUUUAAAUUUGCUACUUAAGCAAAAUUCUCAAGUUUUUCUUUUAUCCAUGCAUCGUUGUAAGCAGUGUUUGUAUCACUGCUAUCCUCUGCAUAAGCUAAAGCUUUGCCAUCAGUCUUUGAUGGGUUAAAGUAGGGGUAAGAGUUUUACCAGUCUCUUCGCAAGAGUUUUCAUCCAGUAAAGCCCUCAGGGAAUUGAUCAGGUUAUUUACCUGCUCAUCACUGAAAAUUUGACAGUCAGAAAUAUCACAAGUACCAAUAGAACUAUUAGAAUAGUUUAAUUCUUGUUCUUGAGAAAUUGGUGUCUGCACUGCAGAAGAAGAGGCGUCAUUUGGCCUAUUGUAGCCACCGAAUGACUUGAUUUCUCUAAAUGGCAGACGUUCUUCGUGAAAAUUAUUUCCAGCAAAAUCAUGUGUCACCGAAUGGUGACCUGGUGGCAGCUGCGAAUCCAAAUUGCUAUUUGGUGGCAGCUGGGGGUUUGUGAGACUAUUUUCUUUAAUUGGAUUUCCAAAAUGAGAGAUCAUAUUGUAAUCCGGCUGUGGCUGCUGAGUAGGAGGAUAAUUGGGUAUUACCAAAUUAUUUGUGAGAGGGUACAUAUUUUGUUCAACACGAUUUCCCAGAUAAGAGAUCGAAUUGUGAUUUGGUGGUUGCGGUUGGUAUUUGAGAGUGGUUUCUUUACUAUGAUUUUGUGGUAGCGGCUGGUUUGCGGGAAUAUUUUCACCAUUAUGAUCUCUCUUAGAAAUCGAAUGCUUACUUACUGAUAGCUGAGUUGGGGUGUCAUUUCUUAUUGACUGGUAUAUAGUGUUUUGUACGGUAGGAAAAGAAAUGGAACGGUGAUUUUGUAGUUGCGGCUGAGGGAUAGUGUGAGUGUUUUGUUCACUGUGAUAUCCAUUCGAAAUCGAAUGACUAGGUGACUGUUGAGGUGGAGAAACCAAUUGUUCACUUGGUUCCCCUUCAUCAAUAGUCGAAAUACCAUCCUUCCUCCUCUUAUUGCGUUUUCUUUGAAUGCGACACAAAACAAAUUCCUUCUACAUGAAUUAAAGGCAAAACCAAAAUAAGGAAUACUGCACUAUCAAUUAAUUUUCAGAUAUUCGUUAGCACUGCCAGAAUUUCUACUCACCAGACAACAACAGAUUCAUUCAUCAAGUCAUGCAAAUGCCUUGAUGAAAUUUUAAGACUGCCUGGUUAACUAAUCCUAUUAUAUAUCUUAAAUAGACACAAUAAUCUAGCAUGCUUCACCAAUUAAUCACUUCAAUCAUCAAGAAGAGCCAGCCUUAUUAUUAUAUAUCCAAAGAUAUAACAAUUCAUAAAAGAAAUGAACUUUCAAGUGAGUGACAAAAACAAAUUAGGCUCAUACCUCAUAACUGGGAUCGUCCUUGACGUGGUACUCAUGCAUAAUCCAGUCGGUCUUAGCUGCUGCCUUAGAACAGGGACUACGACGGUAGAAAGUCAAAAACUUUUUGGUGCCAGUAAGGCCAUUUCUAGCUUCGAUCUUAGAGUCUCUACUAGUAAUUGUCCAGUGCCCUGCUUCUGUUUUUCUGUGGGCACGGUUACUUUCCCUGUACUUGUAAUAAGGUUCAUAGAAAAAGUACCAAACUUGAUCCUCUGUCUCAGUUUUUGAUUCCACUGCAUCACAAAAAUACAUGUUGCGGGUCAGUUAGUUCAGUUGGGAAAAUCUUUCAGUAGAGGAGCUUAGAGAGAAAAAUGAAAGAAAAAAAAAAUUACAGAUGCAUACUUGCUAAGUCCCAUGGCUCAAGGCUGCAGAUAUGACCAAUGUCCUUGAUAGGAUGGUGUGAGAAAUGGGGGUCAAGCCUCUUCUCCUUCAGAAAAUGGAUGAUUAGCUGAUCUGAUGGCUGGAAUUUGAACCCCAAUUGACUCUCCAUUUCAUUUUUUUUUUUGGGGGACAAUAAAAGGAACUACAAAGGAAAAUGAGAGUAGAAACCACUUCGUCAAUAGCUCGUAGGGACCUGAUGAAACCUCCGUAGACUCUCCACUAUUGAUUCUAAUUCAGUACAGUUACAGUGGUGCCUCUCUCUCUCUCUCUCUCUCUCUCUCUCUCUCUCCCUCCCUCCCUCUCUCCCUCUUGUUUGAUGGGAAGAAUUUGCGGUAUGAGAAAGAAUUGAGUUUGUGUGGGGGGUGAUCAUGUCACUUUAUACGAUCAAAAAUAAAGGCAUUAGCUCUACGUUCGCAAUACGCGUUGUGCUACAGUGAGACAAGUUUCGGGUUCUUCCACAACAGGCGUGGCUUUAGUUAUUGGCGAAGAAGGCCGUCGCCUAAAACCUCAUAUUUAAAAAAAUUUUAUUUUUUUAAAAUUUUUUUAAUAAUUUUUUAAUUAAUAAAAUAUUUUUAACACGUAUUUUAAGAAAUUAAAAAAUUUAUUAGAUAUCUCUUUAUUCUUAAUUAUUCUAUAAUUAAGAAUUAUUUUUUAUAAAAAAUCUAUAUUUGGGAACCUUAAUUUUAGAGAAAUAUAAUUAAUAAUAUUCUUUAACCUUCAUUCCUUUUCAAUUAUUCAAUAUUAGCAUAUUUGACUUUUAAUAUUUUUUUUAAUUUCUAUUAAAAACCUCAUAAUCUCAAGAAUUAGUAAAUAAAAAAAAUUUCUUGUUCUCUUCUUUACAAAUAAAAUUAUUAUAUUCAUUGGUUCAUUUAAAAUAAUUAAUUUCUUAAAAUAUAAAGUCCAUUUUUAUUUUUGAACAUCAACUCAUCAUUUUAAAAUUUUUAUAUUCUAUCAUUCUAAAUAUUCUAUCAUUCCAAAUAUUCUAUUUGAAAAUAAAAUUGUUUUUAUUUAUUUGUUUGUUUGUUUUUUAAUGGUUUUAAUGGAAAAAAAAAUCAAUCUUCUUGACUAUUUUUUAGGUUUUAUUUUUUAAAUUUUUGAUUUUUUUUAUUAUUGUUGAAAUUCAAGAAUUAAAGAUGUAAUAAAUUUUGAUCCUUUUUAUAUGUCUUUGAAUAUUAAAAUUACAAAAUAAUAGAAACCUCAUAAAAAAAUUUCGCCUAAGACCCCUCAAACUCUAAAGCCGGCUCUGUUCUCUAGCGGUGUUAACUUUACAUUCUCACAAGUCACAACUCUUGAGUAGACUAAAGGAUCAAUUUGCUUGAAGGCCAGUCAAUAAGCAAAGUAACAAAAAUAACAUGGAAAAUUAUAAAAAGUAUCACCUUCUUACCCACAUAGUUUUGAGACAUUAGACCCUACCAUCAUCCUCUUAUUGGUUCAGCCCCAUCAUCCUCAUCCUCUUACUACUGUCUAGUGAUAUUUAAAACACUGAAAUUUAAAUUGAAAAAUUUUGACAAAACACUGAUAAAAUAAAUUAUCACAGUUCAUACUAUAAAAUCACAUAUCAUUAUAGUUCAUUUUGUCAACGUUUCGUUUUAGCCUCUUUAACAUUUUUCCUGACUUUAUUUUUAAAAAAAAUUUAUAAAAUGACAACAGAAUAACCGUUAAAACUAUAUAGAAUAAUUGUUAAUUAUAAAAAUAAUGAAAUACGGGUACUAUUAAUUAAAAAAUAAUAAUUAGAAAAAUUCUAGAAUCUCUACUACUUUCAAUCCCUUCCAUUGUAAUUUCAUUAUUUUAAUUUUUACUGAUGAACAGUAAGUACUGUGAUGAUGUACAUAACUGCCGACAGAGUGGAAGAGCCGAAGAGCCAGCGGUGGGGGCAGAUUUUAUUUAGUGAGUGUUCAUAUUUAAUUUUGAGCUUAAUGUGCUGGUUUUGAUGAUUAAAAUGUAACUUGAGUGAAAAUUUAAUAUGAUUUUUUUUUUAAAGUCCACUUAACGCAGCAGCUGUCCGCUAUCUUCACCGUUUAUUAAGUUAUUUUAUCCACUAAUAUUUAGGAUAUGUUUAUGAAUAUUUAUUUCUUCGUACACAUUUAUUUAAGGAGAAAUAAAUUAGUGAUUUUAACUAUAUUGAGGUAACAAAAUCCACUGUAAGGUCAAAGCUUUAUUCGUAGUUAGCUCGUCCUUGUAAAAUUGUCUAGAGUUUUUUUUUUAGCCAAGUAGACACUAUUUUUUCUUCUCAAAAAAAAAAUGAUAGACACUAUUUUUUGAAAUCUCCCUAAGUUAAAAACAAGCAAAAUUCAUCCAUUGACCCACCUAGUUCUAUUGCUCUGUUAUUUAUUUUUACACUGAAAAACUUAAUUGUAAAUUACAAUAAAUGUAACUUAGGAGUUUUUUUUUUAAAAUUAUAAAGUUUAAAAAUAAAACUGUAAUGAAUUGUAUUGUUAUCUCGUCCAUCAAACAAUAAAUCGUGCCAUUUUUUGUUUUCUAUAUCUAGAGAUCAUGAUUGUUUAUUAAUUUGAAAUUUAUACGAUAACCAUAUUUAUAAUUAUAUUUUAUAUUGUCAUUAUAAUAAAUUUAGGUACCAAUAUCCAAAAUUGUUUAUCAUAAAACUACCUUGGUAUACGUGAUGAUUAAAUUAUUGCACAGUAUAAAGUAACUCCUUCUUUGAUCAGUUGUGGAAAAUCAACAUCAUAUCUCCUUUCAUUAUUCGAAAGAAAUUUUUUUAGAUUGGGUAGUCUAAAAGCGUGAGACUCUUUAUCUUUAAAGUUUUCUUCAUAACAAUAGUAAUUAAAAAAAAAAUGAAAACUUUCAAAUUACGAAUAUUGACAAAAGUAUUCAUUUCUUCCCUUUUAGGUCAGUUUUCGAUCUUGAAUUCGUAAAUUCUUCUUGGCUUAGCUCAAGUCAAACGAUAUAAUUGAUAUUUCUAUUACAAUAAAAAAAAAAUCUAUUGAUAUUUCUAAAUAUCGUUUCUUGAGAUCUUUUUUCCCGGGGGUGAAAAAAGGGGCCUCACAAAAGGAAAAAAAAAAACUUUUUUUUUUUUUAAAAAAAAAAAAUUUUUAAAAAUUUUGCGAAGGCUUUUUUUUUUUUUUAUNNNNNNNNNNNNNNNNNNNNNNNNNNNNNNNNNNNNNNNNNNNNNNNNNNNNNNNNNNNNNNNNNNNNNNNNNNNNNNNNNNNNNNNNNNNNNNNNNNNNNNNNNNNNNNNNNNNNNNNNNNNNNNNNNNNNNNNNNNNNNNNNNNNNNNNNNNNNNNNNNNNNNNNNNNNNNNNNNNNNNNNNNNNNNNNNNNNNNNNNNNNNNNNNNNNNNNNNNNNNNNNNNNNNNNNNNNNNNNNNNNNNNNNNNNNNNNNNNNNNNNNNNNNNNNNNNNNNNNNNNNNNNNNNNNNNNNNNNNNNNNNNNNNNNNNNNNNNNNNNNNNNNNNNNNNNNNNNNNNNNNNNNNNNNNNNNNNNNNNNNNNNNNNNNNNNNNNNNNNNNNNNNNNNNNNNNNNNNNNNNNNNNNNNNNNNNNNNNNNNNNNNNNNNNNNNNNNNNNNNNNNNNNNNNNNNNNNNNNNNNNNNNNNNNNNNNNNNNNNNNNNNNNNNNNNNNNNNNNNNNNNNNNNNNNNNNNNNNNNNNNNNNNNNNNNNNNNNNNNNNNNNNNNNNNNNNNNNNNNNNNNNNNNNNNNNNNNNNNNNNNNNNNNNNNNNNNNNNNNNNNNNNNNNNNNNNNNNNNNNNNNNNNNNNNNNNNNNNNNNNNNNNNNNNNNNNNNNNNNNNNNNNNNNNNNNNNNNNNNNNNNNNNNNNNNNNNNNNNNNNNNNNNNNNNNNNNNNNNNNNNNNNNNNNNNNNNNNNNNNNNNNNNNNNNNNNNNNNNNNNNNNNNNNNNNNNNNNNNNNNNNNNNNNNNNNNNNNNNNNNNNNNNNNNNNNNNNNNNNNNNNNNNNNNNNNNNNNNNNNNNNNNNNNNNNNNNNNNNNNNNNNNNNNNNNNNNNNNNNNNNNNNNNNNNNNNNNNNNNNNNNNNNNNNNNNNNNNNNNNNNNNNNNNNNNNNNNNNNNNNNNNNNNNNNNNNNNNNNNNNNNNNNNNNNNNNNNNNNNNNNNNNNNNNNNNNNNNNNNNNNNNNNNNNNNNNNNNNNNNNNNNNNNNNNNNNNNNNNNNNNNNNNNNNNNNNNNNNNNNNNNNNNNNNNNNNNNNNNNNNNNNNNNNNNNNNNNNNNNNNNNNNNNNNNNNNNNNNNNNNNNNNNNNNNNNNNNNNNNNNNNNNNNNNNNNNNNNNNNNNNNNNNNNNNNNNNNNNNNNNNNNNNNNNNNNNNNNNNNNNNNNNNNNNNNNNNNNNNNNNNNNNNNNNNNNNNNNNNNNNNNNNNNNNNNNNNNNNNNNNNNNNNNNNNNNNNNNNNNNNNNNNNNNNNNNNNNNNNNNNNNNNNNNNNNNNNNNNNNNNNNNNNNNNNNNNNNNNNNNNNNNNNNNNNNNNNNNNNNNNNNNNNNNNNNNNNNNNNNNNNNNNNNNNNNNNNNNNNNNNNNNNNNNNNNNNNNNNNNNNNNNNNNNNNNNNNNNNNNNNNNNNNNNNNNNNNNNNNNNNNNNNNNNNNNNNNNNNNNNNNNNNNNNNNNNNNNNNNNNNNNNNNNNNNNNNNNNNNNNNNNNNNNNNNNNNNNNNNNNNNNNNNNNNNNNNNNNNNNNNNNNNNNNNNNNNNNNNNNNNNNNNNNNNNNNNNNNNNNNNNNNNNNNNNNNNNNNNNNNNNNNNNNNNNNNNNNNNNNNNNNNNNNNNNNNNNNNNNNNNNNNNNNNNNNNNNNNNNNNNNNNNNNNNNNNNNNNNNNNNNNNNNNNNNNNNNNNNNNNNNNNNNNNNNNNNNNNNNNNNNNNNNNNNNNNNNNNNNNNNNNNNNNNNNNNNNNNNNNNNNNNNNNNNNNNNNNNNNNNNNNNNNNNNNNNNNNNNNNNNNNNNNNNNNNNNNNNNNNNNNNNNNNNNNNNNNNNNNNNNNNNNNNNNNNNNNNNNNNNNNNNNNNNNNNNNNNNNNNNNNNNNNNNNNNNNNNNNNNNNNNNNNNNNNNNNNNNNNNNNNNNNNNNNNNNNNNNNNNNNNNNNNNNNNNNNNNNNNNNNNNNNNNNNNNNNNNNNNNNNNNNNNNNNNNNNNNNNNNNNNNNNNNNNNNNNNNNNNNNNNNNNNNNNNNNNNNNNNNNNNNNNNNNNNNNNNNNNNNNNNNNNNNNNNNNNNNNNNNNNNNNNNNNNNNNNNNNNNNNNNNNNNNNNNNNNNNNNNNNNNNNNNNNNNNNNNNNNNNNNNNNNNNNNNNNNNNNNNNNNNNNNNNNNNNNNNNNNNNNNNNNNNNNNNNNNNNNNNNNNNNNNNNNNNNNNNNNNNNNNNNNNNNNNNNNNNNNNNNNNNNNNNNNNNNNNNNNNNNNNNNNNNNNNNNNNNNNNNNNNNNNNNNNNNNNNNNNNNNNNNNNNNNNNNNNNNNNNNNNNNNNNNNNNNNNNNNNNNNNNNNNNNNNNNNNNNNNNNNNNNNNNNNNNNNNNNNNNNNNNNNNNNNNNNNNNNNNNNNNNNNNNNNNNNNNNNNNNNNNNNNNNNNNNNNNNNNNNNNNNNNNNNNNNNNNNNNNNNNNNNNNNNNNNNNNNNNNNNNNNNNNNNNNNNNNNNNNNNNNNNNNNNNNNNNNNNNNNNNNNNNNNNNNNNNNNNNNNNNNNNNNNNNNNNNNNNNNNNNNNNNNNNNNNNNNNNNNNNNNNNNNNNNNNNNNNNNNNNNNNNNNNNNNNNNNNNNNNNNNNNNNNNNNNNNNNNNNNNNNNNNNNNNNNNNNNNNNNNNNNNNNNNNNNNNNNNNNNNNNNNNNNNNNNNNNNNNNNNNNNNNNNNNNNNNNNNNNNNNNNNNNNNNNNNNNNNNNNNNNNNNNNNNNNNNNNNNNNNNNNNNNNNNNNNNNNNNNNNNNNNNNNNNNNNNNNNNNNNNNNNNNNNNNNNNNNNNNNNNNNNNNNNNNNNNNNNNNNNNNNNNNNNNNNNNNNNNNNNNNNNNNNNNNNNNNNNNNNNNNNNNNNNNNNNNNNNNNNNNNNNNNNNNNNNNNNNNNNNNNNNNNNNNNNNNNNNNNNNNNNNNNNNNNNNNNNNNNNNNNNNNNNNNNNNNNNNNNNNNNNNNNNNNNNNNNNNNNNNNNNNNNNNNNNNNNNNNNNNNNNNNNNNNNNNNNNNNNNNNNNNNNNNNNNNNNNNNNNNNNNNNNNNNNNNNNNNNNNNNNNNNNNNNNNNNNNNNNNNNNNNNNNNNNNNNNNNNNNNNNNNNNNNNNNNNNNNNNNNNNNNNNNNNNNNNNNNNNNNNNNNNNNNNNNNNNNNNNNNNNNNNNNNNNNNNNNNNNNNNNNNNNNNNNNNNNNNNNNNNNNNNNNNNNNNNNNNNNNGGUAAUAGGGUUGUUGUAUACAUGUCACGGUCUAAUUAUGUGCCUCAAAUUUUAUCACUAACAUCAUCUUAGAUCUAGUCCAUUAUGACACAAUCUGAAUUUUCACCUUACAAGAUUGAGAAGGGUAUUUGAUCCCACUCACAUGAGGGAUACACGGCUACCUCUACUCAUUUUUAAGAGGAAGAUCGAACAAUUAUAUACGAAUAGUGAUAUUAGAGUCCGUAAAUAUGGACUCGAGCCUACCCCUCACUUUGGUGAGAGCGUGAGUUUAUGGCCGAGUGGUUAUGCAUGUAUAUGGCUGAGGUUGACUAUAGGGUUGACGGAGAAAAUACAGUUCAAACAUCACAUAAAGAAGUCAUUACUAUUGAAGGAUGAAGGAGGAUCAAUUCACGUAGCUAGCCUAGCCCCCAAUAACUUUCAUCAUCAAGGCCAACUUUCAAGAACUAGGCCGUAUACUACAAUUAAUAACAGAGCGAAGAAUAAAUCCAGCACGCGUGAAGCAUUAGUAAAAAUUUGAGGUUUCAACAUCAAUAUUCCCCUACGCAAUUUUAAUUGUGGAUUGCACAUAGUAUUGAAAUAAUUUCCUGAAUAGCAAUUGGAUAUCUGAGUGAAGAGGAAGAGCGAGUCCCAUUUCUUGUUUGUAUUGCUUAUACACAACAUUGAGGAAUUGAUAAUAGCGUAUAAGUUGUCCUUCGACUCCUCCUCACCCCUUGAACAGUAUUUUCUGCAACAUGAUUUUUAUAGAAUCACAAAGGCACAUUUUGUGAUUUGGUAGUUGCUGAGGUCCGAACUGAAAUAAAAUGCCAGAGUAUUUAUUUUUAAUACCUAAUGAAAUACUCAACAUGGAUAACUUGAUAUUGAAACAGCCCAUAAGGCAGGCUCUUUCUCUCACCUUUCAGAAGCCAUUUUCUGCAACAUGAUUUCUGAAAUUGCAUGUAAUAUGAUAAAUUGCUAGAUGCUACGCUUGUACCUGAAGUUGUGACCACAGAGGAAAAGGAACCCUUUUAUUCAAAAUGUGUUUCUAAUACCCUCUGCUAGAAACAAAAGCAAUUGCAUCAAGAUUGAUGGGUAUCUGAUGAUACUUACCUAGCAUUGAAAAGGCUCGAAGUUGUAUAUAGCAACUUCGUUAACUGCUUGGACAGAGAAAUCACGGUCAAGACUCGUCUUGCUCAGAAGAUUGAUGGUAAUUUCUUCAUCUUACACGAUAUCCCUUCUCUGACUUGAAGUGCUAGAGCCUUAGGUAACUCUCUCUCCGAUUCUGUUUUCAUAUGAAAAAUUUCCCGUAUUUACAGAGUAGAGGGGGUGACCAAUUUAUUUUUAUACACACAAACUUGGUGAUGAUCGGUAUCUGGGCUGAGUUGGAGUGAUUAACCGCGUGAGAAUUUUGAAUUUUCCUGUGACGGCGUUAAGGAGAGAUCCGUUUCCUUUGACAUCAUACAGCCAGCUUUCCACUAAAGAGUUGUCUCCUUCUUUGCGAAGUAGUGAAGUGAAGAUGGAGAACAAGGACGCGUGUCCCCUUCCUUGAGAAGCAGUCAGUUGCCCCAGCUAGCCUAAUACUUUAGAAUAUUCUGCUUCUUUUGUUUUCUUCCGCCGUCUCCUUCCUGUUAAAGGGAUAAAGUAGCAAGUGUUUAUACCGUUAAAAGUCUUAAGCUCCACGUACGUUCACCUUGUGGGCGCUAUUUAUUGGAUGCCAUUUAGGAAUGGCAAAAGGUCGGGUGGGCUAGGGCUUGGUCCGAUCAAAAAAUUUUAAACACCCAACCCUAAAUGAGCCCGAUUAUUUUAUAGUUAGGGUCGGAUCGAGUCCGACCCUACUAAAAUAAUUUUUAUAUUAUUUUAAUAUUGAAUUAUUUUUUAAUUUUUUGUUUUAUAUUCAUAUUAUUUUAAUGUUUUCUUCUAUACAUGCACCUUAAUUCAAUAAUUUAGGCAACUCAAAUUUACUAAUAUCUUUUCUAAUUUAAAAUAAUUAACAACACAAAGGCAAAAUGUACAAUAUAAUUAAUCACAAAUAAUUCACAAAACAACCAAUUAAUAGGAAUAAUUUUUUAAAUUCAAUUCCAUAAUCCAACUUUAAAAACACACAAUGCGAUUAAAUUAAAAAAAAAACACAAUUCAAUUGCACAACCAUUUCAACCUCACACACAAAUUAAUUCCAAAAAAACAACAUAAUAUAGUGAUUACCAUAUUAUAAAACCACAGAUUAUUAUAAUUUAUUUUAUCAAUAUUUUGUGAGUAUUUAGUCCACUUUCUUGAUAUUUAUCUAAAAGAAUAGUAUAAAAGGCAAAAGAAUAACCGUUAAAACUAUAUAUAGAGUAAUUGUUAAUUAUAAAAAUUAUGAAAAAACAUGUGUACAUGGGGUUACCAAUAACUAAAAAAUAAUAACAAAAAAACCGUUAACAUUAUCAUAGUAUUUAUUAUGAGGUUAUUUGACUAAGGGGAAUUCUGGAAUCUUCUACUACUUCAAGAAAAAUCUAGAAGCUUCUACUUCUUUCAAUCUAUUCGUCUGUAGUCUCAUUAUUUUAAUUUCAUUGAUGAACAGUAAAAACGGAGAUGAUAUACAUAACUUCAGACAGGGUGGAAGAGCCAGAGGUGCGGGCAGAUGUUAUUUAGCUAGGAAUUUUAAUUUUUUCUAAGUGCUUAUAUUUAAUUUUGAGCUUAAUGCUCUGGUUUUGAUGAUUAAAAUAUAAUUUUGUAUAUAUAUUUUUUCGUUAUUUUUAAAGCCAACAAGAACAAAUUAUAAAUUUUACCGGGGGUAAAUGAAAAACUUGAGCGAAAAUUUGAUAUAUAUAUAUAUAUAUUGUGAAAUUCCACUCAACGGAGCAGCUCCACAUUCUUCACUGCUUAUUUUACCCACUAAUAUUUAGGAUACAUUUGUAAAUAUUUAUUUCUUUAUGCACAUUUAUUUAUUUAAAGAGAAAUAAACUUAUGACUUCAACUUGAUUGAGUUUAAUGUAAAUGUCUAGAUCAACAAAUUCACAGUUUAUAAAAUAGCCUCCAUCAUUUCUGCUACUGGGCCUGGCAUGUUUAGCACGAACGUCCUGUGGAUGGUAUCAGUCUGUUUGUCGAAGAUAUAGUACAACCUUUCCUGAUCUAGGUAGUACUCUUCCAUCUUACAGACAUCACAGCACUUGCUUUGGAGAAAUUGCUUUUCAGCAACCUCUUCUUCUCUUGUGUAUUGGCCUAGAAAAUCCAAAGAUAGAUUUUCUACCAAGCGCUCAGUUCAAUGUAAAAUCUGAAAUUUCAUGAGUCUAUAAAUUUAUGGAGGUUAUAUAAUAGAUUUAACAAUGUGAUCUCUCUUUUUUUUUUUUUUUUUUAAAUGCAUGUGAUAAUAUUCCCUUGAUAAUUACUUGCCUAACGUUUAUUUUUGUGGCAUUAAUUAUUUACAUAUUGAGGACAGUAUAUAUAUAUAUAUAUAUAUAUAUAUAUAUAUAUUUAUUUAUUUUAAUGUGUAAACAUGUUUAAUUAAGAGGAUCGUUGGACUUCACCCCUUCCUAUCAAAGGAGGCUGAAAAUUUUGUAGAUUCUGGGUUUUAUUUCUGACCUAUUUGGCAGGUGUCAAACAGAUCACAUAGAUUAAUAGCAUGCUCAGCAUCUCCCCUUGCUAGCCUUAAAAAUCAUCUUGUGGAUGAUCUUCCAUUAGAUCUAUCAAGUCUCUCUGCAGCUCUUGUUUUGUAUAAGCAUUCCCCAUUUAACAAUAGCUGAUCAACUUUUCCAGAAGUCAGCCAUACACUUUCAUAGAGAUAAUUACAUAAUAUGAUAGAGCAACUCGAGAGUCCCAAGUGCUCUAAAUAACCGCUCUCAAAGAGUAAUAUGUUUGGAAUACAAUAAACCAUGAGUGAAGCAAUAUCACAACAGUAAUAAUAUUAUAAAAUCCUCCAAGAGGAUUUGAUUGUUGUUAACAUAUACAACUGAAGUAGUAUUAAUUCUCAGAAAGAGUUCAUUUACCCAAGCGUUGAAGGUUUCAGUGUCCUUAUCACUACUUAUCCUCCACAAAAACUCAUCCAUCUGACUUUGAUGAGUUGAAGUCCGGGGUGGUUUGUCCAGUUUCUUCAUGAGAGUAUAAAGCCCUCCACGAAUUGAUCAGGCAAAAAGAUCUACACGCUCCAUGCUGCAUUGAGAAUUCAAUGAAUCACAGCCAUAACUAGAGCCUUCUAGUGCUGGAAAAAUUGGUGACUGCGAUGGCGAGAGGGAGCCAUAAUUCAGCCAAUUAUAGCCACCAUGUGGAUUGAAUUCAGCAAGCAGUCGAGGUUCUGCCUCGAAAGAAUUUUCUACAUUGUUAGUAGAAUAAGAACCCCAAAGCUGAUUUGGUAGUAUUGGUGACUCCAAAAUGUCAUUCCAUACUAGCUGCCAUUCUGGGGAAUUAUUUUCUGCAACAUGAUUUCUAGAACAAGAAAUCAAAUGGUCACUUGGUGGAACUGGAGAGACCAAAAGAGCAUUUUCUGCAACAUGAUUUCCAUUAGAAACCAAAUUUUGAUUUAGUG
rnacentral:lncRNA from 1 species